UUAAUAUCUUUUGAUUCCGAACUCCAAAUAUAGCAAGUAAUAUAUGCAUUUCGAUCAGCUCGACGAGAUCUUCGCAAUGGUGUACUCCAUACUGUGAUUGGUGGAAACACCUGGGCGGGCGCCCAAGGGGGGUGGGCGGGCGCCCUGCCCCCAGGCCCGUUUGCCUUCUCGUUCGUUCCCGUGGCUUCUGGAGUCUUCUAGAUGAUACAAAAUUGUGCGGCACAUUAAUAUCUCUAUGUAAUCCCGACGUGUGGGUCUUUCUUCCUUAUUUCCUGAUAACCCCCUGCAGAAAUAGACAAACACCAAAACUCGUGGAAUUCUGUCAGAUAAAACCCUAAGUCUAGAUGUUGAUUUCAUUUGGAUCCUUUUCUUUGUUUAUUUGAUAAUUAAAUUUGAUACUUAAGGACUGUCAACAAACUCCCCCAAGCUUACCUCUUGCUCGUCCCUGAGCAAGGAUGAACUCAAGAGUUUCUGCAGUGGUUUCAUUUCUUAAAAGUACACACGUAUUCAAGCAAGAUCUCAUCUCUGAGUUAGAAUAAACUGUUAAGACUUAAAACUUACUCAUUUUACCUUUUACCAUGGGGCUUGUAACCGUCACUUGUGUCUUGAGCAGUUAAAAGAUAGAACGGUCAAGUCAAGCGCCAUGUCUCUUAUUCUUGAUCAGCUAUAGCUCUGGGGUUUUUUGCAGAUUUUCAAAUAAAACUCAGAGAUUCCUUAUAUGACUCUCUCAGAUCUCUCUUUUGUGGUAUUUCUGGAUCCUUACCAAGGCAGUAAUGGUAUAUGCCUUCUCUCAAAGUAUGUGGUAUUUUUGGUAUGAGGCAUAGUGAUAUUGCCUUCUCUCUCACCCUACUCUAAUAAGGUUCUAAUAUCUGGAGCUCAUAGGUGAGAGACAGCUAAUACAUACUUACAAGACAUUUAUUGCAUAGUCAAACCAUGGAUCUAGAGAAACAAAUCAAUAAGUCAAAUCAAGAUGUGCAUGUGUGGCGAAUGAAUGGUGUAUGGUGAUGAUGGUGAUAAUGAUGGUGAAAGUCUAAUUCUAUUUUUUAUGCUCUUUUGAGGGGAUACAUACCUUUCUUGUACUUUGAAGCUUUUUGGGGAGAAUGAGAUGCUCUAUAUUUUCUUUUUCUUUCCUCUCAGGUGGGUAUCUUGUACCCCUAAUUCUAUUGUCGGACACUUGUCCAUUUUUACCUCUCGUCUCACUUUUUCUUUUCUUCGAGGUUCCGGGCACUUGCCCCUUUUUAUUUCCUCGUAUUAUUAUUUUUUUUCUUUCUUUUUCUCUUUCUCUUUUUUUUAGAGCACUCAUCUCCUGAAAGAAUGUAGCAAGUGGUAGUAACCAAAAUAACUGGAGCAUUUAUUUCGCAGGGAAUAACAGGGAUAUGAAAAUAUUUUUUGCUAUUCUCUCCCGGAUUAGGAGUAGAAUAAUUUCGGGUGAAUGUGGAGAUGGAAAUGAGUGGAUGUAUGUGGAUGCAUACUUCCGGAGUAGAAGUAGCAUGUAUGAGUGAACGUGCAAGUGAAUCUUGAUUUUAACCACAUGACAAGCUCCUAAGGGUCUACACAGCUUGACCACACUCAAUGCUCAUAAGCAGUAAAAAGUAAAUAUGUGGCUCAAAGUCUAGCAAGCAUGUAUAUAUGGCUGUGGUAUGAUUUUAAACUCUCAUCAUACAGGAACUCAUCAUGUGUUAUUUUAAAGAUUUUUUCAAAGAUAAAAUUCUCCAGAAUUCUAACAUCUCUAGGAACAGAUAAACAGCAGCUCAACCUUCCCAUAUCAUAUCCGUUAACGACUUAGACUUUAGAUCAAGUACUCUUCCCACAAGUUUAGGUUUAGAGCAAGCUUUAAAUUAUAACAGUUAUGCCUAAACUUGAGAGAGAUUUCAAUUUUAAGAACUAAUCAUGGCAGAGCAACUAUUCAUCAUUUCCAUGAGAGAGCUUAUCAUGAGGGUUCAUAGCAAAUUUUAUUUAUUUAUUUAUUUAGCAAACUAAGCAAAGAUAUAUAUAUAAAAGCACAAAAUCUUUAUUUGGGUUUUUCAUAGUUUAUGUAUUUUAAUAUUCUUACAUAAUAUAAGUAUAAAGAUAGGUAGAAAUACUUAGCGAGAUAAAUGGGGGUGCUCUCCCCCAAGCUGAAUUUUGACGUAAUUUCUUCUGAUGUAGCUAGCAGGUGAUGGAGGUGUAUUUGAAAGUCGACAGCACCCCGACAGCGAUUAGGAUGUCCUCCGUCUGCUAGUCUUCUUUGAUCCUUGAAUUCUGUGGAGCUCAAAUAGACAACAAAGCUUUAUGGAACUGGUUAAGUGUUAGCAUAAAUAUCUAGCCUUUAUCAUGUUGAGCCUCCUCAAUAUUACUUAUUUAGCAGGAUCAUGCACUUAUUAUUUUUAUAUUUUUAUUGUAAGAUGAAAACUUAUUUAUUUUAUUUUCAUGCCACCACAGUGAAUGUACUUAUGGGUUUUAUGCCAUGAGCAUACUCACAUGGGGCUUACUAUUUUUUAACAUUUAUUUUCUUUUCAAGAUAGCAUGAACCUGAUUAACUAAGCAAACUAUUGAAUGGAAAAGGAUAACAACCAAGUUUACCUCUUGGCAAGGCGUUCGGUAUUUUUAAGUCCUCCGAACGGGACUCUCCGUUUUCUCAGUCGUCCUGCGAUUCGCUAGGUGGCGUAGUCGGUGAUUCCGGCGGCGCCUCCUCUUCGUGUAUAACUAUCUUCUCUUUCCACAUCUGACUCGGUGCUACGGUCUCCUCAGGACAGUUCUGUUCAAGCUGUAUGUCUUCAGUCCUUAUCACUUCUCCUUCGUAGUCUACCCAUCCGUUCUUGAUGUUUUGCCUCCUCUGGUUGCGGUUGCGUUGUCUUCUUCUUGUCCUGACCUGCUUAGAGUCUUCAACUAUAUAGUUAGAAUCAUUAAAGUAGUGGCGUACCUUCUCAGAGAGGAAGUGCAUGUGGACUUCUCCGGUUCCAAUAUAGAUGAUGGCUUUGAUAGUGUUGAGGAACGGUCUUCCAAGGAUGGUGGGUGGAUCAUACUCGUCUUGUCCCAUGUCAAUGACCUGAAAUUUUUCUGGAGCUGAAUGUAUGCUGGUUGUAGGAGCAUGGUUCAAUGCAGGAGCUGAUAAGUGACUGCGGCCAUUAUGUUGACAUCAGAUCCGGUGUCGUAGAGUGUCUUCUAAAAAGAGUAUCCGUUGAUUGUGCACUAGAUGCUUGGAACACCAGGGUCGUUCUUCUUGAUCAAGAAAGGUGACUUGAGUCGACGAUCUUGACCUCCUUGAGCUGCAGUGACCAUCUUAGCUGACUCGGUCCACAUUUGGUUGUUCCUGUUCCUCCUGUUGGUUCUCUUCCUUGGUUCAUGUCGGGAUUGCUCUGAAGCUUGUGUAGUCUUGUUCUUGAAGGAAAGUCUCCUUCUUCCCCUUGAUGUAGAAACUGAUCUUGGCAGUAUUAACGUAGAUGACAGCUCUGGUGUUUAGGAAUGGCCUCCCUAAGAUGAUGGGUGCCCUCUCCUCAGUACCAGUCUCUAUCACCACGACAUCUGCUAGAGCGUACAAGGUACCAACUCGGACGGAGGGGUUCUUCAAUAUUUCCUUUGGGAAACUGAGUGUCCGAUCUGCAACCCUGGGCAUAAUGUUGAUGCUAGAGCCAAAGUCGCAGAGUGCUUCUAGGAAGUCCACCAUGUCGAUGGAGAUCGGGAUGACGGGGCAUCCUGGAUCACCUCUCUGAGUAAUUAGGCCUCUGUUGAUUCCAACCUUGAUUUUGUUGAGGACGGAGUUCACGUCCUCAAGCAUCUCAGGGCAGUGAUUGCCUGAAUGUCCAGUAUCUCCAGUGUGUUUGUGCUCGUAGAUCCCGGUUCUUCUCUUGGGAGUUGUAAAACUCCUCUAGGUUUUGUUCGAAGUGUACCUGCUCAUAGAGACAAGGCAGAGAUCAAGUGCAUGGGCCCUGUUGGUGGAAAACACCAACAGAACCAAAAGUGUAUUUGUUCUUCUGUAACCUUAAGCAUAGUGAGCAAGACAAAGUUGAUGGAUCAUGAGUGUAGCAUUUAAAACAUUUGUUAGAUCAGAUGGCUCGACCUAAUGGGAAGAUAAUCUAUCUAUGUAUAUGUCUUUUCUUUAUAUCUUCCCAAAGAUUGAAUGUGUAACAUUUUAGCUUAUAUGCUUAGGAGUGUGGGAUCACGAAGGUAGUACUAAGAACAAGGACUAAACAUGUUGAAUUAAUUGAGUUGGUUAAUCUGGAAUUAUAAAUCAUACAUGUUUGUCUCUUUAUUUAUGUGAAUGCUAGAACCAAGGAGAACUUAUAAAAGUGAUAAUCAAGUACUUUAAGAUGUUAUUGAAGAGUGAUGGUAUAGUAUCACCUUGUGGAAGCUUUCCUUUCUUAGCGGUUGUGCAUCGUGUUUGUGGCACCCUCCAUGAAUCAUCUCUUAUGAGCUACGACUUUCUUGUGCAAAUUGUUAAACUUCAUGUGUCACUUUCUUCAUCUCCAAUGUGAGUUUAUCUCAGGACUUCCCAGGUUGAUAUUGAAAGUUUUCCUGUAGGGGUUAGUCCCACAAAAUAUACCAAUAUCUACUCAAGCAAUUUUUAGUUCAGUAACCAAACUAGACUCCAUGUCUAAUCAGAUUAAGGAAGGCUAUUUAACCUAAGCACCACGCUUAAUUUAAAUGCCAUUGGAAGUGUGUCCAGUACUUCCAAACUAACACUUACUAGGAUAAACAAAGGUAGCAUGAUGGCUUUUAUAGAGAUCUACUCAAGUGGAGAUGAAGUAGUGUGAUUAGUAUUUAACAAAUUGAGCAUGUCUCAAAGGUAAGGACAACCAACAUAGCAACAUGGCAAAGGAUGUUUUAUGUAAAGUACUCCCCCAAGCUUGAAUUUUGCAAAAUUCAAGAUUGGAUGAAUUUAAUUUAAUGUUGCAUGAUGAUUGGUUGGGCAUACCUUGCGCUUGUCAUUCAUCCGAUCUUCUUGCUCCAAUCCUGGAAAGGUUAGUGGCAAGAAUACCCGAAGGAAUAUUUCUAUAAUUAUCUCAAUAUGCUCAAUACACAAGGCAAUGUUGCAAAUAAUUAGAAGUUCAUGUUACGAUCUGAUAAGUGCUUGCUAAGCUUAUCCUUGGGAAACCAUCAAGUUAUGUUGGUGAAGUGGUUUCCUCUACAACACCUACCUAUAUCAAGAUCAUCUCAACGAGAUCUACAAUAUUUAUUAUAGGACAUAUGCAUCAACAACCACUCUUUUAAAGUUUUUAUAAAUAGAAAGGAAGAGGGGGUUGGAGAUCUCAAAUGUGGUGAUGAUGGAGAGACCGAUUGAUUGGGGAGAUGUUUUAUAUGAGCAAGGACUUGGUAAGGUAUUUAUGAAAUAACUUCCAUGCUCACUGUUGUUUCUCUCAUUCUCAAACUCCAAGGAUGAUUCUUCAUGAAUGCUUAAAAUUCCUCUAGGAUUGUCUCUCAAGUUUGUUUUAUCUAUCCAUUCAAUGGUGAUAGCACAUGAAUUUUUAAUGCCCUCUAGCCAUCGAUGUUGCUCUUCUCGAUCCUCCUUCUUAUGCAUGAGAUGUCUAGAUAGAUUCAUAGGAUUAUCGGGAGGUUCAAGAGAAAGAGCAUAGUAGAAACUAUUAAGCACAAGGAUGGGUUUGAUAGCCGAAUCAUGGGAUUGAAGUGUUUGGAAAUUGGCUAUUGAAACUUCCUUUCCUUGUCUGGGAGAUGAUUCAUUCUCUAUCUCUAAGAUUUUUCUAUGAAGACUAGUGAAAGAAGGAUGUCCACAAAUGAAGACAUACCUUCCUUUACUAAUAGAUAAAGAAAGAAAGACUCUACCAAAGGUUAUAUGAUUAAGACCAAUGUGAAAAUAUUUAGGAAAAACAUGGUCUUGUAGGGCUAGGUCUAAACCAGAAUUUACAGAAAGAUUAACAGAUUCCCUAGGUGUAGCUAAAAGUGCAUUAUCUUCUUGAUUAAAAGAUAGGACCUCGGCUAUAGAAAAGGGUUGGUUUUGACCUAUUGCAAUCAACUCUGGACACAGAUCAUAAUUAGGGGUAGGACGUGUUGACUCCCAUGGUCUAUGGCUGGUCUCCGAAGGUGCAAAGAAUUUAAUAAUAGGUAUGGAAUUUGAGUUAUCCAUAAAGAUAAAAAUAAAAAGAUAAAAUAAUAAAAGUAUAAAAGUAUAAUACAAGAUAAUAGCAAGACUCAAAGUUAUCUCAGCAAACCGUCUUUCUCCCCGGCAACGGUGCCAGAAAUGCUUGUUGAUAUUUGGUAACGCAAUUAGAAAAUGAUCCGCAAGCGCACGGAUAUCGGUGAGCAUUUCACCCGGGAGGUUUUCCAGAUUAUCGUAUUUAUAUUUUUACCACUGGGAGAAAGGGUGCAUCUGACUAACCAAAUCUAUUGCUACUACCCCUUUAGGCUACAAAGAAUGUCUCUCGAUGUGAGUGAUGUAUAGAGAAGACUGCAACCGUAGUCUCGUUCUAACCUUGGUAAGGAUGAUCUACUAUUCUAUUGGGGAGGCUCACGGAAUCUAGACAACACAAAGGAUGUUCGACCCGCACCUAUAAACCUACCCGUCCUGCUAACGAGAUGUGAUCUGCAAAGGUAACUCGGAAUUGUCACGUUCCUCGCUACUACCACGGUCCAGCUAGUCAUGGGAUAUCUAUGAGUACCCUAGCCUAAACACCACGUUUACGCUAGCAAGUGAUUACUCUAAUACUCAACCGGAAGAGGAUUAAAGUAAACUCAUAAACCAAAGAACAAUAAAACAAGAACUUACUAGUAUUAGAAGUCAAAUUACUGAAGAAUCUUAGAAGCAAGCCUCGGGUUAGGAGACUUGAUCCCGCAGGUACAACACGGAGUAGACACCGACAGGCCAGCCUUCCUCCGAUCCACACCUCCACUCUAUCUCUCUCAAUCUAGUAGAAACUAGAAGAUCUAUUUCUACUUUACAUUGGUUGCUAAGCGUAAAAAGAAAUAUUAUUUAGAGAAGAGGUUUUCCUUCGAGGGCACCCCUCAAUCUCUAUGAUAAUUUCUUGUCUUCUCCAGGGGCCAGGGGCCUUGCUUAUAUAGUCCUCCUCCUCUGUGCGUUUUUGGUUCAGCAGGCGAUGUGGUACUAAACUUUCCACCAUAUCUCAUUAAAAUGCACAUAGGCCUUAAUGGACCAAAAUCUGAUUUGGGCCCAAUUAAUCCCGCAGCUCUUUUAUGUGGAGUCCUUCUUUUAUUAAUAUCUUUUGAUUCCGAACUCCAAAUAUAGCAAGUAAUAUAUGCAUUUCGAUCAGCUCGACAAGAUAUUUGCAAUGGUGUACUCCAUACUGUGAUUGGUGGAAACACCUGGGCGGGCGCCCAAGGGGGGUGGGCGGGCGCCCUGCCCCCGGGCCCGUUUGCCUUCUCGUUCGUUCCCGUGGCUUCUGGAGUCUUCUAGAUGAUAGAAAAUUGUGUGGCACAUUAAUAUCUCUAUGUAAUCCCGACGUGUGGGCCUUUCUUCCUUAUUUCCUGAUAACCCCCUGCAGAAAUAGACAAACACCAAAACUCGUGGAAUUCUGUCAGAUAAAACCCUAAGUCUAGAUGUUGAUUUCAUUUGGAUCCUUUUCUUUGUUUAUUUGAUAAUUAAAUUUGAUACUUAAGGACCGUCAACAUCGACCUUCAACACCCGCCAUCUCUGCCGUCACCGGGAUGGUGAAUGCGUGCGGGAAGACCCAGAUGGAGCGUCUCCAAGAUGUGCCUAAUCGCAUUCGGGAGAUCACACUCCAUGGCGUCCGCUCAGGAGCGGCGGGCUUACUGGCAGGUGCUCAGCUCCGUGAUGGAGCCCAACUCUCAGAGACCCUCACCCCAGACUUCAUCGAGGAGUGUAAUGACGAGGACUUCGACGAGCUAGCAGAGGAAUUUGCCCCCUGCGCCAAUGCAAUGGCACUGGUUUCAUCAUCGGCAGACAUCAUCAGCCGUGUCUUCGACAAUGAAGAUUAGUUUUAGUUUGUUUUUAUUUUCAAUCAAUGUAAAACUUCCCUAAAUCAAUGAAGAACACUGCACUAGUAGUAGUUCUAUCUUAUCUUGUGUUUGCUGAUUCAUGAUAUCCACUCUUUCUGUGACAUUGCCCAUCGAGGCAAUCUGAAUAUGUCUUGUAUCAGCAAAACUAUUCUGUGUUCCUCAUCUUUGUGCUAAAGGCGAUAUCUAUGAUAUCGGCUAUAAAACCAUAACUCUAAAUAUUUGAACAAGACAAAUACUGCAUUAAUCCUUUUAACUAUCUUUGGAUCUAAUCGGCAAAAUUACUUUCCAAACUAGUUCACCUUCACUGAAUCUUCUUUCUCUUACUUUUUGAUUAUAGAACUUAGCAUUUCUGAUUUUAUUAGCUCUCAUAUUCUCAAAAGCUUUUAGCCAAUGGAAAUUCAAAUCAUCCAAAUUAUCCAACAUAAGGUUCUUAUAAUCAUCGGCUAUUAGCUUAUCUUCCUAUGAUAUCCUCCGAGAUCCCAAACUGAUUUCCCAGGGUAACACAACCUCAUGUCCAUAAACCAAUUCAUAAGGUGAACAUUUAGUUGAUCCAUGAUAAGCCAUCCUAUAAGACUAGAGAGUUUCACUAGUACUGAAUGCCAUCUCUUUGGAUUUUCUCUAAUCUUUUUCUUGAUGAUCUUAACAAGAAUCUUAUUCGAAGCUUCUGCUUGUCCAUUGGCUUGAGCACAGUAAGGUGAUGAACUAAUUAACUUGAAACCUAUACUGGUAGCAAAAUCCUCAAACUCUUUAGAUGUAAACAUUUUCCCUUGAUCAGUUCUAAUGGAUUAAGGAACUCCAAAUCUGUAAAUGAUAUGCUCUCGGAUAAACUCAAUCACAUUAGCUGAUGAUGCUAUCUUCAAAGGAAUAGCUUCCACCCAUUUAGUAAAAUAAUCCAUUGCCACCAAUAUAAAUUUAUGUACCUUACUUGAUGAUGGAAAUAUUUGGCCAAUUAGAUUUAUUCCCCAUCCUCUAAAUAGCCAUGGUUUCACAAUAGGAUUCAUAGCCGAUGCUGGAGAUUUUUGAAUAUUGCCAAAUCUUUGACACUCUUAGCAUCCUUUAUAAUACUUGAAGCAAUCUUCCAAAAUGGUCGGCCAAACAUAACCUGCUCUUCUAAUCAUCCACUUCAUCUUUUGAGUAGACUGAUGAGCACCACAAACUCCCUCAUGAAUUUCUCCCAUCAAAACCUUGGCUUCUUCUUGGCUGAGACACUUAAGGAGUAUGCCAUCAACUAUUCUAUGAUAUAGCUGACCAUCUGGAAGGACAAAUUUAAGAGCUUUGUACCUCAAUCUCCUAGAUACUUGUUGUGCUGGAUUCUUCAAAUACUCAAUGAUAUCCUUCCUCCAAUCUUCAUCUGCAACAACCUCAUCGGCUAAAAUUUCAAUAACUUGCCGAUAUCUAAAAGCAAUUUGAGCUAGCCGAUUAGCUUCUUGAUUCUGAUUCCUAGGAAUAUCUUUAUAAUCACAAAAGAAAAAGAAUUAAGAAGUUCCUGACAUUCUUCAUAAUAUUUCUUCAAGACAUCAUCCUUACACUCAUAUAGGCCGAGCAAAUAUUAAUUACCAAUUGAGAAUCACCAAAGACUUCAAUACUCUCGGCCUUUACCUCAUGUAGAAGUUGAAUACCUUUAAGAAUGGCUUGAUACUCUGCUUGAUUAUUAGUAGAUGUCGGUUUUAUGGGAAUAGCAUAUUCAAAACUUAUACCCUGUUGAGAGAUCAACACAAUACCGACACCUCUUCCUUGCUUACAAGUAGAUCCAUCAAAGAACAAAGCCUAAGGGGUUAACUCUAACAAUUUUACUUACCCUUCUCGAUGAUGAGUAAUAAAAUCAGCUAUAGCUUGACCUUUAACUGCUUUAGCCGAUUCAUACCUUAAAUCAAAUUCUGAUAAUGCAAGAAUCCACUUACCAAUUCUCCAAUUCAAAAUAGGCAUAGAUAGCAUAUGUUUGAUUACAUCAAACUUGGAUACCACUAUGCACUCCAAAGAUAACAAAUAAUGUCGAAGCUUAGUGCACAAGAAAUACAAACACAAACAUAUAUUUUCAAUAGGAGAAUAUCUAGUUUCUGGAUCCAAUAAUCUUCUACUUAAAUAGAAAUUUACUCUUUCCUUUCCUUCAAACUCUUGCAUUAAAGCCGAUCCAAUAGUGUGGUCACCGGCUGCUACGUACAACUUAAAAGGCUUUCACUUCUGAGGAGGGACUAAAACUGGUGGAGAUUUCAUAUACUCUUUGAUCUCUUCAAAUGCCUUUUGUUGUUCGUUUCCCCACUUGAACUAUUGAUCACUUUUUAAUUUUAACAAUGUAGAGAACGAGAAAAACUUAGCUCAUACGUUUGAAAUAAAUCUCCUAACAAAGUUAAAUUUGCCGAUAAGAGAUUGUAACUUAGUUUUUGAAGUUGGUGGUAUUGUCUUGCUGAUUGCUUCAAAACUAUUUUGUCCGACUUCAAGACUUUUUUCGUGCACCAUGAAACCCAAGAACUGUCCAGCUGAUACUCCAAAAGCACACUUGUGUGGAUUCAUCCUCAAUCCAUGCUUCCUGGCACACAUAAGUGUCUUUUUAAGAUCCUCCAAAUGUUCCUGAUAACCCUUGGAUUUCACAACCACAUCAUCUAUAUAAAUUUCAACAAUCUUGCUGAUCAACUCAUAAAAAAUAUAAUUCAUUGCUCUUUGAUAAGUUGCACUGGCUUUUUUAAGUCCAAAAGUCAUAACCACCCACUCUAUAUAAACCCAAUGCACCAGGACACCUAAAAGCAGUUUUAUGAAUAUCUUCUUCUGCCAUGAAUAUCUGAUUAUAUCCGGCAUUACCAUCCAUAAAGCUAAUCACUUUAUGUCUUGCUGCUACAUCAACUAACAUAUUGACAAUAGGCAUAGGGUAACUAUCCAUCAGGGUAGCUUUAUUCAAAUCUCUAUAGUCUAUACAAACUCUUACCUUACCAUUUUUCUUAUACAUAGAAACCACACUCGAAACCCAUUCCGCAUAUCAACAUUGCCGAAUGAACUUUGCUUCAUAUAACCGAGUGGUUUCUACUUUUACAUCGGCCAUUACCUCAGGCUUAAUUCUCCUUGGAGCCUGCUUAAAAGGUUUAUACCCAGGUUUAAUUGGUAGACAAUGUUCAACUAACUUUCUGUCAAGACCAGGCAUUUCAUAAUAUUCCCAAGCAAAACAAUCCUUAUAUUCCGGUAACAAAGAUACUAACUCUUGUUUGUACUUAGGAUCUAAUUUAGCACUCACAUAUGUUAGCCUAGGCUUAUCACCUUCACCUAUAUCCACUGCUUCUAACUCAUCAGCCGACAUAAAUCCUUUGCCAAUCUUGCCUUCAUCUUCAUCGACUAAAGAAUCCAUCAAUUAAAACUUUUCGAACCGACUGCUUGUAUCGGCUGUUAAUCAUCAUCAAACACUUUGAUGACACCUUCCUCAUAUAUCUUUCCAAAGAAACAUUUCAUGCCCUCAAAAUUCCACUCAUCUGUUCUAGCAUAAGAGAUACUCACAGAAGAAUCAGCUGGAACAACUUCUACAUCAUCCCCGAUCCACUGAAAUAAACUUUGAUGCAUAGGAGAUGGUAGCAAUUAGCAUGGAUCCAAUAUCUUCCUAAAAGCAAACAAUAUGUGCCUUUAGCAUCAACUACAAAGAAAGUAGUAGGCAAGCUCUUACUACCAACUGUCAGUUCAACACAUAUUGCCUUUGGUUACCGAAAUAUUGCCACUGGAAUUUGUCAAUCUCAUAUCGGUUGGACAUAAGUCAUUUGUCCUCUUACUGAGCUUCCUGGAUGUAGAAUAUGGCAUCAGAUUGACAGCUGCUCCUCCAUCGACUAGCAUCUUAGUCAAUGGCUUCCCAUCAAUAAACCCUUUGAGAUAUAAUGCCUUCAAAUGCAUAUGUUUUUUAGGUUUCUCAAAGGUACACUUUCUGCUUGACAAAUUCAUUGAGCCACAGCUACUUCUUCAUCUGAUUCUACUUCAUCGCUGGCUCUAAAUUUAGCAGGCAACAUGAAAAUAGAAGAAAUCCUAGCUGGUGCCUUACUUUUACUUUUAUCAACUGUCUGUUUAACUUGCCAUACUUUAUGUCUCUUCCGAUGCAACUAAUCAUUUCUCAGACGUUGAACCUUCCACUUCUCACUUCUGCUAAGUCCACUUGGGCACCAUUGAUUUUUCUGCCAAACAUACUCCUUAUCGGCUAUUUCUUGAUCAGUUAUUUCUACUUCAAGCUGAUCAUGAAUAUUUUUCUAUGUUUACACGCCGACUUGUUCUUUCAAACCUCAAUCUUUCAUGUAUAGGUCGGUGGUUGACCUUUGCGUGACGAUACUCCCAAUACUGAUCACUACAUUCAGGGCAAUUAUUGGGAGUUGGCAACUUCAGGCCUUCAUUCCAGCAAUGUUGAAAGAAAGGACAGUUCCAAUGAUACUCGUUUUCUUCCUAAACCCUCCUCCUUUCAUAUUCUUCUUGAUAUCUCCAAUGAUCUCUUUCUUGAUGCAUUUGCUCCUUUUCCUUCUGCCUUUGCCACUUGUUUAAUAAUAUUUUGACAGUAGGGCGUCUGCGCAUCUCACCACUUUUGGAGGUUUCUGGAACAUCUAAUUGACUAAUUUGUCGAUCUUGCUUUUUCUUCGUCUCUUGAUAUUCAGCAGCUGAUAUCUGUUUUAUAGAGUCCACCGCUUUGGCUUCCUUAGCUCUCUUAGAGGUGAGCACCCUGAACUUUUCUUUUGGAAAAGAACCAUAUUUGUUGGAAAAAGAUGUCCUAAUAUACCCAUGCCACUUUUAGCUUUCUCCAGCCCAAUCUUUCCUUUGUUGAUAGCUUGCUGGAUGAUAUCUCUAAAAACUUUGCAAUCCUUAGUGUUAUGAGUAUUAGAAUUAUGGUAUUUGCAGUACCUUUUCUUCUUGAGCUCCUCAGCUGAAGGGAUCUUAUGAUUUCCAGUCAGCUUAAUUUGUCCUUUCUCCAACAGAUAAUCAAGUAUUUUGUUAGCCUUGGCGAUAUCGAAUUGAAUUUCUUGUUUUCUUCUUUGGUUGAUUUGUUCUUGGCCCAUGGAAUGUACUUAGAAUAUUUCCACACCCAAUCCAUAGCAGCCACUUCAUCAUUCUCAACUUUUUCAUCACUGCUAUCGACUAACUCUAGGUCAGACUCAUAGCCAAGGUUAUUCAGCUUCUGAGGCCUGUCAAAGCAUGCAUAUUUGAACUGAGCCUUCAUGCUAGAUAAUUUUCUAGCCAAAGUAGCUAAAUUGGGACAAUCAAACUCUUCUUCUCUUAAUAGCUAGUAUUAGCCCUCGGAUUGCAAUGCUAACCAAUUCAGCUUCUGAAAGUGUCAAGGUAUAGCAUUGAUUCCUGACUUCUUUGAACCUCUAUAAAUAAUGAAGCGCAGGUUCAUUGUUCCUCUGUCUCACAUUUACUAAAUCUGUAAUGCUUUUCUCCAUAACUCCAGAAUCAAAGUAAUGAUGAAACUUGGUCUCUAAAUCUUCCCAUCCUUCAAUGGAAUUAUGUGGUAGAGAUGCAAACCAUGAAAAUGCUAGACCAGAUAGAGAAAGAGGAAACAACAUCACUUUGAAUGCAGGUUACACAGCAAUUUCACCUAGUUGAGCCAAAUAUUGACUGAUAUGCUCCAUAGUCGAUACUGAACAUGUUCCAGUAAACUUGACGAAAUCUGGCAAUCUAUAUCUUGGAGGUAACAAGACUUGACCGAACCAUUCUGGAUAUGGCUUUUUGUACGACACCGUUGUAUUUUUGGGCUUCAAACCAAACUGAUGUUGAACCAUAUCUGUAACUUGGAUCAUCAAUUGAUCUAUCUAGAACUGAUUCUCAUGUUGAACAUUUGGUUCUAGAUACCUUUGAUUCUGCAUUCUCUUAGCAUUUGGCUGAUAUCUAGGGUUUUCACAACCAUUUAAAGUAUAAUGCUCAGCAACAUAAUGAUAGCCAGGAGGUACCUCUCCAGGUGCCAAUCUUCCUUGAUAAGGUGGAGCGUUGAAAUCUCUAGCAAGCCUCCGGCUCUGAGGAGCAACUUUUGUAGCUAAUUGACCGUAAUCUAACAUCGGCUAUUGAACUGACUGCUAAACUGUGUUGUAGCGUUGAGUCAUAUUUGCAAAUUCUCCAGAUACUUGAUCUCCCGAUGUUUGCCCGACGAACAUCUGCUUAUUCCCAACAGGGACAGAAUACGUCGGUCCUCUAUUCUGAAUAUCCAAAUUGAAAGCUUCCUUAAUGGCAUUAGUGAUACCAUUCAGCAAUAUUUUAUUAUGAUUAGCCAAGGUUGAUGCCAUGGCUUUACUGAUAGUUUCACUCAUAGCUUGAUGUUGGAGAUGAACUGUAGGGUCACGUUCUCCUUCCAAAAUUACCCUCGAGAAAAGAGUCUUCUUGUAUACCUUCUUAUCUCUAGUUCUACUAAAAGAAAGUAAACACUUUUCUUUGUAUUGGUUUAUAGCAGUUUCAACCAAUUCCUUUAGCGAAUCCGGGAGUUCAUACAGAGUGACAUUGAGCACGUUCUCAUUAUCCAUGUUGAUGACUCUUGGUCCCACCGGGCAUGCCAAAAGAUGUGUUGGUGCAAAAAUUAGUUUCUCACACGAACAAUCUCGGGGACUCUAAGAGGGAGUGUAGGAGCUGGAGUCCAAGACCUCCUGAGCCACAAACACACGGGCUUGGUGAAUUGAUUCUGGGGCGUGCCAAUCAAUUUGACCUAAAAAUUAACAAUGUGAAAGUACAAACGUCAAAUUAUGGAACCUGCCAGUUACUGCUAGGCAGUUCUAAGAUAUAUGGCUUUAAGAAGCCGUUGAGCAAAGAAAACUAACUAGAAAGUCAACUCCUUGAAACGAUGCAAAAAGAUAAGCAUUAUCGAUCAUACUAAACAAAUGCAUCUUUUGGGUGUAAAUUAUUGAAUCUGCUAUUUAGCCGAUACGCUGUGUAUAAAGAUAAAAGAUAGCUUACAUGCAUUAUCCUUUUAUUCAUUAAAUAAAUAAUAACUUACUAAAACUGGUCUAACGACAUGCGGUUUCAAUAAAUUACUUUCAUAAUUUGUAUUAAAUCUAUAUUCACCUGGUCUAACGUCCAGCGGGCUUCAAUAAAUUCAACACAGACUACUAGUUCAUUCAAUGCAUAAGCAGAAUCAUGCACCCACGCUAUUCGUUUAAGCUUAUCUGGAUCGACUAUUUUAGCCGAUAACGGGUUCAUGAGGCACGAACAAGAUCUAUCUAUAUUGGUAUAAUCAGAUUUAGUUAUUAAUGCCAAAACUAACCAUAACAAAAUAAUUAUCUUGAACGCACAACAUGUAACGAUCAAGAUUAAUGAGUUAGCUAUCUUAUAUUCGCUUAAUGAUUGUCAUUUGCUUUGGAAUUUCAUAAUAAGUGAUUAGAUUUGAAGCUCGAGCCAACUCGUUAAACCUUGACUGGGCAGAAUAUUGUCACAAUAAAUAAAAUAUUUGAGCUUUGAACAAUAAUGAUAACUUAAUGAAUCUAUUAAAUUGCCAAUUUAAUAGAGCCAAUAACUAACUUGAAUCAUAAUUCAUAAGAGAUUGAAGCAAUGCAGCCUUACAAACACAAUUCAAGUCGAUAACUAGUUCAUAAUUAAGCUUGACAUGAGGUCGAAUGAUGCAGCCAUGACAAACUAAACAUGAACCAUAACAAUACUUACAAGCAAACCAAAGGUUGAAUUCAACCAAUGCAGCUUGAUUUAUUGAUGGUCUCAUCGAGAUCUACUUCUACUCCUACUCUUAAGGUUGGUGGCCGGAGUCAAAAGGGUUUGUAUUAUGAUUGUGUAUAUUUUUUUACAAGGAUUGGGUUCCUAAUAUUUAUAGUCCGGAGUCGUAGUCUCUGUUGACGGUCCUUAAUGCUCACAUUUAACUAUCAACUAAUCAUGGAAAAGGACCUAUAUGCAACCAACAUCCAAAAUUAGGGUUUCAUCUGACAGAAUUCCACGAGUUUUGGUGUUUGUCUAUUUCUGUAGAGGGUUAUCAGGAAAUGUGGAGGAAAGGUUCACACGUCGGGUUUACAUAGAGAUAUUAACGUGUGCGGCAAUUUUCUAUCAUCUAGAAGACUCCAGAAACCAUGGGAACGAAGCGGAGGCAGAACGGGGCCUGGCUUAGGGCGCCCGCCCUAGGGACCAGGGCGCCCACCCUCCUGUAGUGCCCAAUCAGGGUCAACUUCGCGGAUCGUGCUUCACCGACCUAAGGGAUCAAGGAAAACCAUGCGAUUAAUGUCGGUUUGAUGCGAUGGCCCAUAUUCAUUUGGAAGGACUAUAUAAGCAGACCCCCUAGCCCCUGGAGAACAUACCUCUUCUACAAAAUCAAAGCUAGGGUUUCAAUUAUUCAUCCAAGUAGAUAGGAUCCCUCUAGUUCAUCUAGUUCUAGUUCUAGUUCUAGUUAGUUCUAGUUGUAAUCUAGAAAAUAGGGAGAGAAGAGGACAGCGGAGGAGGAGCCGGAUCUGUCGGAUCUUCCUCAACAUUGUACUUUUGCAGCAACUGAUGCGUUCUUCAUCGUUCUCCAAGUUCUUCAAUUCAUAAUUCCUGAGUUCUUUAAUUACUUUUAUUUACAUUCAAGUUAUUUAUUGGAUUCCCACUUGCAUCAAGUGCUCUAGUCUUUAUAACGCUAGAGUAGUAAUUAAUAGAUUAGACAUAGUGUUUAGUCUUACAAUUACCUGGAAUUACACCCAAUCUUGCAGAUUGUUGUGGUAGCCCUAGGGUAGUGACAGAACCAACGGUCGACGUAUUCCACCUCGUUCGGAUCGGUGUUUGUAGGACCGUAGUAAGAGCUUCCUAGCCCCCUUCUCAUCUCUUUCUGUAGUUAGUGUUCUGAUGUCCCGAAAUAAAUAAUCUUUGAAGUAAUUCUUGAUUCUUAGAUCAACUAGAGAACUCUCAGGAAACUUCCUCUCUUCCUACCAAAAAUAAUUAUAUAGUUAUCCUUGGGCGAUCUUGAAUCUUAAUUAGUACACUCACGUUCCCUGUGGAAAAUCGAUACUCUGGAAUACGCCCGGCUGAAAGCUACAUCGGUAUCCGUGCGCUUGCGGAUUUUUCUGUUUGCGUUUAAAAUACCCAACAAGCCUUCUAGCGCCGUUGCCGGGGAACGGUAGCUGUGCUAGUUUCGAACCAAGUCGUCCGUGUAUCCUUUUUCUUUUCCUUUUUUACCACACUCACCUUACCAUUUUCACCACACCACAUGGAUUUCACUCCAAACAUUAAUGACCAUGGAAUUUAUUUCAUAGCCACUUUGUUUACUCCAUGCUCAUAUGCAACAUCUUCCCAAUCUUUUGGUCUCUCAAACAUCACCACAUUCAAGAUCUCCAACCCCCUCUUCCUUUCUAUUUAUAAAAACUUUAAACGGGCGGUUGUCGAUGCAUAUGUCUAUAAUAAAUAUUGUAGAUCUCGUUGAAUUGAUCUUGAUAUAGGUCAGCAUUGGAGGGGAAACCACUUCGCCGACAUAAAUUGAUGGUUUCCCAAGGACAAGCUUAGUGUCCUAAAAUAAGCGGUGAUCAGAUCGUAACAUGAGUUUUUAAUUAUUUGCAACAUUACCUUGUGUAUUGAGCAUAUAAGGAUAAUUUUAAAAAAAUUCCUUCCGGUAUUCUUGUCACUAACCAUUCUAGGAUUGGAGCAAGAAGAUCGGAUGAAUGACAAGCACAAGGUAUGUCCAACCAAUCAUCAUACAACAUUGAAUUAAAUGCAUCCAAACUUGAAUUUUGCAAAAUUCAAGCUUGGGGGAGUCCUUUACAUAAAAACAUCAUUUGCCAUGUUGCUAUGUUGGUUGUCCCUACCUUUGAGACAUGCUCAAUUUGUUAAAUACUAAUCACACUACUUCAUCUCCACUUGAGUAGAUCUCUAUAAAUGCUCUCAUGCUACCUUUAUUUACUUUAGUAUAUGUCUAGGUUUGGAGUAGUUUCAUUUAUCUCUUAAUUAAGCAUGGUGCUUAGUUUAGGGCUGAUGAUCUUACUUCCAAGGGAGUUUAAAUUAAGCAUGAUGCUUAGGUUAAAAUGUCCUCCUAAAUCAAAUUAGACAUGGUGUCUUGGUUGAUUUUUGAGCCGAUAGUAUGCUAUAGUAGAUAUGGGAUAUUUUGUUGGACUAACCCCUGCAGGAAAACUUUCAAUAUAGACCUGGGAAGUCCUGAGAUAAAACCACAUUGGAGACAAAGAGAGAGACACAUGAAGUUUAACAAUUUACACAAGGAAGACAUAGCUCACAAGAGAUGAUCCAUGGAGGGUGUUGACACUAGCUAACACCACUUAGAUACUAGGUUGUCAUCCCUAGCAUGGCGCCAGAGUGUACAAAGGUAUUUAUAAAUGUAAAGGCUCUCUAGAAAAUAAUCUAUUCUAUCCGUAAGCGCACAGAUAAAACACCUCAUUGUAGCAUUUCACCAGGAUAAGUAUUCCAGGUAUCGUUAUUUAUAAUUUUGCUCAAGGGAUCUCAAGAAGAUGAAAUUAAAUCAAGGGGCAAAAUCUAUCAAGGCAUAUACUAGAGAUAAACUUGCACGAACAUGAUUACUAAUGAGAAACUCGUCACACAGUCACAUACUUUAGCAGGGGGUAAACCAUAAAGAUAAUGAUAAUGAAUUAUAAGUUCAUGGGUAGAUAGCAUAGCGAUUAGAAAAUAGACUACUCCUCAUAUAUGUAGGUGAUGUCGGAUUAGCUAGAGAAUGGAUUCUAAGUUAUCUACUAACUACAAAGUCAUAAUCUACUCUAGUUAUCUACAAGAUCAUAUAUAGCAUAAAAGACUCUUCAUUCAUGUAUAAGGAACAUUGAUAAAGUAAAUCAGAGCAUCGCAUGACUUACUCCACAAUACCGGUUCUGCCUGUCCUAUCAACGGAGGGUGGACUAUAUAAGAAUCAAUGAAGCUAUCACUAUCAUGAACUACCACACGACCCGGCCAAUAGGAUACAUUUGCAGAUAAAUAACAUCUAAGCACCACGCUCACAUGUGAUCUAUCACCUAACUCCCUCGCGUCAAGAGCUAAGCGCUUUGCAAACUUAUACAUAAACUCAUUAUCAAUCAUAACUAUAUCAAAUAUAGAACUAGAGCAAACUAAGAACAUAAUAAUUAGAGACAUAAUGCCAUUAGAACAAAGAAUUAGAGAAAGAUAUGAAUAAUACCAAUCUUUAUUACCGAAGAUCCGAAUCCAGAGCGUAGUGCUCUACUUCUCUAAUUGCUAUCUAAUCAACCUCUAAACUUGAAGGAUUAGGGAGUAGCUAAUUCUAAUUCUCUAUGGGAGAGAAGCUCUAAAUCCUAACUUUGAUGGCUACCUCUGCAUAAUGAUUUCUCCUCUUCUCCUCCAGGAGCCAGGGGGUCUGGUUUAUAGUCCCCUCAAGUGAACGUGAGCCAUUGGAUCAAACCGACAUAGUUUGUGUGGUUUAGAUUGAUCCUUUAGGUCGGUGGAGCGUAGUCCCGAAGCAGAGUCCUGAUUGGACUCCUACCCUGGCCGGGCGCCCAAGGGGGGUGGGCGGCCGCCCUGCCCCCGAGCCCGAAUCCCUUCUCGUUCGUUCCCGUGGCUUCUGGACCCUUCCAGAUUGAGGAAAAUUGCGCGGCACGUAAUUAUCUCGUUGUAAACAUGACAUGUGGGGCUUCUUUCCAUAUUUUCUGAUAAACCCCUGCAGAAAUAGAUAAACACCAAAACUCGUGGAAUUCUGUCAGAUAAAACCCUAAUUCUAGAUGUUUGUUUCAUAUUGAUCCUUUUUCAUGUUUAUUUGAUUAUUAAUUUUAGUACUUAAGGACCGUCAACAAACUCCUCCAAGCUUACCCGUUGCUCGUCCCUGAGCAAAUAGCUAAACUCAGACGGAUCAGGAGUUGCUUCGAUGUUUUCUUUCCUGACAGGCACACAUGCUUCUACAUAAAAAUUCUUCCAGAUUAAAGUGAAGUGUUAUGGAGUUUAGUACCUGCACUUAAAUCUUAAGUAAUCGAAAGACAAAAUAGUUAAGUCAAGCACUAUCCCUCCUGUUUAUACUUCACCUUUGUUCUAGAGUUUUUCAUAGGUUUUCAAAAUAAAACUCAGAGUUCCCAGCAAUGAUUCUCUCAAGUCUCUCUAUAUGUGGUAUUUGUGGAUCCUUACCAUAAUGUCACUUACCUAUAGCUAAUGGAAUAUUUAAGUGGAGCUCAUAGGAGUGGAAAACAGCUCAUACAUAUAUUGUCUAAUCGAGCCAUGGAUCCAAAGGAACUCAGCAUAUAAUUAAAUCAAGAUGUGCAUGUGUGGUGGAGUAAAUGAUAGUGAUGGUGAAAAUGCAUAAGUUAUAAUAAAACUUAGUUCUCAUUGCUCCUCAUAUUGCUAUCUCUCCUCUUCUUUGAUCUUUGCUUUGGGAGAACAUGGGCUCUCUUUUUCUUUUCUUUUUCUCUUUCUUCUUUUUUUUCAGGUGGGUAGUAGAUACCCCUAAUUCUACUGUCGGACACUUGUCCAUUUUUCCCGCUCAAGUGGGCAUCUUUGUACCCCUAAUUCUACUUCGAACACUUGUCCAUUUUUACCUCUCGUCUCACUCUUUUUCUUUCUUUUUCGAGGUUCCGGGCACUUGCCCCUUUUUAUUUCCUCAUAUAUUUUUGCAUAACCCAUGCCUCUUCUGCAUUGAAUCUUUUUAGAGAGAGAGAAUAACAAUAUUCGGGACAGUGAGUGAUAAUAUUUUUAGCAAUUUUAAUGAUUGGUGAUGAAUGCUGUGGUAGAUGUGUGCAAGUGAAUAUCUUAAUUUAACCACAUAAAAAGCUCCUAAGGGUCUACACAGCUCGAUCAAACUCAAUGUGAAUAUAGUAAAAGAUGUUAUAGCAAGUAUGGCUGUGGUAGGUAGUUUGUUAUGCUAGGAACUCAUCAUGUGAUUUGUAAGUUUUCAAAAUAAAUCUCCAGGACUUAGUGUAGUAGGAACAAGAUAAACAGUAGCUCAACUUUAUAUCAUGCCUUUCUCUUACCUAGACUUUAGUUUUAUGCUUCCCAAAGAUAGUAAUUUUAGUUUUAGUAAUUCCUGGAAGAAUUCUAAUAUAAAAGCUAGGUACUUGUAAGUAAGCAAACAGAGCAACCGUUCAUCAUUUCCAUCAUGCAUCUUUUUGGUUUUUUUUUAUUUUUUCUAGAGAUUAAACUUAGCAGAAAAAUAAAGCACACUUAUCUACACACUCUUUUUAUUUUGUUUUCAUGUUUAUUAAAAUGCAGUAAUUUAAAGCAAGAAAAUAUUUAUUUAGUUUUCUAAUUUAAUUUUUUUUUCUUUUUAAGAUAAAUAAAAUACUAAGACAGAAUAGAAUAAAUAAGAAGAGCAAAUAAAAACUUACUUGAUAAAUUGGGGAGGAACUUCCCCAAGCUGGAUGUUGACGUCGGUCUUACCCGAUGUUCCAGAACCGCAUCAUGGUUGUGAUGUUGUUAUUCAUUGUUGUUGUAUCUUGUCUCAGCUCUUCUACAGCAGCGGCAUGGUCCUGGUUCUAUUUUUGUUGCUCUUCCAGGAGUCUUCCAUGUUCUGCUUGCGUGUUUUGGAUGUCGAGGAGGGUGUUGUCGGUACGAGUGAAGAAAGCACCGGGCUCUUGAUAGUAGUCAUUCGUGAAAGCGUAGGAGGCGUCGGAGUAUCGUCCUGCAUCAAAUUGGGGCGGAGGUCUGGAUCCUGAAGCUCCAUAUGGAUCAGUUGAGUACCUGCCCGUAUGGAAAGGCGGGUUUGUCCACUGGUGAUCUUGGCUCUCCGGCCAUGUCUCUUCUGUUGGCUCUUGUGGUUGCGCAUGACGAACCCAUGGGUCUCGAAGGACUCGAGGGUUGUAAUCGCAAUAAUGCAGGUGCGCUGCUUCUUCUGGUCCAGGGUCAGCUCCAUACCAGGUGCGUUCUCAGUGAGUGGUUAUCCUUUCAGAUGCCACUCGCUGUGGAGUUCUCUGGUUCACUGGUUUUGCUGCAAUCUCAAUCAAAAGAUUUUGAACAACGUAGAGGCCAAGGUUCGAGUUAGGUAAUCGAAUCUUGCCUUUAUCAUCAUAUAGCAUGUACAUUAUAUUCCCCUCUUUCUUUAACAUCCGAGCUUGUCUAAAUGUGUCAUAGCCAUGAUAAAUUCUUAAUUCUUCUAUGAAGUCCAGUGACGAGUUUUCUAGUAAGUGAAGAUUAGUGGCUAGACGAGUGAUAAGUGAAGUACAUCCUACUGGUCCCUGAAGACUAGGUAUACUAAGCCAAUGAGAAACUAAUAGUGUAACAGGUGAAGUAGGUACUUUACUAAUAGCAGCAUAUAAAAGUUGUAAAUCUCCUACUCUUACUUUCCUAAUAUCAUCACGAUAGAAAAGAUUGUACCCAAGCCAUUUGUGGAACAUCCUAAGAGUAGGGUGUUCCAUGUCACUGGUUCGGGCUUGACUAUAAAAAUUAUCUCUAGAUAUUUCUCUCCAAAACUGUGUCUCUCAAAAUUGGGUAAAUCGGAGUCAAUGUUUAGGAUGCAUCUUGAAGAGAAACCAAGAUGGUCGCUCAGUUCUCUCCAAGAUAACAUAAUUUCUUGUUUGAACAUCCGAAAAACAAUUCCCCCCUCAUAGUAUUGUAAAGUGCAAAGAAAUUCGAGGGUGAGAAGAUGAGAACCCAGCUCAGUUAUAUUCCAAAAAUUUGUCCAACCCAUCAUCUGAAAAAUUAAGUCAAAUUCAGUGUCCAUACCCGUUUCUUGUAGUAGGAUUGGAUCGAGAGUAGGGGUAUGAAUGAAAUCUUUGUUCUUCAGUUGCUGAUAGACUUCCUUCUCUCUUCGGGUCUUCAGUCCUAGGUCUCCUAUCUUGAGAAGGACCUUAACUUGCUGACCAGAUGAAGAUGAUGGAGCUUGCGUGAGUGUCGGGUCAACGCUCAUCUCUGAUGGCUGUGAGGAGUGUCGGGAUGAACUCCUUGUUCCAAUGUUCUUGAGAGCCUUCCCUGCAUUCUUCACUUUCUUAAACAUCCUGCAAACAACAGUUGGCAAAAACACAACUAGUGGAAAAAUGUGAGAUAAAAUGUUAGUGGUCAGCUGUCCGGGGUGUCAGUAGUCCAGGGGUUAAUCGUUCAAGACAAGUUUCUAUUUUGGUAGAGCCUCCCCCUAAACAACUUUUACUUCCACUUAGACAACUACUUACUAGGUGAUAAUUACUCUCUCUCAACUUCCUUCCCACUCUUCUCUUUCGCUCUACUCUCUUCUCUCUUCACUACAAGAGCUCCUUCUCGGGAAACUGAGGCUUGUGUGGUUUUCUGGAGUGUUUGUGUGAAGAAGAUGGAGGUAGAAUGUGGCUAUUUAUAGGAGGAAGAGGGAGCAGGGCGAGCGCCCUUGGUAGGUGGGCGGGCGCCCACUUGUGAUGCCCAUCCUGGGUGUGCCUCCUCCACUUGCUUCCUUGCUUUGAUCUUACGCAGAAUAAUGUUGUGGUGGUGGUUGGAUGGUGGAAAGAUGUCAGGUGAGUGGAAACAUAUUGGUGGAUGAAAUUAUGUGAUGGGAUGUAUGUGAGGUGUGGUGUAUGACAUGUGGGACCCACGGAGUGUGGGUCAUGCUUCUAGAAGAUCAAUAUAAAUAAAUAUAAUGCAGGAAAAUCUAUGAGAAUUGAAACUUAAUUAAAAUGAUAAUGGAAAAUAUUUUUGUGCCUCCACAAUAAUUAAUAAAUAUGGGUUGUUACACACCAUGAAUAUUAUUUAUAUGGGGCUUUUGAUUAUUAUACUAAUGCUAUGAAUAUAUAUGACUAAUGCAAGAAUUAAUUUUGCAAGAAUUUAAAUAUGAGGAUUAAUAAUGCGGAUAAAUACCGAUUUACCUCCCGGUGAGGGUUUGGGAUUUUUAGGUCCCCCAAGCUGGACCUCCAAUUCUUUUAAUCUUCUGAGUUACCUUCCUCUAGAGAUGGUGUCUCCAGUGGUUCUUCAUGAACUUCCUUCACUGUAGAGUCUCUCUCUGGUCUGGGUUUGAAUGUGAAGUGUUCUUCUUGUCCAUUUAUGUUGAACUUGAUUUCUCCUUUCCCGACAUCAAUGUGGGCAUUGGCAGUGCUCAGAAAUGGCCUUCCAAGGAUGAUGGAUACUUUUGAGUCAGGACUCAUGUCUAGUACUACGAAGUCUACUGGCACCAGGAAAUCUCUGAUCUUGACUGGAAUGUUCUCGGCGAUGCCCAACGGGUGUCGAACCGAUUGAUCCGCUAGUUGUAGGCACAUUGAUGUUGGUUCUAGGGUCGCAUGCUCAAGCUUUUUGUAGACUGAUGCUGACAUCACACUGACACUUGCUCCGAGAUCACAAAGUGCAUUGUUGAAGUGUUGGUUUCUGAUCGAGCAGUCAAUAGUGGGGCAUCCUGGAUCUUCCUUCUUCUUUGGUGGUUUGUUAAGGAUGGCCGCACUACAUUCUUCCGUCAGCUUGAUAACCUCAGUGGUGGGCAGUGGUCUCUUCUUGUUAAGAAUAUCUCUGAUGUACUUUGCAUAUGUAGGUACCUGUAUGGCAUCGAGCAGAGGUAUGUUGACAUAUAAUUUCUGAAUGACCUCUACAAACUUACCAAACUGCUCAUCCGACUGCAGUCCUCUGUUUCUUCUGGGAAAUGGCAAAUAGUUGGUGUCGUAAAAAUCUUUCCUCAUUUCUCUAGUUCUCGGUGGUUGGAGCAGAUCUUCUGCUUCAACUGGGCUUUCCUCUUCUAUCACUGCUAGUUGCACUGGUGCUGAUGUUCUUUGUUUCUCUUUUGGGUAUGGUGGAUCUCUGGUAGCUUUGCCUCCUCUAGUAGUUAUAUUCUUUACCUGCUCAAUGUUAGUAGCAACAGGCAGUGCAGCAGCUAAUUUUAUUAAUUUAAGCUCUACCCUUUUAUUAAGAGUGUUUUGCUCAUCAAAGGCAGUUAGUAGAAAAUCCAUUUUAUUGUAUAUAUCUUUUAGAGAUGAUUCAUUUGUAUCUAGCCUUUGUUUAACUUCAUCAUUAAUUUUGGUUUGUUGAGCAAUUAUCUCUUUUAAUGAAAGUUGCUUGAAAGUAUUACCUGAUUUCAUACCUUUGCUAUUGGGUUGACUCGAAGUUGGUUGAUAUUUGUAUGCUGUCUCAAUGGCCCUUUGAUCUUCUUUGAACUUGGCCCUCUGGUCAAUCCAAUGGAGCAAAUUUUCCAUCUUAGUUGAUAAUGCAUUUACUUCUUCUGGUAUUUCUUCAGUUUGAUGACAAUGUUGGGCUUUAUCUUGGAACUAGCUUUGAUUUUCUGCUAUCUUAUCCAAAAGUAUUUCUGCCUUUCCAGUUGUAAGCUCCAAGAAUGAUCCUUUAGCAGAUGCAUCUAGGCACUCACGAGCCUUCUAGGUUAAUCCAUGGUAGAAGGUCUGCAUAAGUAACCACGUGGCCAUUCCAUGGUGAGGACAAUCUGUUAUGUAUCCUUGAAAACGCUCCCAUGCUUCUAAAAUGGCUUCUGUCUUCUGCUGUUGGAAACUGACAAUAUUUCCUCUUAAGGCAGUUGUUUUGCCUAUAGGGAAAAACUUUGAUAGAAAGGCAUCUGACAAAUUCGUCCAGUUGUUGAUGUUAUCUUGAUGAGUGUAGAACCGCUUCCACGCUUUUCCUUCUAGUGAGAAUGGAAAAAGGCGAAGUAGUAUGACGUCUUUGUCAACUUCGUUGAUGUGGAUUGUGCUUCCAAUCUCUAAGAAAUUCUGCAAGUGUGCACUGGCAUCUUCAUGUGCCUUUCCACUGAAUUGUGUAGCUUGUACCAAAUUGAUGAGGCUUGACUUGAGCUCAAACUCAGGUAUUCCUUCUUCUACUGCAAAUCUUGGACCAGUUGGAAUGUUCUCAAGGCUUGGAGUAGAGAAUUCUUGUAAGGUCUUUUGUGCCAUAGCUUCAGCAAAUGGUAGCUAGCUUCUUCUUCUCUAGAUUGCUUUGGUUCUGAUGAUGAAGAGUUGAAUGUACCCAAAUUCAAUCCUUUUAUACCCUGUAUAAAAAUAUAAACUUAGAAAAACAACAGGGUGAACCUGCCAAAGCAGAGGUGCCUUGUUAUGAUUUCUCAUUAGUAGCUGUUUUUAUGCAAUUAUUUCUCUAUAGUCUAGUCUAAUAUUUUAUAUGAAUAACCUUGAUUGAUUUUCUAGCUUUCCUAGGCAUUACCCUUUUGUUCCCUUUUAUGACUUAUUCAUGAGACUCGUAUAAUAUCCCCGGCAACGGCGCCAGAAAUGCUUGUUGACACUAGCUAACACCACUUAGAUACUAGGUUGUCAUCCCUAGCAUGGCACCAGAGUGUACAAAGGUAUUUAUAAAUGUAAAGGCUCUCUAGAAAAUAAUCUAUUCUAUCCUCAAGCGCACAGAUAAAACACCUCAUUGUAGCAUUUCACCAGGAUAAGUAUUCCAGGUAUCGUUAUUUAUAAUUUUGCUCAAGGGAUCUCAAGAAGAUGAAAUUAAAUCAAGGGGCAAAAUCUAUCAAGGCAUAGACUAGAGAUAAACUUGCAAGAACAUGAUUACUAAUGAGAAACUCGUCACACAGUCACAUACUUUAGCAGGGGGUAAACCAUAAAGAUAAUGAUAAUGAAUUUAAGUUCAUGGGUAGAUAGCACAGCGAUUAGAAAAUAGACUACUCCUCAUAUAUGUAGGUGAUGUCGGAUUAGCUAGAGAAUGGAUUCUAAGUUAUCUACUAACUACUAAGUCAUAAUCUACUCUAGUUAUCUACAAGAUCAUAUAUAGCAUAAAAGACUCUUCAUUCAUGUAUAAGGAACAUUGAUAAAGUAAAUCAGAGCAUCGCAUGACUUACUCCACAAUACCGGUUCUGCCUGUCCUAUCAACGGAGGGUGGACUAUAUAAGAAUCAACGAAGCUGUCACUAUCGCGAACUACCACACGACCCGGUCAAUAGGAUACAUUUGCAGAUAAAUAACAUCUAAGCACCACGCUCACAUGUGAUCUAUCACCUAACUCCCUCACGUCAAGAGCUAAGCGCUUUGCAAACUUAUACAUAAACUCAUUAUCAAUCAUAACUAUAUCAAAUAUAGAACUAGAGCAAACUAAGAACAUAAUAAUUAGAGACAUAAUGCAAUUAGAACAAAGAAUUAGAGAAAGAUAUGAAUAAUACCAAUCUUUAUUACCGAAGAUCUGAAUCCAGAGCGUAGUGCUCUACUUCUCUAAUUGCUAUCUAAUCAACCUCUAAACUUGAAGGAUUAGGGAGUAGCUAAUUCUAAUUCUCUGUGGGAGAGAAGCUCUAAACCCUAACUUUGAUGGCUACCUCUGCAUAAUGAUUUCUCCUCUUCUCCUCCAGGAGCCAGGGGGUCUGGUUUUAUAGUCCUCUCAAGUGAACGUGAGCCAUUGGAUCAAACCGACAUAGUUUGUGUGGUUUAGAUUGAUCCUUUAGGUCGGUGGAGCGUAGUCCCGAAGCAGAGUCCUGAUUGGACUCCUACCCUGGGCGGGCGCCCUACCCCCGAGCCCGAAUCCCUUCUCGUUCGUUCCCGUGGCUUCUGGACCCUUCCAGAUUGAGGAAAAUUGCGCGGCACGUAAUUAUCUCGUUGUAAACAUGACAUGUGGGCCUUCUUUCCAUAUUUUCUGAUAAACCCCUGCAGAAAUAGAUAAACACCAAAACUCAUGGAAUUCUGUUAGAUAAAACCCUAAUUCUAGAUGUUUGUUUCAUAUUGAUCCUUUUUCAUGUUUAUUUGAUUAUUAAUUUUAGUACUUAAGGACCGUCAACAGAGGGUGCCACAAACACGAUGCACAACUGCUAAGAAAGAAAAGCUUCCACAAGGUGAUACUGUACCAUCACUCUUCAAGUAAGGUAACAUCUUAAGGUACUUGACUAUCACUUUUAUAAGCUUCUCCUUGGUUCUGGCUUUCACAUGAAUAAAAGAGACAAACAUGUAUGAUUUACAACUCUAGAUUAACCAACCCAAUCGAUUCAAUAUGUUUAGUCCUUCCACCUUUGUGAUCCCUCGCUCCUAGUCAUAUGAGCUAAAAUGUUGCACACUCAAUCUUUGGAAGAUAUAUAUAUAUAUAACAUAAGUAUAGAUAGAUUAUCUUUCCAUUAGGUUGAGCGAUCUGAUCUGACAAAUGUUUUAAAUGCUACACUCAUGAUCUUAUUAUCCAUCAACUUUGUCUUGCUCACUAUGCUUAAGGUUAGAGAAGAACAAAUACACUUUUGGUUCUAUUGGUGUUUUCCACCAACAGGGCCCAUGCACUUGAUCUCUGCCUUGUCUCUAUGAGCAGGUACACUUCAAGCAAAAUAUGGAGGAGUUUUACUACACCCAGACUCCACUAAGUGAAGAACCUAGAUCUACGAGCACAAACACACUGGAGAUACUAGACACUCAGGCAAUCACUGCCCUGAGAUGCUUGAGAGGACGUAAACUACAUCAACAACAGCUACUACUACUACAACCGUCCUCAACAAAAUCAAGGUUGGAAUCAACAGAGGCCUAACUUCUCAGGUAAUUAUCAAGGUAAUAAUUCUUACAAUAAUAAUAAUAAUUUUCUACCUCUGAGAGAGUUAGUGUCUAAUCAAGGAAAGCUAAUGGAUAACCUAUCUAAGAAAUUGGCAUCUAAUGAUAAAAUGUUAGAAAAUAUAAAUAAUAGAAUGGAUAAUUUCUCUACUGCCAUCAAGAAUCAAAUUAGCUUUAAUAAAAUGAUUGAAUCUCAGUUAAAUCAAAUAGCUGCUGCUGUUCCUGCUACUAACCUCGGUAUACCAUCACAACCGGAAGGAUUAAAAUAUGCAAAUCUUGUAGACAUGUUUGAUGCAGGUAACUACUGGAGUAACCCCGUUGUGGAAUUAAUUAUUGACCUACUGCCGGUCAAGAGAGGCAAUCCAGGACGCCCCGUCAUCCCAAUCUCCAUCGGCAUGGUGGACUUCCCAGAAGCACUCUGCGACUUUGGCUCCAGCGUCAACAUUAUGCCCAGGGUACUCUAUGAAAAAUUCUUUACACAUCUUUUACUAGAAACAAUCAUGUGUUUGCAGCUUGCAGAUCAGACACUAAGUUUCCCAAAGGGAAUAUUGAAGAACCUCUGCGUCUGAGUUGGUACCUUGUACGCCCCAGUAGAGUUUGUGGUGAUAGAAACUGGUACUGAUGAGAAGGCACCCAUCAUCCUAGGGAGGCCAUUCCUGAACACCUCGGGAGCUGUCAUCUACGCUAGUGCUGCCAAGAUCAGUAUCUACAUCAAGGGGAGGAAGGAGACGUUUUUCUUUCAAGAACAAGACUACACAAAUCUCAGAGCAAUCCCGACAUGAACCAAGGAAGAGGACCAACAGGAGGAACAUGAACAAGCAAAUGUGGACCGAGUCAACUAAGAUGGUCACUGCAGUUCAAGGAGGUCAAGAUCGUCGAGUUAAGUCACCGUUCCUGACCAAAAAGGACGACCUAGGUUAUUGAUAUGGGAGAAGACGAGUACGAUCCACCCAUCAUCCUUGGGAGACUGUUCCACAGCACCAUUAAAGCAAUCAUCUACAUUGGAACCGGAGAAGUACACAUGCACUUCCCCUCUGAGAAGUUACGCCGCUAUUUUACUGACCUUAACUAUAUAGUUGAAGACUCUAAGCAGGUCAGGUCAAGAAGAAGAUGAUGCACCGCAACCAGAGGAGGCAAAUCAUCAAGGACAGAUGGCAGACUACGAAGGAGAAUUGGUAAGGUCUUAAGACAUACAGCUUGAACAGAACUGUCCUAAGGAGACCGUAGCACCGAGUGAGGUGUGGAGAGAGAAGAUAGUUAUACACGAAGAGGAGGCACCGCCGGAACCACCGACUACGCCAUCCAGCGAAUCCCAUGACGACUGAGAAAACGGAGAGUCCUGUUCGAAGGACUCAAAAACACCGAACGCCUUGCCAAGAGGUAAACUUGCUAGUUAUCCUUUUCCUUUCAAUUAUUUAAAAUAGUUUGCUUAGUUAAUCAGGUUCAUAUCAUCUUGAAAAGAAAAUAAAAAUGUCAAAAAUAGUAAGCCCCAUGUGAGUAUGCUCAUGGCAUAAAACCCAUAAGUACAUUCACUGUGGUGGCGUAAAAAUAAUAUAAAUAUAUUCCUAUCCUAUAAAAAUAAAAAUAUAAAAAUAAGAUUGUGAUCCUACUAAAGAGAGUAACAUAUAUUGAGGAGGCUCAACAUGAUAAAGGCUAGAUAUUUAUGCUAACACUUAACUAGUUCCACAAAGCCUUGUUGUCUAUUUGACCUCCACAGAAUUCAAGGAUCAAAGAAGACUAGCAGACGGAGGACAUCCUAAUCGCUGUCAGGGUACUGCCGAUAUUCAAAUACAACUCCGCCACUUGCUAGCUACAUCAGAAGAAAUUACGUCAAAAUGCAGCUUGGGGGAGAGCACCCCCAUUUAUCCACCUAAGUGUUCUACUCACGUUUAUACUUUACUCAAAUUAUAAAAAGAUACAUAAUCAUAAAAACCCAAAUAAAGAUUUUGUGCUAAUAUAUAUAUCUUUGCUUAGUUUGCUACAUAAAUAAAUAAAUAAAGUUGGCUAUGAACCCUCAUGAUAAGCUCUCACAUGGAAAUGGUGAAUAGUUGCUCUGCCAUGACUAGUUCUCAAAAUUGAAAUCUCUCUCAAGUUUAGGCAUGACUGUUAUUAAUUAAGAUUUGCUCUAAACCUGAAUUUGUGGGAAGAGUACUUGAUCUAAUGUCUAAGUCGUUAACGGAUACGAUAUGGAAAGGUUGAGCCGCUGUUUAUCUGUUCCUAGAGAUGCUAGAAUUCUGGAGAAUUUUAUCUUUGAAAAUCUUUAAAAUGUUACAUGAUGAGUUCCUGUAUAAUGAGAGUUUAAAAUCCUACCACAGCCAUAUAUACAUGCUUAUUAGACUAUGAACCAUACAUUUACUUUUUACUGCUUAUGAGCAUUGAGUGUGGUCAAGUUGUGUAGACCCUUAGGAGCUUGUCAUGCGGUUAAAAUCAAGAUUCACUUGCACGUUCACUCAUACAUGCUGCUUCUACUCCGGAAGUACGCAUCCACAUACAUCCACUCAUUUCCAUAUCUAGAUUCACCGAAAAUUAUUCUACUCCUAUCUAGGAGAGAAUAGCCAAAAACAUUAUCCUAUCCCUGUUAUUCCCCGUGAAAUAAAUGCUCAAGAUAUUUUGGUUACUACCACUUGCUACAUUAUUCUAGGAGGGUGAGUGCUCUGAAAAAAAAGUGAAUACGAGGAAAUAAAAAGGGGCAAGUGCCCGGAACCUCAAAAAAAAGAAGAAAAAGUGAGACGAGAGGUAAAAAUGGACAAGUGCCCGACAGUAGAAUUAGGGGUACAAGAUACCCACCUAAGAGAAAAGAAAAAUAAAAUAUAGAGCAUCUCAUUCCCAUCAAAAGCAUCAAAUGCAAGGAAGGUAUGUACCCCCUCGAAAGAGCAAAAGUAGAAUUAGACUUUCACCAUUAUUUUCACCAUUAUCACCAUUCAUUCGCCACACAUGCACAUCUUGAUUUGACUUAUUGACUUGUUCUUCUGGAUCCAUGGUUUGACUAUGCAAUAAAUGUCUUAUAAGUAUGUAUUAGCUGUCUCCCACCUAUGAGCUCCAGAUAUCAAAACCUUAUUAGAGUAGGGUGAGAGAGAAGGCAAUACCACUAUGCCUCAUACCAAAAUACCACAUACUUUGAGAGAAGGCAUACACCAUUUCUGCCUUGGUAAGGAUCCAGAAAUACCACAAAAGAGAGACUAGAGAGAGUCAUACAAGGAAUCUCUGAGUUUUAUUUGAAAAUCUGUAAAAACUCCAGAGCUAUAGUUAAUCGAAGAACAAGAGACAUGGCGCUUGACUAGACCAUUCUAUCUUUUAACUGCUCAAGACACAAGUGACGGUUGCAAGCCCCAUGGUGGAAGGUAAAAUGAGUAAGUUUGAAUCUUAACAGUUUACCUUAACCCAGAGAUGAGAUCUUGUUUGAACGCAUGUGUACCUUUAAGGCAUGAAACCACUGCAGAAACUCUUGAGUCCAUGCUUGCUCAGGGACGAGCAAAGGUUAAGCUUGGGGGAGCUUGUUGACGGUCCUUAAUGCUCACAUUUAACCAUCAACUAAUCAUGGAAAAGGACCUAUAUGCAACCAACAUCCAAAAUUAGGGUUUCAUCUGACAGAAUUCCACGAGUUUUGGUGUUUGUCUAUUUCUGCAGGGGGUUAUCAGGAAAUGUGGAGGAAAGGCCCACACGUCGGGUUUACAUUGAGAUAUUAACAUGUGCGGCAAUUUUCUAUCAUCUAGAAGACUCCAGAAGCCACGGGAACGAAGCGGAGGCAGAACGGGGCCUAGCCCAAGGCGCCCGCCCUCCUGUAGUGCCCAAUCAGGGUCAACUUCGCGGAUCGUGCUCCACCGAUCUAAGGGAUCAAGGAAAAUUGUCGAUUAAUGUCGGUUUGAUCCGACGGCCCAUAUUCAUUUGGAAGGACUAUAUAAGCAGACCCCCUGGCCCCUGGAGAACAUACCUCUUCUACAAAAUAAAAGCUAGGGUUUCAAUUAUUCAUCCAAGUAGAGAGGAUCCCUCUAGUUCAUCUAGUUCUAGUUCUAGUUCAUCUAGUUCUAGUUCUAGUUCUCGUUAGUUCUAGUUGUAAUCUAGAAAAUAGGGAGAGAGAAGAGGAGAGCGGAGGAGGAGCCGGAUCUAUCGGAUCUUCCUCAACAUUGUACUUUUGCAGCAACUGGUUCAUUCUUCAUCAUUCUCCAAGUUCUUCAAUUCAUAAUUCCUGAGUUCUUUAAUUACUUUUAUUUACAUUCAAGUUAUUUAUUGGAUUCUCGCUUGCAUCAAGUGCUCUAGUCUUUAUAACGCUAGAGUAGUAAUUAAUAGAUUAGACGUGCUGUUUAGUCUUGCAAUUACCUGGAAUUACACCCAAUCCUGCAGAAUGUUGUGGUAGCCCUAGGGUAGUGACAGCCCUAAUGGUCGACGUAUUCCACCUCGUUCGGAUCGGUGUUUGUAGGACCGUAGUCAGAGCUUCCUAGCCCUCUUCUCAUCUCUUUAUGUGGUUAGUGUUCUGAUGUCCCGAAAUAAAUAAUCUUUGAAGUAAUUCUUGAUUCUUAGAUCAACUAGAGAACUCUCAGGAAACUUCCUCUCUUCCCACCAAAAAUAAUUAUAUAGUUAUCCUUGGGCGAUCUUGAAUCUUAAUUAGUACACUCACGUUCCCUGUGGAAAAUCGAUACUCUGGAAUACUCCCGGGUGAAAGCUACAUCGGUAUCCAUGCGCUUACAGAUUUUUUGGUUUGCGUUUAAAAUACCCAACAGUCUCAUGUCCUAAUAUGACUCUUUACUCAAAAAGGUAACUUGGACUCUAACUUUUUCUUUCUAGUUGAACCUGACACAUCUUCUUUCAUCUUGCCUUGUUCAGACACCCUUCUGAUCGACUAAUUCCACCGUGCCUUUGUUUAGUCGAUCCACUCAUCCGGCUGUCCCUCCUUCUAUGAAGUAGGCCCACUUGGCAGUUUCCUGUCUCGCCAAAAUUUGGGAUUAACAGGUCUUACCUAUCUUGUCAUGUUUCAUCAGCCGGAAGCAGAAGGCUCCGCCGGCCGGGUUCGCGCCCCGUAAGGCGAUCAAGGUGGGGGCGCUAUUGACGCCUGGGUCAGCGAGGGCCAGGUCCCCACCUCCCUCAAGCUGCGCGGAGGGGGGCAGCACCCAAGAAUUGGUAGAACAAGGGGCCGGAUAGAAGACACUAGAGCCCCAAGCAGCGAGAGAAGAGUUCCCUGAGGCCUAGGGCCCGAGGCUCGUCCCUCUAUUGGGACGGUCCUGGCCCUGUAGGCCGUCGAUUCGUCAGGGGACACCGACCUAGGUGGGGCCGAGAGGCUGGCCCUGGUUAUGGUAGACCUUGUUGAGGAGUCCCUGGUGAAAGCUAUCCCGGAGAGGCCUCAUGGGAAGGGACCGGUAGAGCCGAAGGCUGCGGGUGCCGACGACGGGGCCACCAGAUCAUGAGGGGAGACCCUGGUGAUCUAGCCCAACCUUUAUGACCUAGAGGCAGGGGCUAGGUUCGUCCUCGAUGACCCUACCAAGGCGUACCUCUAGAAGGGCCAGGAGGAGACAGGGCAUGCUGCCAUGAGGUCCAUCAACGCGGUGGUCAAGCUCGUGGGCCGUGAUCUCUCUAGCUUGGCCAAGGUAUGAAAACUUGGUCCCUUGGGGUAAACUUCGCUAUUUUUGCCUGUCCUACAUUUUCCAAUCCUUCAGGCGACUUCGCCUUUCAGGAGCUCAUGAUCAUGUCCCGUGAAAAGUCGAAAUUCCUCCAACGGGAGUGGGACGUGUGGAUGGCACUACGUGAGAAGAAGGCUGCCCAGAAGCUGGCGGAGGAUAGGCUCUCCAAUAAGUGUAAUGAGGCAGCCGAUCUCCACCGCCAAUGCACUGAUCUUGAGGCUGAGGCUCGGGAGGCCCAGACGAGUGUCGCAACUUUAGAGAAGAAGGUCGAUGAUCUUAGCGAGGCUCUCGUUCGGGAAGCCCAAGAGCGGAGCGCUGUCAAAAAGCACUGUCAAAGUGAGGUGAUCUGGGUUGAGACCCUGCUAACCUAUAGGGACUAGGCCCUGAACUAGGCAAGGAAUGACCUUACCGAGGCCCGGAAUUAUAUAUCCUGGUGGUAGAGUUGGGCAGAGACUAAGGAGAAGGAGAUAAAAGGUAAAACUCGUGGUUUUACCCAAACUAUUUAUAGAUGGGGUGGAAUCCUGUUCUUAUGUCGUGUUUCUUUGUAGACCUGGAGGGGAAGAUGGCUGAGGCGACUUUGACACCCGACGCUCUGCGGAAGACUCUAGACGCUAAGGCUUUCGAGCACUCUGCACUCUAGGCCAUUGUGGCCUCAGUUUGCGACGGGCUCUGGGUCGAGGCAGGUCAACCAUGGAGCUCCCGCCGCGGGUGCGUCGAGGCUCUUUACACCUACGUGGGCGAGAGGCUGAGGAAUGCUCUCCACACCAGGGUGAAGAGGGCCUUGGUAGUGGUGUGCUCUCACUACCUUGGCAUCGACUUUCCGGCGGUUAGCGAGGGCUACGUCAUCGGUGAUGAUGAAGACAAGGCCCAAGAGGAGGUCUAGAAGCUCACCGAUGCUGCGGAGGUCCCUAGAGAUGCCUUGGCUAGCUUCUAUGACUCUGAAGUGGCACUUCCUCUGCUGAAUCUGUCGAGGCCUGGGGAAACAGGGGCGUGGAGCCCUUGUAAUAGUUUAGCUCAUUUUUUUGAACUUGGUGGCCAAUGAGGCCUUUUUAGCAGACUUAACACAUAUGUAUACAUUUAUAAGCAUUUUUUUUAUCUAAGUCUUGUAUUUAUUUUUCCUCAGAAUCGUCCUAGCCUCGACAACACGGGGCAAGGUGGAUUACAAAGGUUUUAAUCUUUGGUCGGGGCAUUCCGAGCCCAAGUAUUUUUCUUGUUCCUUAGCAUUUCAGACCCUUCGCGGGACUUGCCUAAAAACUGAGAAAAACCAUUCUCCUAGUACUAUGGGGAUGAGCAGAAAAGGUCUAAGCCCAUGGGUUUGGACAGUUUCAGGCUCAUCCGGCCUUAAGUCUAGUGGGAUGGUUUGUGAUUUUUAGUUUUUUAGGAACAAGAAAGAGAGCUUGGAUCAGAAGACUCUAACCUAAGAAAAUUUUGAAAAAGAAUGGGGGGACCCCCAUGUAGCCCCCGAGGGAGGCUCGAGCUCUGCUUAAGUUGACCGAGACUCGCUUCUUGAGGCAAAAGAAAAUUUGCAUUGCACAAAGCUUAUUUCUUUAUUGCUUUUUCAAGAAAGAUGGCAAGUGCAAAGCUUCUUUACAAAACUAAGGGUAGAAGCGACGUAGCUGCUCUAUGUUCCAGACAUUGGUGUAGACUUCCCUCUCUUCAUUGGCAAGCUUGUAUGUCCUAGGUCGGAGCACCUCGGCGAUGACAAAAGGUCCCUCCCAUGGAGGAGUAAGCUUGUGGCGGCCCUUGUUGCUUUGUCUGAGCCUCAGCACCAAGUUGCCAACCUUGAAGGCUUGGCCUCGGACGCGUCGGUCGUGGUACCGUCGAAGAGCCUGUUGGUACUUGGCUGAAUGGAGGAGGGCUACAUCUCGGGCCUUAUCUAGCUGAUCUAGGGCGUCUUCUUGGAAGGACUUGUAGCUAUUCUCGUCAUAGGCAUGUACCCUUGGGGAUCCAUAUUCUAGGUCUAUGGGGAGGAUAGCCUCCGAGCCAUAGACCAUGAAGAACGGCGUAUACCCCAUGGCUCGGCUUUGGGAGGUCCUUACGCUCCAAACGACAGUGGGGAGCUCUUUGAGCCAUCUUUUUUUGAACUUGUUCAACCAGUUAUAGAUCCUAGGUUUUAGACCUUAGAGGAUCAUGUCAUUGGCACAUUCUACCUGACCAUUGGCCUUUGGAUGUGCCACUACUGCCCAGUCCACACGUAUGUGGUGUCUGUCGCAGAAGUCUAGGAACUUCCUCCCAGUGAGCUGUGUGUCGUUAUCCAUGAUAAUGGAGUUAGGAAUUCCAAAUCGGUGGAUGAUAUCUAUGAAGAAUAGCACGGCUUCUUCGGAUUUGAUUUUAACAAUGGGGUGGACUUCGAUCCACUUAGAGAAUUUGUCGAUGGCAACCAAUAAGUGGGUGAAGCCCCUAGGCGCCUUCUAUAGAGGCCCAACGAGGUCGAGGCCCCAAACAUCAAAGGGCCAGGUGAUGAGGAUCGUUUGCAGUGCCUGAGCCGGAAGAUGGGUUUGUCGUGCGUAGAAUUGCCAACCUUCACAGGUUUGGACAAUUUCCAUAGCAUCUGCCAUGGCCAUGGGCUAGUAGAAGCCCUACCAAAAGGCAUUUCCCACGAGCGUCCAAGGUGCGGCAUGAUGUCCGCAGGCCCCUAUGUGGAUUUUUCGGAGGAGGCUCCUGCCUUCAUGAAUGGUGAUGCAGCGCAGGAGGAUUCUUGAUGGGCUAUGUUUGUACAUCUCGCUGUUAAGGAGGACAAACAUCUUAGCUGAACGAGCAAGUCACUGAGCCUCGGUGUGAUCUGAGGGGAGGGUUCCAUUGACGAGUCAUCGGAGGUAUGGGAUGCGCCAGUCCGGCUGGUUAUUGAGUUCGGGCACUUCCAGCAUGAUGUCCAUGGCCUCAGGCUCGGGGGCCGUAGAGGCCUCAGAGCCAGGGGCAAGCUCAGCCAGAGCGUCACUCGCUCCCUCAACUUCUUUGUAGUCAAUGGAGGGCUUGUGGAGAUCACUCGUGAAGACUGUUGACGGUUCUUAAGUACCAAAUAUAAUCAUCAAAUAAAUAAAGAAAAGGAUCCAAAUGCAACCAACACCUAGACUUAGGGUUUUAUCUGAUAGAAUUCCACGAGUUUUGGUGUUUGUCUAUAUCUGCAGGGGGUUAUCAGGAAAUAAGGAAGAAAGGCCCACAUGUCGGGAUUACAUAGAGAUAUCAACGCACCGCGCAAUUUUCUACCAUCUAGAAGACUCCAGAAGCCACGGGAAGAAAGCGGAGGCCGAAAGGGGCCAGGCCCAGGGCGCCCGCCCUCUGUUGGAUGCCAAUCGGGACUCUGUUCGCACACGACGUUCCACCGACCUAAAGGAUCAAGGAUAACGUAGUACCACAUCGCCUGCUGGACCGAAAAUGCAUAGAGGAGGAGGACUAUAUAAGCAGACCCCCUAGCCCCUAGAGGAGACAAGUUUUUCAUAGAGUUGAGAGGAGCCCUCGAAGGAAUACCUCUCCUCUAAAUAAAAUUUAUUUUAGGCUUAGCAUCCAAUGUGAGUAGAAUUAGAUCUUCUAGUUUCUACUAGAUUGAGAGAGAUAGAGUGGAGGUGUAGAUCGGAGGACGGCCGGCCUGUCGGUGUCUACUCCGAGGUUGUACCUGCGGGAUCAAGUCUUCUAACCCGAGGCUUGCUCCUAAGAUUCUUCAGUAAUUCGACUUCUAAUUCUAGUAAGUUCUUGUUUUACUGUUCUUUGGUUUAUGAGUUUACUUUAAUCCUCUUCCGGUUGAGUAUUAGAGUAAUCAUUGCUAGCGUAAACGUGGUGUUUAGGCUAGGGUACUCAUAGAUAUCCCUUGACUAGCUGGACCGUGGUAGUAGCUAGGAACGUGACAUUUCCGAGUUUCCGUUGUAUCCCACAUCUCGUUAGCAGAACGGGUAGGUUUAUAGGUGUGGGUCGAACAUCCUUUGUGGUGUCUAGUGUUGAUAUUUGGGAACGCAAUAAGGAAUUGAUCCGCAAGCGCACGGAUAUCGGUGAGCACUUCACCCGGGAAAUUAUCCAGAGUAUCAUAUUUAUUUUUUUACCACUAGGAGAAAGAGUGCAUCUGACUAACCGGUCUAUUACUACUAACCCUUUAGGCAACAAAGAAUGUUCUCGAUGUGAGUGAUAAAUAGAGAAGACUACAACUGUAAUCUCCUUCUAACCUUGGCAAGGAUGAUCUACUGUUCUAUUGGGGAGGCUAACGGAAUAUAGACACCACAAAGGAUGUUCAACCCGCACCUAUAAACCCUAUCCUUCCUGCUAACGAGAUAUGGUCUGCAAAGGUAACUCGGAAUUGUCACGUUCCUCACUACUACCACGGUCUAGCUAGUCAGGGAAUAUCUAUGAGUACCCCAGCCUAAACACCACGUUUACGCCAGCAAUGAUUACUCUAAACUCUACGCGAAGAGAUUAAAGUAAACUCAUAAACCAAAAGAACAAUAAAACAAGAACUUACUAGAAUUUAGAAGUCAAAAUACUGAAGAAUCCUAGGAGCAAGCCUCGGGUUAGGAGAACUUGAUCCCGCAGGUACAAGCUCGGAGUAGACACCGACAGGCCGGCCUUCCUCUGAUCUACACCUCCACUCUUUCUCUCUCAAUCUAGUAGAAACUAGAAGAUCUAUUUCUACUUACAUUGGUUGCUAAGCCUAAAAAGAAAUAUUAUUUAGAGAAGAGGUUUUCCUUCGAGGGCACCCCUCAAUCUCUAUGAUAACUUCUUCUCUUCUCCAGGGGCCAGGGGGUCUCCUUAUAUAGUCCUCCUCCUCUAUGCAUUUUUGGGUCGGUAGGCGAGGUGGUACUACAUUAUCCUUGAUCCAUUAGGUCGGUGGAACAUCGUGUACGAAGAGAGUCCCGAACGGAAUACUGGAGGGGGCGGGCGCCUAGGUCCUCAGGGCGGGCGCCCUGGGCCUGGCCCCUUUCGGCCUCUGCCUUCUUCCCGUGGCUUCUGGAGUCUUCUAGAUGGUAGAAAAUCGCGCGGUGUGUUGAUAUCUCUAUGUAAUCCCGACAUGUGGGCCUUUCUUCCUUAUUUCCUGAUAACCCCCUAUAGAAACAGAUAAACAACAAAACUCGUGGAAUUCUGUCAGAUCAAACCCUAAUUCUAGGUGUUGGUUGCAUAUUGGUCCUUUCUCUUGUUUAUUUGAUAAUUAAAAUUGAUACUUAAGAACCGUCAACAUCUAGAUUCCAUAAGCUUCCCCAAUAGAACAGUAGAUCAUCCUUACCAAGGUUAGAACGAGACUACGGUUGCAGUCUUCUCUAUACAUCACUCACAUCGAGAAACAUUCUUUGUAGCCUAAAGGGAUAGUAGCAAUAGAUUUGGUUAGUCAGAUGCACCCUUUCUCCCAGUGGUAAAAAUAUAAAUACGAUACUCUGGAAAACCUCCCGGGUGAAAUGCUCACCGAUAUCCGUGCGCUUGCGGAUCAUUUCCUUAUUGCGUUACUGUUGGGUAUUCUUAACAUCAUUACCAAAAGUAGACUAAGUUUUCUAAAUCUAGUAACGGUGCCAAAAAUGCCAAACCUAUCCCUCACACCACUUAAGCCAAGUUGUCAUCCCCAGCAUGAUAUAAGAGACGCGGUAUUGAAAUAUGCAAUUGCUCUUCUAAAUAAAUAAUGAAUGGGAUCUGCAAGCGCACAGAUUAAUACUGAUGUAGUAUUUUAACCGGGAAGUAUUCUAGGUAUCGUUAUUUAUAUUUUUACCACUGGGAAGGGAUUAGCAAUCAUCAAUAUUGAUUACAGAAUAGAAUAUGAGAUUGAGUAUCUAUCAUUGCAUAUGUAAUUGAGAACAUUAUAUCUAACUCUUCAUACAGGGAUAAGUGUCACAUAAAAGAUAUAUGAAAUAAUAAUAGUGACAAAGAUAAUUAAUCUGAUCUAGCCACAUAAUAAAUAUGAUAAGCACCUCAAUUAGAUACUCUAGAAAGUCAUUAGCAUGGUAUUAGAACGAACUACAAGAAUAUUCCCUAAGUUAUUCUCAACUAUAUAGUCUAGCAUUAUCAUAAUUAGUGCAAGCAUACUUAGCAAUCAUUGCGAGACAAGACUACGCCCAUGCAUAGUGAUAUUAGCAAGGUAAAUGAGAAACAUAGCAAUCACUCCCCUGUAAUAGUAUUGCUCUGCCAACCCAAUACACGAGAGGGGGACUAUAUAAGAAUCAAUGAAGCUGUCACUAUCACGAACCACCCCACGAUCUCGCAUACUGGGUACAAUCGGAGAUAAAUACGGUAUAAGCACCACGCCUACACAAUAUCUAUCAUUUACCCAUGGAUCCGAUGGAUAAACGAUAUACGAUCCUAAGCAUGUAUAUAGAUCCAAUCUAACUAAGCCAUGUACAUAACUAUGAUAAACUAAGAACAAUAUAAUCUUGAAUAUAAGCAAGUAGAGCAAAGUCAUAAGCAAUAUAUUGAAGUAGAACAAAGUCAUAUUCAUAAUACUGAAGAACAAAGAUAAUUAGAAUGUAAUUAGAAGCACAAUUAGAGAAUUACCAAGAAUCCUCUUGACAGAUCCAAAAACCAAUCGAAGAUUGACUCCUUCUAGCUCUAAUCCUAUGUAGCUAUGCUAAUCUAGAUAUCUAAUUGAUGUGGUGGCUCUAAUCUUGAUCAAAGGCUUCUUCUCCCUUGAGGAACAAUGAAUUAGGGUUGAGAGGCUCUCCCCUCUAGGGGCCAGGGGGUCUGGUUUUAUAGUCCCUUCAAGUGAAUAUGGGCCGUUGGAUCAAACCGACAAAGAUUAUAUGGUUUAGAUUCAUCCUUUAGGUUGGUGGAGAUCUCCCACGAAGCAGAGUCCUGAUUGGACUCAGGGAGGGGGCGGGCGCCCUGCCUCUGGCCCCGUUUCGCCUCCGCUUCGGUCUCAUGGCUUCUGGAGUCUUCUAGAUGUAAGAUAAUUGCGCGGCACGUUAAUAUCUCUAUGUAAUCCCGACGUGUGGGCCUUUCUUCCGUAUUUCCUGAUAGCCCCCUGCAGAAAUAGACAAACACCAAAACUCAUGGAAUCCUAUCAGAUAAAACCCUAAGUCUAGAUGUUGAUUUCAUUUGGAUCCUUUUCUUUAUUUAUUUGAUAAUUAAAUUUGAUACUUAAGGACCAUCAACAGUUACCAAAUAUCAACAAGCAUUUCCGGCGCCGUUGCCGGGGAGAAAGACGGUUUGCUGAGAUAACUUUAAGUCUUGCUAUUAUCUUGUAUUAUACUCUUAUACUUUUACUCUUUUAUCUUUUUAUUUUUAUCUUUAUGGAUAACUUAAAUUCCAUACCUAUUAUUGAAUUCUUUGCACCUUCGGAGACCAGCCAUAGACCAUGGGAGUCAACAAGUCCUGCCCCUAAUUAUGAUCUGUGUCCGGAGUUGAUUGCAAUAGGUCAAAACCAACCCUUUUCUAUAGCUGAGGUCCUAUCUUUUAAUCAAGAAGAUAAUGCACUUUUAGCUACACCUAGGGAAUCUGUUAAUCUUUCUAUGAAUUCUGGUUUAGACCUAGAAGACCAUGUUUUUUCUCGAUAUUUUCACAUUGGUCUUAAUCAUAUAACUUUUGGUAGAGUCUUUCUUUCUUUAUCUAUUAGUAAAGAAAGGUAUGUCUUCAUUUGUGGACAUCCUUCUUGCACUAGUCUUCAUAAAAAAUUUCUAGAGAUAGAGAAGGAAUCAUCUCACAGACAAGGAAAGGAAGUUUCAAUAGCCCAUUUCCAAACACUUCAAUCCCAUGAUUCGGCUAUCAAACCCAUCCUUGAGCUUAAUAAUUUCUACUACGCUCUUUCUCUUGAACCUCUCGAUGAUCCUAUGAAUCUCUAUAGAUAGCCCAUGCAUAAAAGUCACCAAGACCACAAGGAGGAUUGAGAAGAGCAACAUCAAUGGCUAGAGGGCAUUAAAAAUCCAUGUGCUAUCACCACAUUUGAGAUCUCCAAUCCUCUUUUCCUUUCUAUUUAUAACAACUUUAAAAAGAGCGGUUGUCGAUGCAUAUAUUUAUAAUAAAUAUUGCAGAUCUCGUUGAGUUAAUUGAUGGUUUCCCAAGGACAAGCUUAGUGUCCUAAAACAAGCACUUAUCAGAUCGUAACAUGAACUUCUAAUUAUUUGCAACAUUGCCUUGUGUAUUGAGCAUAUAAAGAUAAUUGUAGAAAUAUUCCUUCGGGUAUUCUUGCCACUAACCUUUCUAGGAUUGGAGCAAGAAGAUCAGAUGAAUGACAAGCACAAGGUAUGUCCAACCAAUCAUCAUGCAACAUUGAAUUAAAUUCAUCCAACAUUGAUUUGCAAAAUUCAAGCUUGGGGGAGUACUUUACAUAAAAACAUCCUUUGUCAUGUUGCUAUGUUGGUUGUCCUUACCUUUGAGACAUGCUCGAUUUGUUAAAUACUAAUUACACUACUUCACCUCCACUUGAGUAGAUCUCUAUAAGUGCUAUCAUGCUACCUUUAUUUGCUUUAGUAUAUGUCUAGGUUUGGAGUAGUUUCAUUUAUCUCUUAAAUCAAGCAUGGUGCUUAGUUUAGGAAUGAUGAUCUUAUUUCCAAAGGAUUUUUAAAUUAAGCAUGGUGCUUAGGUUAAAAUUCCCUCCUAAAUCAAAUUAGACAUGGUGUCUAGGUUGAUUUUUGAGCCGAUAGUAUGCUAUAGUAGAUAUGGGAUAUUUUGUUGGACUAACCCCUGCAGGAAAACUUUCAAUAUGAACCUAGGAAGUCCUGAGAUACAAACUCACAUUGGAGAUAAAGGAGACACAUGAAGUUUAAUAAUUUGCACAAGAAGGACAUAGCUCAUUCAUCAUAAAGAGAUGAUCCAUGAAGAGUGCCACAAACACAAUGCACAACCACUAAGAAAGGAAAGCUUCCACAAGGUGAUACUAUACCAUCACUAUUCAAGUAAGGUAACAUCUUAAGGUACGUGACUAUCACUUUCAUAAGCUUCUCCUUGGUUCUAGCAUUCACAUAAAUAAAGAGAAAAACAUAAAUUAACCAACCCAAUUAAUUCAACAUUUAGUCCUUUAAUCUUUGUUCUUAGUACUACCUUCGUGAUUCCACACUCCUAAUCAUAUAAGCUAAAGUAUUGCACAUUCAAUCUUUGGAAGAUAUAAAGAAAACAUAAAUAUAGAUAGAUUAUCUUUCCAUUAGGUUGAGCCAUCUGAUGUGACAAAUGCUACACUCAUGAUCCAUCAACUUUGUCUUGCUCACUAUGCUCAAGGUUAGAGAGGAAUAAAUAUACUUUUGGCUCUGUUGGUGUUUUCCACCAACAGGGCCCAUGCACUUGAUCUCUGCCCUGUCUCUGUGAAUAGGUACACUUCAAACAAAACAUGGAGGAGUUUUACAACUCCCAGACUCCACCGAGUGAAGGACUUGGAUCUAUGAGCACAAACACACUGAGCAGGAUACUGCCAACACCGCACUUCGAAUUGCUGGGCAAACGAAGAACAUGGGUGAUAAUGUAUUAAGAGGUGGAGACGUCAAGGUCCACAACUAAUCGAAUGAUGCACAUAAAGGAUGAAGACGGUGAGAAGUCUUGUCCAGAAGACAUAAAACAUUGGAUCCUUGUCGGAGGAGGUCAAGAUCGUCGACUCAAGUCGCCUUUCCUGAUCAAGAAGGACGACCGGGGUGUUCCAAGCAUCGAGUGCACAAUCAAUGGAUACUCUUUUCAGAAGACACUCUACGACACUGGAUCUGACGACAACAUAAUGGCCGCAGUCACUUAUCAGCUCCUGCAUGGAACCAUGCUCCUACAACCAAGAUACAUUCAGCUCCAGAUAAUUUUCAUGUCAUUGACAUGGGAGAUGACAAGUAUGACCCACCCACCAUCCUUAGAAGUCCGUUCCUCAACACUAUCAAAGCCAUCAUCAAUAUUGGAACCGGAGAAGUCCACAUGCACUUCCCCUCUGAGAAGGUACGCCACUACUUGAAUGAUUCUAACUAUAUAGUUGAAGAUUCUAAGCAGGUCAGGACAAGAAGAAGGCGACGCAACCGAAAUCACAGGAGGCAAAUCAUCAAGGACGGAUGGGUAGACUACGAAGGAGAAGUGAUAAGGUCUGAAGACAUACAGCUUGAACAGAACUGUCCUGAGGAGACCGUAGCACCGAGUCAGGUGUGGAGAGAGAAGAUAGUUACACACGAAGAGGAGGCGCCGCCGGAACCAUCGACUACGCCAUCCAGCGAAUCCUAGGACGACUGAAAACGGAGAGUCCCAUUCGGAGGACUUAAAAACACCGAACGCCUUGCCCAGAGGUAAACUUGGUAGUUAUCCUUUUCCCUUCAAUUAUUUAAAAUAGUUUGCUUACUUAAUCAGGUUCAUACUAUCUUGAAAAGAAAAUAAAAAUGUUAAAAAUAGUAAGCCCCAUGUGAGUAGACUUGUCGUUUAAAAACCCAUAGGUAUAUUGACUGUGGUGGCAUAAAAUAAAUAUGUUUUCAUCUUACAAUAAAAAUAUAAAAAUAAUAAGUGUAUGAUCCUGCUAAAUAAAUAACAUUUAUUGAGGAGGCUCAACAUGAUAAAAGCUAGAUAUUUAUGCUAACACUUAACCAGUUCCACAAAGCUUUGUUGUGUAUUUGAGCUCCACAAAAUUCUAGGAUCAAAGAAGACUAGCAGACGGAGGACAUCCUAAUCGCUGUCAGGGUGCUGCCGAUAUUCAAAUACACCUCCACCACCUGCUAGCUACAUGAGAAGAAAUUACAUCAAAAUCCAGCUUGGGAGAGAGCACCCCCAUUUAUCCAGCUAAGUGUUUCUACUCGCAUUUAUACUUUAUUCAAAUAAUAAAAAAAUGCAUAAUCAUAAAAAACCCAAAUAAAGAUUUUGUGAUUUUAUAUAUAUCUUUGCUUAGUUUGUUAUAUAAAUAAAUAAAUAAAGUUUGCUAUGAACCCUCAUGAUAAGCUCUCACAUGGAAAUGAUGAAUAGUUGCUAUGCCAUGACUAGUUCUUAAAAUUGAAAUCUCUCUCAAGUUUAGGCAUAACUGUUAUAAUUUAAACCUGAUCUAAACCUGAACUUGUGGGAAGAGUACUUGAUCUAAAGUCUAAGUGGUUAACGGAUAUGAUAUGGGAAGGUUGAGCUGUUGUUUAUCUGUUCCUACAGAUGCUAGAAUUCUGGAGAAUUUUAUCUUUGAAAAUCUUUAAAAUAACACAUGAUGAGUUCCUGUAUGACGAGAGUUUAAAAUCCUACCACAGCCAUAUAUACAUGCUUAUUAGACUUUGAGCUACACAUUUACUUUUUACUGCUUAUGAGCAUUGAGUGUGGUCAAGCUGUGUAGACCCUUAGGAGCUUGUCAUGUGGUUAAAAUCAAGAUGCACUUGCACAUUCACUCACACAUGCUGCUUCUACUCCGGAAGUACGCAUCCACAUACAUCCACUCAUUUUCAUCUCCAGAUUCACCCAAAAGUAUUCUACUCCUAAUCCGGGAGAGAAUAGCCAAAAACAUUUUCCUAUCCCUGUUAUUCCCUUUGAAAUAAAUGCUCCAGUUAUUUUGGUUACUACCACUUGCUACAUUAUUUCAGGAGAUGAGUGCCCUAAAAAAAGAGAGAAAAAAAUAUAUACGAGGAAAUAAAAAGGGGCAAGUGCCCGGAACCUCGAAGAAAAGAAAAAGUGAGACGAGAGGUAAAAAUGGACAAGUGUCCGACAGUAGAAUUAGGGGAACAAGAUACCUACCUGAGAGGAAAGAAAAAGAAAAUACAGAGCAUCUCAUUAUCCUCAAAAAGCUUCAAAGUGCAAGAAAGGUAUGUAUCCCCUCAAUAGAGCAAAAAUAGAAUUAGACUUUCACCAUUGUUAUCACCAUCAUCACCAUACACCAUUCAUUCGCCACACAUGCACAUCUUGGUUUGACUUAUUGACUUGUUUCUCUGGAUCCAUAGUUUAACUAUGCAAUAAAUGUCUUGUAAGUAUGUAUUAGCUGUCUCCCACCUAUGAGCUCCAGGUUUCAAAACCUUAUUAGAGUAGGGUGAGAGAGAGCAAUAUCACUAUGAAUUAUACCAAAAAUACCACAUACUUUGAAAGAAGGCAUAUACCAUUACUGCCUUGGUAAGGAUCCAGAAAUACCACAAAAGAGAUAUUUGAGAGAAUCAUAUAAGGAAUCUCUGAGUUUUAUUUGAAAAUCAGCAAAAACUCCAGAGCUAUAGCUGAUCAAGAAUAAGAGACAUGGCGCUUGACUUGACCAUUCUAUCUUUUAACUGCUCAAGACACAAGUGACGGUUUUCAAGCCCCAUGGUGAAAGGUAAAAUGAGUAAGCUUUAAGUCUUAACAGUUUAUUCUAACUCAGAGAUGAGAUCUUGCUUGAAUGCGUGUGUACUUUUAAGGCAUGAAACCACUACAGAAACUCUUGAGUUCAUCUUUGCUCAGGGACGAGCAAGAGGUAAGCUUGGGGGAGUUGUUGACGGUCCUUAAGUACCAAAUAUAAUCAUCAAAUAAAUAAAGAAAAGGAUCCAAAUGCAACCAACACCUAGAAUUAGGGUUUUAUCUGACAGAAUUCCACGAGUUUUGGUGUUUGUCUAUUUCUGCAGGGGGUUAUCAGGAAAUAAGGAAGAAAGGCCCACAUGUCGGGAUUACAUAGAGAUAUCAACGCACCGCGCAAUUUUCUACCAUCUAGAAGACUCCAGAAGCCACGGGAAGAAAGCGGAGGCCGAAAGGGGCCAGGCCUAGGGCGCCCGCCCUCAGGACCUGGGCGCCCGCCCACUGUUCGAUGCAAAUCGGGACUCUGUUCGCACACGACGUUCCACCGACCUAAUGGAUCAAGGAUAACGUAGUACCACAUCGCCUGCUGGACCAAAAAUGCAAAGAGGAGGAGGACAAUCAAUGGAUACUCUUUUCAGAAGACACUCUACGACACUGGAUCUGACGACAACAUAAUGGCCGCAGUCACUUAUCAGCUCCUGCAUGGAACCAUGCUCCUACAACCAAGAUACAUUCAGCUCCAGAUAAUUAUCAGGUCAUUGACAUGGGAGAUGACGAGUAUGACCCACCCACCAUCCUUAGAAGUCCGUUCCUCAACACUAUCAAAGCCAUCAUCUAUAUUGGAACCGGAGAAGUCCACAUGCACUUCCCCUCUGAGAAGGUACGCAACUACUUUAAUGAUUCUAACUAUAUAGUUGAAGAUUCUAAGCAGGUCAGGACAAGAAGAAGGCGACGCAACUGAAAUCACAGGAGGCAAAUCAUCAAGGACGGAUGGGUUGACUACGAAGGAGAAGUGAUAAGGUCUGAAGAUAUACAGCUUGAACAGAACUGUCCUGAGGAGACCGUAGCACCAGUCAGGUGUGGAGAGAGAAGAUAGUUACACACGAAGAGGAGGCGCCGCCGGAACCACCGACUACGCCAUCCAGCGAAUCCUAGGACGACUGAAAACGGAGAGUCCCAUUUGGAGGACUUAAAAACACCGAACGCCUUGCCCAGAGGUAAACUUGGUAGUUAUCCUUUUCCCUUCAAUUAUUUAAAAUAGUUUGCUUACUUAAUCAGGUUCAUACUAUCUUGAAAAGAAAAUAAAAAUGUUAAAAAUAGUAAGCCCCAUGUGAGUAGACUUGUCGUUUAAAAACCCAUAGGUAUAUUGACUGUGGUGGCAUAAAAUAAAUAUGUUUUCAUCUUACAAUAAAAAUAUAAAAAUAAUAACUGCAUGAUCCUGCUAAAUAAAUAACAUUUAUUGAGGAGGCUCAACAUGAUAAAGGCUAGAUAUUUAUGCUAACACUUAACCAGUUCCACAAAGCUUUGUUGUCUAUUUGAGCUCCACAGAAUUCAAGGAUCAAAGAAGACUAGCAGACGGAGGACAUCCUAAUCGCUGUCAGGGUGCUGCCGACAUUCAAAUACACCUCCACCACCUGCUAGCUACAUGAGAAGAAAUUACGUCAAAAUCCAGCUUGGGGGAGAGCACCCCCAUUUAUCCAGCUAAGUGUUUCUACUCGCAUUUAUACUUUAUUCAAAUAAUAAAAAGAUGCAUAAUCAUAAAAAACCCAAAUAAAGAUUUUAUGAUUUUAUAUAUAUCUUUGCUUAGUUUUUUAAAUAAAUAAAUAAAUAAAGUUUGCUAUGAACCGACAUGAUAAGCUCUCACAUGGAAAUGAUGAAUAGUUGCUAUGCCAUGACUAGUUCUUAAAAUUGAAAUCUCUCUCAAGUUUAGGCAUAACUGUUAUAAUUUAAACCUGAUCUAAACCUGAACUUGUGGGAAGAGUACUUGAUCUAAAGUCUAAGUGGUUAACGGAUAUGAUAUGGGAAGGUUGAGCUGUUGUUUAUCUGUUCCUAGAGAUGCUAGAAUUCUGGAGAAUUUUAUCUUUGAAAAUCUUUAAAAUAACACAUGAUGAGUUCCUGCAUGAUGAGAGUUUAAAAUCCUACCACAGCCAUAUAUACAUGCUUAUUAGACUUUGAGCUACACAUUUACUUUUUACAGCUUAUGAGCGUUGAGUGUGGUCAAGCUGUGUAGACCCUUAGGAGCUUGUCAUGUGGUUAAAAUCAAGAUUCACUUGCACAUUCACUCACACAUGCUGCUUCUACUCCGGAAGUACGCAUCCACAUACAUCCACUCAUUUCCAUAUCCAGAUUCACCCAAAAGUAUUCUACUCCUAAUCCGGGUGAGAAUAGCCAAAAACAUUUUCCUAUCCCUGUUAUUCCCUGUGAAAUAAAUGCUCCAGUUAUUUUGGUUACUACCACUUGCUACAUUAUUUCAGGAGAUGAGUGCCCUAAAAAAGAGAGAAAAAAAAUAUAUACGAGGAAAUAAAAAGGGGCAAAUGCCCGGAACCUCGAAGAAAAUAAAAAGUGAGACGAGAGGUAAAAAUGGACAAGUGUCCGACAGUAGAAUUAGGGGAACAAGAUACCCACCUGAGAGGAAAGAAAAAUAAAAUACAGAGCAUCUCAUUAUCCUCAAAAAGCAUCAAAGUGCAAGAAAGAUAUGUAUCCCCUCAAAAGAGCAAAAAUAGAAUUAGACUUUCACCAUUGUUAUGACCAUCAUCACCAUACACCAUUCAUUCGCCACACAUGCACAUCUUGAUUUGACUUAUUGACUUGUUUCUCUGGAUCCAUAGUUUGACUAUGCAAUAAAUGUCUUGUAAGUAUGUAUUAGCUAUCUCCCACCUAUGAGCUCCAGAUAUCAAAACCUUAUUAGAGUAGGGUGAGAGAGAGAGCAAUAUCACUAUGAAUUAUACCAAAAAUUCCACAUACUUUGAAAGAAGGCAUAUACCAUUACUGCCUUGGUAAGGAUCCAUAAGGAAUCUCUGAGUUUUAUUUGAAAAUCAGCAAAAACUCCAGAGCUAUAGCUGAUCAAGAAUAAGAGACAUGGCGCUUGACUUGACCGUUCUAUCUUUUAACUGCUCAAGACACAAGUGACGGUUUUCAAGCCCCAUGGUGAAAGGUAAAAUGAGUAAGCUUUAAGUCUUAACAGUUUAUUCUAACUCAGAGAUGAGAUCUUGCUUGAAUGCGUGUGUACUUUUAAGGCAUGAAACCACUGCAGAAACUCUUGAGUUCAUCCUUGCUCAGGGACGAGCAAGAGGUAAGCUUGGGGGAGUUGUUGGCGGUCCUUAAGUACCAAAUAUAAUCAUCAAAUAAAUAAAGAAAAGGAUCCAAAUGCAACCAACACCUAGACUUAGGGUUUUAUCUGACAGAAUUCCACGAGUUUUGGUGUUUGUCUAUUUCUGCAGGGGGUUAUCAGGAAAUAAGGAAGAAAGGCCCACAUGUCGGGAUUACAUAGAGAUAUCAACGCACCACGCAAUUUUCUACCAUCUAGAAGACUCUAGAAGCCACGGGAAGAAAGCGGAGGCCGAAAGGGGCCAGGCCUAGGGCGCCCGCCCUGAGGACCUGGGCGCCCGCCCUCUGUUGGAUGCCAAUCGGGACUCUGUUCGCACACGACGUUCCACCGACCUAAUGGAUCAAGGAUAACGUAGUACCACAUCGCCUGCUGGACCAAAAAUGCACAGAGGAGGAGGACUAUAUAAGCAGACCCCCUGGCCCCUGGAGGAGACAAGUUUUUCAUAGAGUUGAGAGGAGCCCUCGAAGGAAUACCUCUCCUCUAAAUAAAAUUUAUUUUAGGCUUAGCAUCCAAUGUGAGUAGAAUUAGAUCUUCUAGUUUCUACUAGAUUGAGAGAGAUAGAGUGGAGGUGUAGAUCGGAGGAAGGCCGGCCUGUCGGUGUCUACUCCGAGGUUGUACCUGCGGGAUCAAGUCUUCUAACCCGAGGCUUGCUCCUAAGAUUCUUCAGUAAUUCGACUUCUAAUUCUAGUAAGUUCUUGUUUUAUUGUUCUUUGGUUUAUGAGUUUACUUUAAUCAUCUUUCGGUUGAGUAUUAGAGUAAUCAUUGCUAGCGUAAACGUGGUGUUUAGGCUAGGGUACUCAUAGAUAUCCCCUGACUAGCUGGACCGUGGUAGUAGCUAGGAUCGUGACAUUUCCGAGUUACCUUUGUAUCCCACAUCUCGUUAGCAGGACGGGUAGGUCUAUAGGUGCGGGUCGAACAUCCUUAGUCGUGUCUAGAUUCCGUAAGCUUCCCCAAUAGAACAGUAGAUCAUCCUUACCAAGGUUAGAACGAGACUACGGUUGCAGUCUUCUCUAUACAUCACUCACAUCGAGAAACAUUCUUUGUAGCCUAAAGGGAUAGUAGCAAUAGAUUUGGUUAGUCAGAUGCACCCUUUCUCCCAGUGGCAAAAAUAUAAAUAUGAUACUCUAGAAAACCUUCCGGGUGAAAUGCUCACCGAUAUUCAUGCGCUUGCGGAUCAUUUCCUUAUUGCGUUACCAAAUAUCAACAAAGAUGUCUGAGGGGAUUGAGGCUCGUUCGGACACCAUCUUUGCGAGCACAUCGGCGUCCUCGUUGUACUUCCUCAACACAUGGUUAAGCUCGAGGCUGUCGAUCUUCUCUUCUAGGUGUUGGACUGCCUUGUAGUAUGCCUCCAUCUUGGGGUCGUGACAGUUUGACUAUUUCAUGACUUGGUCAAUGAUGAGCCUUGAGUCACCUCGGACAUCAAGUCACUUGAUUCCAAGCUCGACUGCAAUAUGGAGGCCGUUGACAAGGGCCUCGUACUCCGCCACAUUGUUUGAGGUGGGUAAGUGGAUUCGGAUGGCAUAUCGCAUCCUUAAUCCAAGGGGUGAGAUGAAGACGAGGCCUACAUCGACCCCGGUCUUCAUUAGGGACCCGUUGAAGUAUAAGGUCCAGCAUUCUAACUGGAUCUAGGGUGGAGGAAGUUGGGUUUUGGUCCACUCAGGUAUGAAAUUAGCCAGGAUCUGGGAUUUCAUGGCCUUCCAAGGUUCAUAGGUGAUCCCAUCGCGCAUGAGCUCCACGGCCCAUUUGGUGAUUCCCUCGUUUGCCUCCCGAUAUUGGAUCACCUCUACUAAAGGGAAAAUGAGACCACGGACACUGGGUGAGAUUCGAAGUAAUGGCGGAGCUUGCAUUGAGCCAGAACUACUGCGUACAAUAGUUUUUGGAUUUGCGGGUAUUGGGUCUUGGUGUUGGAGAGUACCUUGCUAACGAAGUAUACCAGUCUCUGGACCGGCAGGGCAUGCCCUUCUUUGUUUCUCUCGACCAUGAUAGCUACACUGGCCACUUGAUCGGUGGCUGCGACAUAAAGAAUCAAUGGCUCCCCCUUGGCGGGGGUACCAAGAUGGGGGCUUAGUGAGCAGAGCCUUGAGCUUGUCAAGUGCCUCCUGGGCCUCGGAGGUCUAGGAGAAAUGCUCAGAUUUUUAAGAAGCCUAUAUAGAGGCAGCCCUUUCUCGGCUGAGGGACGCAAGGCAUCCCAUGACCCUCUGUACCCCCUUAAGGUUGUGAAUCGGGCCCAUAUUUGUGAUGGCCAAGACCUUUUUGGGGUUGGCCUCAAUACCUCGCUCAGAGACAAUCAAUCUGAGGAGCAUGCCUUGGGGAACCCCAAAAACACAUUUUUUGGAGUUUAGCUUGAUCCCUUUGGCUCUGAGGCAUUAGAAAGUCUUGUCUAGUUCAACUACAAGGGCAAUAGCCUUCCUAGAUUUGAGUAUGAUCUCAUCUACAUAUGCCUCUACAGUUCUACCUAUGAGGUCCCUAAAGACCUGGAGCAUACAUCGCUGGUAUGUAGCCCCUGCAUUUUUAAGGCCGAACAGCAUGGUUACAUAGCAAAACAUUCCAAAGGGGGUUAUAAAAGAGGUUGCUAGCUGGUCAGAUUCUUUCAUCUUAAUUUGGUGAUAGCCAGAGUAUGCAUCAAGAAAUGACAAGGUUUCACAUCUCGCAGUGGACUCAACUAUUUGGUCAAUACAAGGUAAUGGAAAAGGGUUCUUAGGACAUGCUUUAUCUAAACUGAUAUAAUCUACACACAUCCUUGUGGACACCGUUUUUGGACACGUACCCAGGAUCGGUAGAGUAUAGAUCGGCAAGAUAGGGCAACAGUAGCUGGUCUGCAGGGGAGUUGCCGAUGAAGGUGGUUGCCGAUGAAGGGACAGCUAAAUGUGACUAAGUCUAUGAGUGGUGACGCGUUCAUGCCGAUGGUCAGUGUUGGCCUUUGUCGAUGGCUAUGAUGAGGAGUCUGCCGAUGACUCAGAAGGAGAACAUGAAGGUUGCCGAUUGGUCCAUGGUGGUGUCCCGACUUGUCACAGGAAGAUAGUUUUAUGUUUUCCUUAGUUAUUUAAAUCGUUUUGUAUACGGAUUCUAUUUAAUUUGGAAUUCGAGUCCUAGUCGUGUCUGAUUGUAGCUCUUUGAGCAGGGUAUAAAUGUCGACCCUAGGGCCCCGUAAUGGACAAUCGAUCAAUCAAUCAAACACAAGUUUUUAGUCAUUUUCCAGCAUCUAGUUUUUCGAUGACUUUGUCAGAUUUUCUUUUUUUACAAGUUCUUAGGAGUUCGUCGACUUAAGCUCGGCGUAUUCUCGAGUUCUGCGUGAAUACCUCUUGGCCGUGGCAUCCGGGCGCAUCGCUGUUGUCGGGACCAAAGUAUUCGAGUUAUCACCUUUGCCGAUAGAAAGGUCAAAUCGGCUGGCACGCCUUAACGUUUGAAUCGGGUAUUAGCCCUUUGUGUUUGCAGAUCCACUUUUUGCAUCAACACAUCUUUUGGCACGCCCGGUGGGACAAGAUUCAAGAUCAAGAUCAACAUGUCGACUACCGAGUUUGACUUGGAGAACGUCAUCCCCGUGACAGAAGCCAAUCUCAGAGAUGAGCAGAAGCAAGCUAUUGCAAAAGCCAUGGAGGACUAGAAGCAGCAAUGUUUGAAGUCUUUCAGCAUUAACAGGAGUGGCGAGGUGAUCUAGAAAGAAGCACUGCCGGCACCUCGGCAGGUUACUUUUGAAGCCAAUCCUGGUAAACUUCAAGACAUGGUUGAUGGUGCUGUUAACUGUGCCUUGAUCAAUCAAGCUGGUGUGUUGUCCAAUACGGUUUUCAAUGCCGUGGUUAGAACUUUCAAAGAAGGACAAUUGCCACCAAAUUAUGUGGGCCCUUCUCAUCAUCAGCCAGGAUCACCGGUGGUCACAGCUCCAUCGUCUGCAACGGCCGCUGCGGGCACAGAAACUACUGUUCCUCCAAGCACGUUAGGAGUCACUAACGCGCAAUCUACGCAGAUGACGACCAAUCCAUCGACUUUAGAUGGGCAGAUCAAGCUUGCUACAGAUCUAUUGGCAUCGGCAAUGUCGGGAUCGGUUCCUCUUCCUAACUGGUGGGGUUAUGGUAUGCCUCCACAGUUGACGUCGAAGACACCUAGCAUAUCUCAGACGGCUGAUGUGAGAGGCAAGGCUCCUGUGGCAUCGGCACCUCCAAAUAUGCCGAUGAAUCAGAGUCCCCAGUAUACUACAACCACUACUGCAAGGCCUUACACUGGGAAUUCUCAAGCUCCAAUGUUCCAGAUGCCUAACGCAUCGGCAGAUUCAAUGUCGACGCAACAGAGGUUUAUGACUCAGUCAGGGUAUGUCAAUUCAAUGAUGAUGCCCAACUACCAGACAUCGGCAGGGUCUAUGCCGAUGGAUGCUAAUAGUGGAUGGCUUGGGCAGCAAGUCUUUCCACAAAUGCCCCAACAGAAUCAUCAGGCUACAGGGUUUCAACAAGGCCAAAUCCAACCUGGGUUCCAGAAUCAAGGGUUGCCCAACCAGCCGAUGAAUCUUGGUCAACAGUUUGGUGGUCAGACAAUCAACCCCAUGUUCCAUGCAGAUCAUGCGCCUCAACGACACGUGGAAGUGUAUCAGCAGGUGCCAGAUCCACAGCCACCCCAUUGGCAAGAUGCCGAUGCUUAUUGGGCCGAUAAGAUUGCUGAAGUAAUGAGUGACCAAUUUGGGAUAAAACCCAAAGUCAACACUUACUCUUAUCGGACACCGUAUCCUCCUGCAUAUGAUUUGAUUCCACUUCCAAAUCGAUACAAGGUACCAGAUUUCACUAAGUUUUCUAGACAGGAUGAUACAUCAACCAUGGAACAUGUCAACAGGUUCAUCAUCUAAUGUGGAGAAGCUGCUAACAGGGAUGAAUUGAGAGUUCGACUGUUUUCAUCAUCUUUGUCUGGGUCGGCUUUCACUUGGUUUAUAUCAUUGCCUCCUAAUUCAGUGAUUACUUGGGCCGAUCUGGAGAAGCAGUUGUUGACGGUCCUUAAGUAUCAAAUUUAAUUAUCAAAUAAACAAAGAAAAGGAUCCAAAUGAAAUCAACAUCUAGACUUAGGGUUUUAUCUGACAGAAUUCCACGAGUUUUGGUGUUUGUCUAUUUCUGCAGGGGGUUAUCAGGAAAUAAUGAAGAAAGGCCCACAUGUCGGGAUUACAUAGAGAUAUCAACCCACCGUGCAAUUUUCUACCAUCUAGAAGACUCCAGAAGCCACGGGAAGGAAGCGGAGCCCGAAAGGGGCCAGGCCCAGGGCGCCCGCCCUGAGGACCUGGGCGCCCGCCCCCCUCUGGACUCCGUUCCGGACUCUCUUCGCACACGACGUUCCACCGACCUAUUGCAUCUAGAAUAACAUAGUACCACCUCGCCUAUCGACCCAAAAACGCAUAGAAGGGGAGGACUAUAUAAGGAGACCCCCUCUGGCCCCUGGAGAAGACAAGAAAUUAUCAUAGAGAUUGAGGGGUGCCCUCGAAGGAAAACCUCUUCUCUAAAUAAUAUUUCUUUUUAGGCUUAGCAACCAAUGUAAAGUAGAAAUAGAUCUUCUAGUUUCUACUAGAUUGAGAGAGAUAGAGUGGAGGUGUGGAUCGGAGGAAGGCCGGCCUGUUGGUGUCUACUUCGAGUUGUACCUACGGGAUCAAGUCUCCUAACCCGAGGCUUGCUUCUAAGAUUGUUCAGUAAUUCGACUUCUAAUAGUAGUAAGUUCUUGUUUUAUUGUUCUUUGGUUUAUGAGUUUACUUUAAUCCUCUUCCGGUUGAGUAUUAGAGUAAUCACUUGCUAGCGUAAACGUGGUGUUUAGGCUAGGGUACUCAUAGAUAUCCCCUGACUAGCUGGACCGUGGUAGUAGCGAGGAACGUGACAUUUCCGAGUUACCUUUGCAGAUCACAUCUCGUUAGCAGGACGGGUAGGUUUAUAGGUGCGGGUCGAACAUCCUUUGUGUUGUCUAGAUUCCGUGAGCCUCCCCAAUAGAACAGUAGAUCAUCCUUACCAAGGUUAGAACGAGACUACGGUUGCAGUCUUCUCUAUACAUCACUCACAUCGAGAGACAUUCUUUGUAGCCUAAAGGGGUAGUAGCAAUAGAUUUGGUUAGUCAGAUGCACCCUUUCUCCCAGUGGUAAAAAUAUAAAUACUAUACUCUGGAAAAUCUCCUGGGUGAAAUGCUCACCGAUAUCCGUGCGCUUGCGGAUCAUUUCCUUAUUGCGUUACCAAAUAUCAACAGCAGUUCCACAAGUACUUCUUUUCUGGAGUCCAUGAGAAGAAGAUUACUGAUUUGGUCAGAUUGAAACAGCGUAAUGAUGAAUCAGUCAAAAGUUUUGUGCAGAGAUUGCGGGAAGUCAAGAACAAAUGCUAUAGUCUGGUUUUGGAUGAUCGGUAGCUAGCCGAUUUGGCUUUCCAGGGUCUGUUGCCACAUAUCAGGGACAAAUAUGCUUCUCAAGAGUUCGAGAGCCUGAGCCACUUGGUCCAGAGGAUUUCCGACCAGGAUAUCAAACCCUUUGAACCCAAGAGAGCUUGGAACAAAAAGGUGUUAUUUGUUGAUGAGGCAGCAAGCUCAGAUUCUGAUGAAGAGCCAGUCAUUGGCUUGGCGGAAUGGGUAAAGAAUAAGAAGCCGAUGUCUUGCCCUUUUGGGCACAAAGAGCCAGAGAAGUUCGGAUUUGACAUCACCAAAGCCGAUAGGAUAUUUGACUUUCUACUUCAGGAAGGUCAGAUCAAAUUGUCACCCAAUCAUGUAAUCCCAUCGGCUGACGAAUUAAAGAAGAUGAAGUACUGCAAAUGGCACAAUGCAACUUCUCACAGCACCAAUGAGUGCAAAGUUUUUAGACAAUAGCUGCAAUCAUCUAUAGAAUCUGGGAGGAUCAAAUUUGACAGCUCCAAAACUCAGAAGCCGAUGAAGAUUGAUCAACAUCCUUUCCCAACAAACAUGCUGGAUGCUAAGGGAAAGGCCAAGCUCUUGACAUCGGAAGCAGCUGAAAGAAGUGCAUCGGUGGAUCCUCAGCAUCAGAUCACUACUGCCGAUGCAAAAGGGAAAGGCUUGAUCCAGGAGGGAACUAAAUUGGGAAGGCCUCCCCGAUCUGGUAUUGUAAUAACUCAUAGAAGGCCUCGGGAAACUUGGCAACAACGUGAAGAUCGGUAUCGGCGGCAGCAAGAAGACUAUCAUCGGGAAGAAGAAAGACGCCAUCAAGAGUGGAAUCGUCACAAGGAUCACUGGAAUUGCCCGUUCUUUAUCCAUUGCUGGGAACAAAACAUCAAGUUGCCCACUGUUAGAGAUUGUCCUGAGUGCAAUGGUUAUGAUCGGUAUGACCGAUCCGAUCGGUGCUAUCACAAUGAUGAUCGGCGAUUUAAUGGGCCGAUUAGGGGGAGAGCGUCCGUUCAUGAUCGGCUGGGGGGCAGGCUCAGUGUGCACAACAGGCUUGGUGAUCAUGUUGAAUAUUUUCCCAGGAACCAGGAAGAGCUUGAAGAGAUGGCUAAUGCACGAGUUCCCGAUGAAUUCAUAUUUUGUAGAGAUGCUAAUACCCAUCGGAUGGAGUCAAGGGAAUAUCAUCGUCCAUCGGCAAGGCAGUCACCACUUCCCCCAUGGUGUUUGGAGGGGUUGACUAAAACACAGAAAAGGAGACUGCAGCGCGAAAGACGAGAAGAGCUAAGCAAGGGCGAGAACUCUGGCCAAUCUGGGGAUCAGCAACAAUCAGAUCCUAAGGGCGAAGGGCCAUCGUUAGGUGUUAACAUGGUAUUUAUGUUGCCGAUGGAAUUCCUUGCACCGUCCAGCGAUGGAUGAGGAGUUAGAGUUUUCCGACCAGAUAGCUCAAUUGGCUCUGGAUCCGAUGACGGCUAUCUUUGAAAAGCCUGCCGACAAUAAAAGGCAACAUCUUAAAGCUUUGUUUGUCAAAGGAAGGGUUGAUGGUCAGCCAAUGACCAAGAUAUUGAUUGAUGGUGGAGCCGCUAUCAAUAUCAUGCCAUAUGCAGUAUAUCGGAAGCUUGGAAAAGGGGAUCAAGAUUUGACCAAGACUGAUAUGAUGUUAAAGGACUUCGAGGGAAAUGUGUCUCCGGUUAAGGGGGCAAUAUGCGUUGAGUUGACCAUCGGCAGCAAAACCUUGCCGACAACCUUCUUCGUGAUCAGUGGAAAAGGUGCUUAUAACUUGCUGUUAGGGAGAGAUUGGAUUCAUGCCAAUUGUUGCAUCCCGUCUACAAUGCACCAGUGCUUGGUCCAGUGGGUAGGUGACAAAAUUGAGAUUGUCCUGGGGGAUUCUUCUUAUGUCAUUGCAUCGGCAGAAGCAGACACUUAUGAAAGGACUAGGUGUAUCUCGGGAGAAAUUUGGGAGAAGGAUUUUCUCAAAGUUGCCGAUUAUGAAAUUCCACCGAUCCAAGCAGUCGGUUCUGAUGAAGGUUUUUAAUGGAUAGGUUCGCCGAUGAGGGAAAAUUGGGCCAGGGAUUCACAUCGGGCGAUGAUUUGGUAGAAGUAGAUAUAGGUAGUGGUGAUAAGCCUAGGCCUACUUUUAUUAGUGCUAAGUUAAAUUCCGAGUGUAAGCAGCAAUUAACUGAUUUGUUAGAAGAAUAUAAAGAUUGCUUUGCUUGGGAUUAUACUGAGAUGCCUGGUUUGGACCGAUCGAUUGUUGAACAUCGGUUGCCUAUCAAGUCUGGAUUUCGGCCACAUCAACAGCCAGCUCGCUGAUGUAAUCCUAAUAUUCUUCCUGAUAUCAAGGCCGAAAUAACCAAACUUAUUGAAGCUAAAUUUAUUCGGCAGUGUCGAUAUACCGAGUGGAUUUCCAAUGUUGUUCCAGUCUACAAGAAAAAUGGAAAGCUUCGAGUUUGCAUUGAUUCCAGGAAUCUUAAUAAAGCUACACCGAUGGAUGGCUACCCAAUGCCAGUUGCCGAUCUCCUAGUUGAUGCUGCGGCUGGGCAUCGAAUUAUUAGCUUGAUGGAUGACAAUGCAGGAUACAAUCAAAUAUUCAUGGCUGAAGAAGAUAUUCCAAAGACUGCAUUUAGAUGUCCUGGUCAUGUCAGGCUGUUUGAAUGGAUAGUCAUGACCUUUGGUUUGAAAAAUGUUGGUGCUACUUAUCAGAGGGCUAUGAAUUUUAUAUUUCAUGAGUUCAUCGGCAAGCUGGUGGAAAUUUAUAUUGAUGAUGUGGUGGUUAAGUCUAGGGACUUCACAAAGCAUCUUGCCGAUUUGCGAAAGGUGUUAGAAUGCACAAGGAAGCAUGGUUUAAAGAUGAAUCCCAAUAAGUGUGCAUUUGGUGUAUCGGCAGGACAAUUCCUUGGUUUCAUGGUGCAUCAAAGGGGGAUUGAAAUUAGUCGGAGAUCCAUCGAUGCUAUCAAUAAAAUAGUUUCUCCUACCAACAAGACUGAAGUCCAAUCCUUGAUCGUCAAGGUAAAUUUUAUCAGGAGGUUUAUAUCUAAUUUGUCUGGUAAAAUUCGUGCUUUCAGUCCUUUACUUAAGUUGAAAGCCUAUCAAGAGUUCGUCUGGGGGAAAGAGCAAUAGUUGGCCUUAGAUGAAAUCAAGAAUUAUUUGGUAAGUCCUCCAGUUCUGAUGCCACCUCAGCAAGGAAAGCCCUUUAGGUUAUAUUUGUCUACCGAUGGGGUGGUCAUCGGUUCGGCUUUGAUUCAAGAUUUUGAAGGGAAGGAACGUGUUAUUUACUAUUUAAGCAGGAGAUUGGUUGAUGCUGAGACCAGGUAUUCGGCCAUUGAAAAGUUAUAUUUGUGUCUUUAUUUCUCAUGUAUUAAGUUGAGACACUAUUUGUUAUCGGCUGAAUGCACUGUCAUAUGAAAAGAUGACGUGGUCCGAUAUAUGCUGUCUAUGCCGAUUAUGAGUGGCAGGAUCGGUAAGUGGAUUUUGGCACUGUCGGAAUUCGAUUUGCGUUACGAAUCGGCUAAAGGAGUUAAGGGACAGAUUAUGGCCGAUUUUCUAACUCAACAUUGCGGUACAGUGGAGACUUUGGAAAUUGUUCCUUGGACGCUCUUCUUUGAUGGAUCCACGUGUGACCGGGGGGCAGGGAUCAGCAUAGUGUUAAUUUCCCCUCGGGGAAGGAAGUAUGAGUUCUCCUUGCCGAUUGUUGCCAUGUCAACAAAUAAUCAGGCUGAGUAUCAAGCUUUGAUAAAGGGGUUGGAAUUACUAAGGGAAGUUCAUGCUGAUGCUGUUGAAAUCUUCGGGGAUUCUAUGCUGGUUAUAAAUCAAUUGGCUGGAAGCUAUGAAUGCCGAAGCGAGGUCCUGAUAACUUAUCAUGAAAGGAGUAUGCAACUAUUAAAGGAAUUCAAGGAUUUCUGAUUAGAGCAUGUUCCUCGGUUGCAUAAUGAAGAGGCCAAUCGGUUGGCUCAACAUGCCUCGGGAUAUCAGCCCAUGAUGAACGCAGUAUCGGUAAUCAGUGCCGAUGAUUGGAGAAAAGAAAUCAUUGAUUAUUUGAAGGAUCCAUCCAAGAAAGUUGAGAGACGUGUUCGGUUUCAAGCUACCAAGUAUGUGCUCCUUGAAGAUGAGUUAUAUUAUCGGACUAUUGACGGGAUUCUUCUCAAGUGCUUAGGUGAUGAUGAGGCUAGAAGUUUGAUGGGAGAGAUCCAUGAGGGAGUGUGUGGAGCACAUCAGUCGGCAUUUAAGAUGAAGUGGAUGAUCAGAAGAAAUGGGUAUUAUUGGCCGACUAUACUUGAGGAUUGCUUCAAGUAUUUCAAAGGGUGUCAAGGAUGUCAAAAGUUUGGCAAUAUUCUAAGGGCACCCGCAUCGGCCAUGAAUCCCAUUAUUAAACCUUGGCCGUUCCGAGGAUGGGCUAUUGACUUGAUCGGCCAGAUUUAUCCACCAUCCAGCAAAGGACAUAAAUUCAUCUUGGUUGCUACCGAUUAUUUCACUAAGUGGGUUGAAGCUAUUCCUUUAAAGAAAGUUACAUCAGCCAAUAUGAUCGAUUUUGUGAAAGAGCAUAUUAUUUACCGAUUUGGAAUUCCUCAAACAAUUACUACCGAUCAGGGUACUAUGUUCACAUCAGGGGAGUUUGAUGAAUUUGCAAUCGGUAUGGGAAUUAAAGUAUUAAACUCUUCUCCUUAUUAUGCUCAAGCUAAUGGGCAGGCCGAGCAUCUAACAAAGGAAUCAUCAAGCUUAUUAAACGGAAGAUUGAAGAAAAUCCUAGGAGGUGGCACACGUUGUUAAAUGAAGCUUUAUGGUCGUAUCGGAUGGCUUGUCAUGGAUCGACCAAGGUUUCACCUUUUCAGUUGGUGUAUGGGCAUGAUGCAGUAUUACCUUGGGAAAUUAAGACUGGAUCUAGGCGAUUAUCUUUUCAAGAUCAAUUGGCUGCCGAUGAUUAUGCUACUUUGAUGACAGACGAGUUGGAUGAUCUAGCAGGGCAUCGGCUAAGGGCUCUGAUGAGUAUAGAAGAGAAUAAGAAGAGAGUUGCCAGAUGGUAUGAUAAGAAGGUAAAAGCUAAGGAGUUUGCCGAUGGAGACUUAGUAUGGAAAUUAAUCUUGCCGAUAGGGACUAAAAGUUCAAAAUUUGGGAAGUGGUCUCCCAAUUGGGAAGGUCCCUAUCGAGUAAAUCGGUCUGCUCCUGGCAAUGCCUAUAUCUUAGAAACUCUCGAAGGAGUUGAAUUUCCUAGAGCAUUGAAUUGCAAAGAUUUAAAGAAGUAUCACCCAAGCAUAUGGGUUGAUGCAUAAGAGUUUAAAAUGUCGAUAACAUUCCUAUCGGCUAGAUCAAAGUGUGUCUGGGGCUAAACCCAAUGUUUUUAAAAGGUGCCGAUAACAGUCCUAUCGGCUAGACCAAAACAUCAGGAGGAUUGGAAAGGAGAGAGCAGGGUAUGUCGCCGAUGAAGAGUUCACAUGUUCAACAGCACCUGGAUCGUCGAUAUGGCGCGCAGACGGAUCUGGUUGGCUUCUUCUAUUUCCUUCACGUCAUUAUCGACAGAACCUCCCACUGGUUUCAGCUCCUUCUUCAUCUGCAGUGCUUGGCGGGCUUGGAUAUUUCGCUCUUGUUCAAGAAGUUUGAUCGUUUCAGGCAGCUGGCUUUCUUCUUGUUGGGCUUGAGACAAGGCUUCUUCUACCUAUUUGAGUUCUGCCAACAGGGCUUCCCUUCUCGCCGAUAGAUCGGAAAUUUUUUGCUUCAAAACGUCUCCUGAGGAUGUCAGAAUGCCGAUGCUCUUGUGCUUCUCAUCGGCAAGGAGUUUUAUUUUCAUCAUCUCCUCAGAGAGCUGAGCGUGAGCAGCUCUGUCGGCAAGACGCUGGGCAGCCUUUUGAUACUACAGCUGACGGCUCUCUAGGUGUGCAGCUUGAAAAAGGAUUUCUUCGGCAUCGGCGGGAAUUUGGCCUCUUAGGGUCUUGAACAGGGCCUUGGCCGGAUCUGAGUCAUCGACCAAUUGGGAUGUGUCUUGAUGAAGGAGGGCCGAUAAUUCUUCUAACUUUGCCCUAAUCUCUGCCGAUGUGAUUCCAACUGCUCGAGAAGAACUUGCCUCCUUGCCUUCAUCCUCAGAGAUGUCGAUGGCAAAGGAGAACAAGCAGUCAGGAGAGUCCUGUUCCUGAAAAGGAAAAUAAAACAAGUUAUUUUAUGAUCAAGCACUGAUAAACAAUACAGAUAAAGAUUGGGUGACUUACUUGUUUCAGGGCCAUCUCUCGCCUCUGACUAGAUGAUGUCGAUGGAACCACAGGCUGAUCGGCUAGGGUUGCCGAUGAGACUAUGUCAGCUAAAAGAUUAACAGAAGUAAUUAUAAGACGGGAAAAGUAGGUUCAUCGGCAAUGAUUUUAUAGAAAAUAUGUUACCUUGAGGGGGUACAGUGCUUGUCUGGAUAGAGGAAACUACCGAUGUUAUGAUCAGGCUUGCUAGAUUGGCAGUUUCCUCGUGCACGUCAGCCGAUGUGUCUUCUGGGUGAGGCUCCUCUGGUAGGAGUUCUUCUGUGUGGGGUUUGUUGAUGGUUCUUAAGUAUCAAUAAUUUUAAUUAUCAAAUAAACAAGAGAAAGGACCAAUAUGCAACCAUCACCUAGAAUUAGGGUUUGAUCUGACAGAAUUCCACGAGUUUUGUUGUUUAUCUAUUUCUGCAGGGGGUUAUCAGGAAAUAAGGAAGAAAGGCCCACAUGUCAGGAUUACAUAGAGAUAUCAACGCACCGCGCAAUUUUACAUCAUCUAGAAGACUCCAGAAGCCACGAGACCGAAGCGGAGGCGAAGCUGGGCCAGGCCCAGGGCGCCCGCCCCCCUGCUGGAGCCAAUUCAGGACUCCUUCGCUCGGGAUAUUUCACCGACCUAUUGGAUCAAGAAAAACAUAGUACCACCUCGGCUAUCGACCCAAAAAUGCAUAGAAGGGGAGGACUAUAUAAGCGAGGCCCCCUUGGCCCCUGGAAGACAUGAAGAAAUUAUCAUAGAGACUGAGGGGUGCCCUCGAAGGAAAACCUCUUCUCUAAUUAAUAUUUCUUUUUAGGCUUAGCAACCAAUGUAAAGUAGAAAUAGAUCUUCUAUUUUCUACUAGAUUGAGAGAGAUGGAGUGGAAGUGUUGAUUGGAGGAAGCCCGGCCUGUCGGUGUCUACUCCAAGCUUGUACCUGCGAGAUCAAGUUCUCCUAACCCGAAGCUUGCUCCUAGGAUUCUUCAGUAAUUCGACUUCUAAAUUCUAGUAAGUUCUUGUUUUAUUGUUCUUAUGGUUUAUGAGUUUACUUUAAUCUCUUCGCGUAGAGUUUAGAGUAAUCAUUGCUGGCGUAAACGUGGUGUUUAGGCUGGGGUACUCAUAGAUAUUCCCUGACUAGCUGGACCGUGGUAGUAGUGAGGAACGUGACAAUUCCGAGCUACCUUUGUAGAUCACAUCUCGUUAGCAGGAAGGAUAGGGUUUACAGGUGCGGGUCGAACAUCCUUUGUGUUGUCUAGAUUCCGUUAGCCUCCCCAUUAGAACAAUAGAUCAUCCUUACCAAGGUUAGAAGGAGACUACGGUUGCAGUCUUCUCUAUUUAUCACUCAAAUCGAAAGACAUUCUUUGUACCUAAAGGGAUAGUAGCAAUAGAUUUGGUUAGUCAGAUGCACCCUUUCUCCCAGUGGUAAAAAUAUAAAUAGGAUACUCUGGAAAACCUCCCGGGUGAAAUGCUCACUGAUAUCCGUGCGCUUGCGGAUCAUUUCCUUAUUGCGUUACCAAAUAUCAACAAGCAUUUCUGGCGCCGUUGCCGGGGUGAAAGACGGUUUGCUGAGAUAACUUUGAGUCUUGCUAUUAUCUUGUAUUAUACUUUUAUACUUUUAUUCUUUUAUCUUUUUAUCUUUAUGGAUAACUCAAAUUCCAUACCUAUUAUUAAAUUCUUUGCACCUUCGGAGACCAGCCAUAGACCAUGGGAGUCAACACGUCCUGCCCCUAAUUAUGAUCUGUGUCCGGAGUUGAUUGCAAUAGGUCAAAACCAACCCUUUUCUAUAGCCGAGGUCCUAUCUUUUAAUCAAGAAGAUAAUGCACUUUUAGCUACACCUAGGGAGUCUUUUAAUCUUUCUAUAAAUUCUGGUUUAGACCUAGCCUUGCAAGACCAUGUUUUUCCUAGAUAUUUUCACAUUGGUCUUAAUCAUAUAACCUUUGGUAGAGUCUUUCUUUCUUUAUCUGUUAGUAAAGGAAGGUAUGUCUUCAUUCGUGGACAUCCUUCUUGUACUAGUCUUCAUAGAAAAAUCAUAGAGAUAGAGAAGGAAUCAUCUCCCAUACAAGGAGAGGAAGUUUCAAUAGCCGAUUUCCAAACAUUUCAAUCCCAUAAUUCGGCUAUCCAACCCAUCCUUGAGCCUAAUAAUCUCUACUAUGCUCUUUCUCUUGAACCUCCUGAUAAUCCUAUGAAUCUCUCUAGACAUCCCAUGCAUAAGAAGGAGGAUCGAGAAGAGCAACAUCAAUGGCUAGAGGGCAUUAAAAAUCCAUGUGCUAUCACCAUUGAAUGGAUAGAUAAAACAAACUUGAGAGACAAUCCUAGAGGAAUUUUAAGCAUUCAUGAAGAAUCAUCCUUGGAGUUUAAGAAUGACAGAAACAACAGUGAGCAUGGAAGUUAUUUCAUAAAUACCUCACCUAGUCCUUGCUCAUAUAAAACAUCUCUCCAAUCAAUUUGUCUCUCCAUCCUUACCACAUUUGAGAUCUCCAACCCCCUCUCCCUCUACAAGAGCGGUUGUCGAUGCAUAUGUUUAUAAUAAAUAUUGCAGAUCUCGUCGAGUUAAUUGAUGGUUUCCCAAGGACAAGCUUAGUGUCCUAAAACAAGCACUUAUCAGAUUGUAACAUGAACUUCUAAUUACUUGCAACAUUGCCUUGUGUAUUGAGCAUAUAAGAUAAUUGUAGAAAUAUUCCUUCGGGUAUUCUUGUCACUAACCUUUCUAGGAUUGAAGCAAGAAGACCGGAUGAAUGACAAGCGCAAGGUAUGCCCAACCAAUCAACAUGCAACAUUGAAUUAAAUUCAUCCAAUCUUGAAUUUUGCAAAAUUCAAGCUUAGGGCAGUACUUCACAUAAAACAUCCUUUGCCAUGUUGCUAUGUUGGUUACCCUUGAGACAUGCUCAAUUUGUUAAAUACUAAUCACACUACUUCAUCUCCACUUAAGUAGAUCUCUAUAAAUGCCAUCACGCUACCUUUGUUUAUCCUAGUAAGUGUUAGUUUGGAAGUACUGCACAUACUUCUAUUGGCUUUUAAAUUAAGCAUGGUGCUUAGGUUAAACAGCCUUCCUUAAUCUAAUUAGACAUGGAGUCUAGUUCGGUUAUCGAACUAAAAAUUGCUUGUGUAGACAUUGGUAUAUUUUGUGGGACUAACCCCUGCAGGAAAACUUUCAAUAUCAACCUGGGAAGUCCUGAGAUAAACUCACAUUGGAGAUAAAGAAAGUGACACAUGAAGUUUAACAAUUUGCACAAGAAAGACGUAGCUCAUAAGAGAUGAUCCAUGGAGGGAGCCACAAACACGAUGCACAACCGCUAGAAAGGAAAGCUUCUACAAAGUGAUACUGUACCAUCACUCUUCAAAGGUAACAUCUUAAGGUACUUGACUAUCCUUUUAUAAGUUUCUCCUUGGUUAUGGCGUUCACAUAAAUAAAGAGACAAACAUGUAUGAUUUAUAACUCUAAAUUAAGCAACCUAACUGAUUCAACAUGUUUAGUCCCUUAAUCUUUGUUCUUAGUACUACCUUCGUAAUCCCACGCUCCUAAACAUAUAAGCUAAUAUGUUGCACAUUCAAUCUUUGGAAGAUAAAAACAAAACAUAAAUAUAGAUAGAUUAUCUUUCCAUUAGGUUGAGCCAUCUGAUCUAACAAAUGUUUUAAAUGCUACACUCAUGAUCCAUCAACUUUGUAUUGUUCACUAUGCUUAAGGUUAGAAAAGAACAAAUACACUUUUGGUUCUGUUGGUGUUUUCCACCAACAGAGCCCAUGCACUUGAUCUCUGCCUUGUCUCUAUGAGCAGGACACAUUUUGAGAAACGUGAAGGCGUUUUACAACUCCCAGAUUCCAUUAAGUGAAGAACCGGGAUCUACGAGCACAAACACAAUGGAGAUCAGACACUUAGUUUCCCAAAGGAAAUAUUAAAGAACCUCUGUGUCCAAGUUGGUACCUUGUACGCUCCAGCAAACUUCGUGGUGUUAGAGACUGGUACUGAGGAGAGGGCACCCAUUAUCUUAGGGAGGCCAUUCCUAAACACCAGAGCUGUCAUCUACGCUAAUGCUGCCAAGAUCAGUCUCUACAUCAAGGGGAAGAAGGAGACUUUCCUUCAAGAACAAGACUACAUAAACUUCAGAGCAAUCCCAACAUGAACCAAGGAAGAGGACCAACAGGAGGAACAGGAACAAGCAAAUGUGGACCGAGUCAGCUAAGAUGGUCACUGCAGCUUAAGGAGGUCAAGAUCGUCGACUCAAGUCACCUUUCUUGAUCAAGAAGGACGACCCUGGUGUUCCAAGAAUCGAAUGCACAAUCAACAGAUACUAUUUUUAGAAGACACUCUACGACACCGGACCUGACGUCAACAUAAUGGCCGCAGUCACUUAUCAGCUCCUGCAUGGAACCAUGCCCCUACAACCAAUAUAUAUUUAGCUCCAGAUGAUUUUCAGAACAUUGAUAUGGGAGAAGACGAGUACGAUCCACCCAUCAUCCUUGGAAGACCAUUCCUCAACACUAUCCAAGUUAUCAUCUACAUUGGAACCGGAGAAGUCCACGUGUAUUUCCCCUCUGAGAAGGUUCGCCAUUACUUUAAUGAUUCUAACUAUAUAGUUGAAGAUUCUAAGCAGGUCACGACAAGAAGAAGACGACGCAACCGCAACCAGAGGAGGCAAAUCAUCAAGGACGGAUGGGCAGACUACGAAGGAGAAGUUGUAAGGUCAGAAGACGUUGAGUUUAAACAGAAUUAUCCAGAGGAGACCGAAGCACCAAGUCAGGUGUGGAAAAUGAAGAUAACUAUACAUGAAGAGGAGGCGCUGCCGGAAGUACCGACUACGCCACCCAAUGAACCUCAGGAUAAUUGAGAAGGAGGAGAGUCCCGUUCGGAGGACUUAAAAACACCGAACGCCUUGCUAAGAGGUAAACUUGGUAGUUAUCCUUUCCCUUUCAAUUAUUUCAAGUAGUUCACUUAGUUAAUUAAGUUCUAAACAGAAAGUAAAAAUGUGAAAAACAGUAAGCCCCAUGUGAGGAUACGAGUGGCAUAAAACCCAUAAGUACAUUCACUGUGGUGGCAUAAAAAUAAAAUAAAAAUAUUUUUCUGCUUUAUAAAAUAAAAAUAUAAAAACAGGGAGUAAUAAUUAUUAAGGAGUCUCAACAUGAUAAAGGCUAGAUAUUUAUGCUAACACUUAAUUAGUUCCACAAGCUUUGUUGUCUAUUUGAGCUCCAUAGAAUCUAAGAAUCAAGAAGACUGGCAGACGGAGGAUAUUCUAAUCGCUGUCACAAUGCUGCUGACUUUCAAAUACACCUCUGCCACCUGCUAGCUACAUCAAGAGAAAUUACGUCAAAAUUCAGCUUGGGGGAGAGCACCCCCAUUUAUCUCGAUAAGUAUUUCUAUCUAUCUUUAUACUUAUAUUAUUUUAGAAUAUAAAUAUACAUAACUAUGAAAAACCAAAUAAAGAUUUUAUGCUUAUAUAUAUAUGUCUUUUGCUUAGUGUGUUUAACAAAUAAAUAAAGUGGCUAUGCUAAUCUGUAUCUAAAUAAAACUCAAGCAUGGAAAUGAUGAAUAGUUGCUCUGCCUAAUUUGCACAUUUUAAGUUCUCUCUCAAGUUUAGACAUAACUGUUAUAAUUUAAAGCUUGCUCUAGACCUAAACUUGUGGGAUGAAAACUUGAUCUGAAAUCUAAGUUGUUAACGGAUACGAUAUGCGAAGGUUGAGCUGCUGUUUAUCUGUUUCUAGAGAUGCUAGAAUUCUGGAGAAUUUUAUCUUUGGAAAUCUUUAAAAUGUUGCAUGAUGAGUUCCUGUAUGAUGAGAGUUUAAAUUCCUACCACAGCCAUAUAUACAUGCUUGCUAGACUUCGAGCCACACAUUUACUUUUUACUGCUUAUGAGCAUUGAGUGUGGUCAAGCUGUGUAGACCCUUAGGAGCUUGUCAUGUGGUUAAAUCAAGAUUCACUUGCACGUUCACUCACACAUGCUACUUCUACUCCGGAAGUACCAUCCACAUAUAUCCAUACAUUUCCAUCUUCAGAAUCACCCAAAAAUAUUCUACUCCUAAUCCGGGAGAGAAUAGCCAAAAAUAAUUUUGUUCUUCCUUGUGUAAUAAAUGCCUCAAGAUCAAUAAAGAGUAUUAUUAUUAUGUCUUGUGUGUCUCUACUUUAUUUUUGUGCAAGAAAGCAGAAAACAAGUAUGGGGGAGAUCCCUCAACAUGCCAAACACACUCCAACUACACCAUCCCACGAUUCAGGUACACACUCUGCACACUUUACUUCAUACAUACAUUUAUUUUAGAUUAUGCAGAAUAUUGUUUCCGACAUGAUAAAAUAAAAGGAUUAAAAUAUUUCUAAUCAUGAUUAAUCUCAAUCUGUGAUAUUUCCUGAAAACUUGCAAAUUAUUAUAAAAUCAUUUUAAAACCCUGUGUUACUUAAGUCAAUAUGGAAUAUGUGAUGGUAGAGUAUGAGUUUCUUAUUCUUGAUAUCAUUGUUGCUUGGAGAAUUUAUUUCAAAAUAUUCAAAUUCCUAGCUACCAUCCUCAGUGUUUUAUAUGCCUGAUAAAACUGAAAUAUUAAAUAUGAUUAUAAAAGCUAUCUGCUCUGUAUUGAGUUUGUUCAAAAUGAGUUAGACCCUUGUUGAGAGAUUUAUCAUGCUUCUAAGAUCAAGACACUAUUUCAGUAAGAUUCACUCUUCCGAAGUAUUAUUGCAUUAGAGGCUUGGGCUAUGCAAAAAUAGAGAUAUUUCGAGGAAAUAAAAAUGAGCAAGUGCUCGACAACCUCGCAGAAAAAAAUGGACAAGUGUCCGGCAGUAGAAUUAGGGGUACCUCGGUAUCCACCUAAAAAAAAUAAAUAAAAUAAAAUAAAUGAUAGCCCAUGGUCCCUCUAAUAAGCAAUAUGCCAGCAAGAGUUGACAAAGUUUUUAAUUUCCAAAGUCUUUGAUCUAAGAGUAUGACAUUUCCCUCCUCGGAUCCCGUUUUGAUCAGGCAAUAAAUGCAAAGUAAGUAUGCUUGAGAAUUUUUGCAAAAUAAAACAGCCUCAGUGAAAUAUAUAAAAGAUAAUGAGUGAUCUGAGAGAACUUAUGAGGAUCAAAAGGUAUGCUAACUUUCUUUCAAAAAUAUACAAAAACUCCAAGUGACAGGAUUGAGAAGAAAGGAUCUUUACUCUUAACCAUAUACUUCCCUGACUAUGGUACACAGUGGAAUUUUUAACACCCUGCAAUUGUAAAGAGAAUGUUUUAAAUGUUUACCCCAGAUAUUUUUCUUAACCAUCCUUUUCUCGAGGACGAGUAAAAGCCUAAGUAUGGGGGUAUUUGUUGACGGUUCUUAAGUAUCAAUUUUAAUUAUCAAAUAAACAAGAGAAAGGACCAAUAUGCAACCAUCACCUAGAAUUAGGGUUUGAUCUGACAGAAUUCCACGAGUUUUGUUGUUUAUCUAUUUCUGCAGGGGGUUAUCAGGAAAUAAGGAAGAAAGGCCCACAUGUCAGGAUUACAUAGAGAUAUCAACGCACCGCGCAAUUUUACAUCAUCUAGAAGACUCCAGAAGCCACGAGAUCGAAGCGGAGGCGAAGCUGGGCCAGGACCAGGGCGCCCGCCCUGGUAGCCUGGGCGCCCGCCCCCCUGCUGGAGCCAAUUCACGACUCCUUCGCUCGGGAUAUUCCACCGACCUAUUGGAUCAAGAAAAACAUAGUACCACCUCGGCUAUCGACCCAAAAACGCAUAGAAGGGGAGGACUAUAUAAGCGAGGCCCCCUUGGCCCCUGGAAGACAUGAAGAAAUUAUCAUAGAGACUGAGGGGUGCCCUCGAAGGAAAACCUCUUCUCUAAUUAAUAUUUCUUUUUAGGCUUAGCAAUCAAUGUAAGGUAGAAAUAGAUCUUCUAGUUUCUACUAGAUUGAGAGAGAUAGAGUGGAGGUAUAGAGUGGAGGAAGCCUGGCCUGUCGGUGUCUACUCCAAGCUUGUACCUGCGGGAUCAAGUUCUCCUAACCCGAAGCUUGCUCCUAGGAUUCUUCAGUAAUUCGACUUCUAAAUUCUAGUAAGUUCUUGUUUUAUUGUUCUUAUGGUUUAUGAGUUUACUUUAAUCUCUUCGCGUAGAGUUUAGAGUAAUCAUUGCUGGCGUAAACGUGGUGUUUAGACUGGGGUACUCAUAGAUAUUCCCUGACUAGCUGGACCGUGGUAGUAGUGAGGAACGCGACAAUUCCGAGCUACCUUUGUAGAUCACAUCUCGUUAGCAGGAAGGAUAGGGUUUAUAGGUGCGGGUCGAACAUCCUUUGUGUUGUCUAGAUUCCGUUAGCCUCCCCAUUAGAACUAUAGAUCAUCCUUACCAAGGUUAGAAGUAGACUACGGUUGCAGUCUUCUCUAUUUAUCACUCAAAUCGAAAGACAUUCUUUGUGCCUAAAGGGAUAGUAGCAAUAGAUUUGGUUAGUCAGAUGCACCCUUUCUCCCAGUGGUAAAAAUAUAAAUACGAUACUCUGGAAAACCUCCCGGGUGAAAUGCUCACCGAUAUCCGUGCGCUUGCGGAUCAUUUCCUUAUUGUGUUACCAAAUAUCAACAGGGUUCUUCUUGUGGCUGAGGAGGAGAUGGUGCUUGUUGUAUCUGUACUUCUGGAGAAGAGGGAGAAGAUUCCACCGGGAUCGGUGACCUUGGAGGAGGAGAAGGUGUUGCUGUUCUCUGGCACUUCGCUUGGGUUCUAGUACUCUUGGAGCUUUUCCUCUUUAGUUGGCUAGACUGGGGGGCAUCGGCAGUCACACUUCUGGUCUUUGCCGAUGUGCCAGUUUGCUGAUACAACAAUGAAAAUUUGUGAGUACAAGCGUAACAGAUGUAAGAAUGGAAUCGAUAUGGGUAAAAGAAUUUGAAAUUUUACCUUGAAGGCUUGAGCUAAAGUAGAGGCAGCUACCGAUGGAGAUGCUUUCGUCCGUUUGGUGGUGAAUUUCUUGAGGCGUACACCCCGAUGCAUUAUAGCGGCCAGGGAUGGAGAGUUGUUGCCGAUCAAAGAAAUCGGACCCGAUGGAAGGAGAUCAAUCGGCUUACCACUCCUGCUGACCGAUGGGGGUGUGUUGUCAACCUGUAAUAUAACACAGAAAGUUAGUUACCGAUGGAAGUAAAAAUGAAAGGAUUGAAAUAUCGGUUUAGAAAUACUUACAGUAUUGUCGGGGACUCUGUACUGAGGAUCGAUCAUGCCACGGUGUUGACACUAGCUAACACCACUUAGAUACUAGGUUGUCAUCCCUAGCAUGGCGCCAGAGUGUACAAAGGUAUUUAUAAAUGUAAAGGCUCUCUAGAAAAUAAUCUAUUCUAUCCGCAAGCGCACAGAUAAAACACCUCAUUGUAGCAUUUCACCAGGAUAAGUAUUCCAGGUAUCGUUAUUUAUAAUUUUGCUCAAGGGAUCUAAGGAAAUGAAAUUAAAAUAAAAGGGGGCAAAAUCUAUCAAGGCAUAGACUAGAGAUAAACUUGCAAGAACAUGAUUACUAAUGAGAAACUCGUCACACAGUCACUUACUUUAGCAGGGGGUAAACCAUAAAGAUAAUGAUAAUAAAGUAUAAGUUCAUGGGUAGAUAACACAGCGAUUAGAAAAUAGACUACUCCUCAUAUAUGUAGGUGAUGUCGGAUUAGCUAGAGAAUGGAUUCUAAGUUAUCUACUAACUACUAAGUCAUGAUCUACUCUACUUAUCUACAAGAUCAUAUAUAGCAUAAAAGACUCUUCAUUCAUGUAUAAGGAACAUUGAUAAAGUAAAUCAGAGCAUCGCAUGACUUACUCCACAAUACCGGUUCUGCCUGUCCUAUCAACGGAGAGUGGACUAUAUAAGAAUCAACGAAGCUGUCACUAUCGCGAACUACCACACGACUCGGCCAAUAGGAUACAUUUGCAGAUAAAUAACAUCUAAGCACCACGCUCACAUGUGAUCUAUCACCUAACUCCCUCACGUCAAGAGCUAAGCGCUUUGCAAACUUAUACAUAAACUCAUUAUCAAUUAGAACUAUAUCAAAUAUAGAACUAGAGCAAACUAAGAGCAUAAUAAUUAGAGACAUAAUGCAAUUAGAACAAUAGAAUUAGAGAAAGAUAUGAAUAAUACCAAUCUUUAUUACCGAAGAUCCGAAUCCAGAGCGUAGUGCUCUACUUCUCUAAUUGCUAUCUAAUCAACCUCUAAACUUGAAGGAUUAGGGAGUAGCUAAUUCUAAUUCUCUGUGGGAGAGAAGCUCUAAACCCUAACUUUGAUGGCUACCUCUGAAUAAUGAUUUCUCCUCUCCUCCUCUAGGGGCCAGGGGGUCUGGUUUUAUAGUCCCCUCAAGUGAACGUGAGCCAUUGGAUCAAACCGACAUAGAUUGUAUGGUUUAGAUUGAUCCUUUAGGUCGAUGGAGCGUUGUCCCGAAGCAGAGUCCUGUUUGGCCUCCAACCCUGGGCGGGCGCCCAAGGGGGGUGGGCGGGCGCCCUGCCCCCGAGCCCGAAUCGCCUCCCGUUCGUUCCCGUGGCUUCUGGAUCCUUCUAGAUGGAGGAAAAUUGUGCGGCACGUAAUUAUCUCGUUGUAAACAUGACAUGUGGGCCUUCUCUCCAUAUUCUCUGAUAAACCCCUGCAGAAAUAGAUAAACACCAAAACUCGUGGAAUUCUGUCAGAUAAAACCCUAAUUCUAGAUGUUUGUUUUAUAUUGAUCCUUUUUCAUGUUUAUUUGAUUAUUAAUUUUAGUUCUUAAGGAUCGUCAACAAACUCCCCCAUGCUUACCCUUUGCUCGUCCCUGAGCAAACAGCUAAACUCAGACGGAUCAGGAGUUGCUUCGAUGUUUUCUUUCCUGAUAGGCACACAUGCUUUUACAUAAAAAUUCUUCCAGAUUAAAGUGAAGUGUUAUGAAGUUUAGUACCUGCACUUAAGUCUUAAGUAAUCAAAAGACAAAAUAGUUAAGUCAAGCACUAUCCCUCCUGUCUAUACUUCACCUUUGUUCCAGAGUUUUUCAUAAUUUUUUAAAAUAAAACUCAGAGUUCCCAGCAAUGAUUCUCUCAAGUCUCUCUAUAUGUGGUAUUUGUGGAUCCUUACCAUGAUAUCACUUGCCUAUAGCUAAUAGAAUAUUUAAGUGGAGCUCAUAGGAGUGAAAAAACAGCUCAUACAUAUGUUGUCUAAUCGAGCCAUGGAUCCAAAGGAACUCAGCAUAUAAUUAAAUCAAGAUGUGCAUGUGUGAUGGAGUAAAUGAUAGUGAUGGUGAAAAUGCAUAAGUGAUAAUAAUAAAAUUUAGUUCUCAUUGCUAUUUCUCCUCUUCUUUGAUCUUUGCUUUGGGAGAACAUGGGCUAUCUUUUUCUCUUUUUUUUAGGUGGGUAGUAGAUACCCCUAAUUCUACUGUCGGACACUUGUCCAUUUUUUCCGCUCAAGUGGGCAUCUUUGUACCCCUAAUUCUACUUCGGACACUUGUCCACUUUUACCUCUCGUCUCACUCUUUUUCUUUCUUUUCUGAGGUUCUGGGCACUUGCCCCUUUUUAUUUCCUCGUAUAUUUUUGCAUAACCCAUGCCUCUUCUGCAUUGAAUCUUUUUAGAGAGAGAGAAUAACAAUACUUGGGACAGUGAGUGAUAAUAUAUUCUUAGCAAUUUUAAUGAUUGAUGAAUGUUGUGGUAGAUGUGUGCAAGUGAAUAUCUUAACUUAACCACAUGAAAAGCUCCUAAGGGUCUACACAGCUCGAUCAAACUCAAUGUAGUAAAAGAUGUUAUAGCAAGUAUGGCUGUGGUAGGUAGUUUUGUUAUGCUAGGAACUCAUCAUGUGACUUGUCAGUUUUCAAAAUAAAUCUCUAGAACUUAGUGUAGUAGGAACAAGAUAAACAGUAGCUCGACUUUAUAUCAUGCCUUUCUCUUACCUAGACUUUAGUUUUAUGUUUCCCAUAGAUAGUGAUUUUAGUUUUAGUAAUUCCUGGAAGAACUCUAAUAUAAAAGCUAGGUACUUGUAAGUAAGCAAACAGAGCAACUGUUCAUCAUUUCCAUCAUGCAUAUUUUUGGUCUUUUUAUUUUUUUCCUUUUAAGAUAAAUUAAAUACUAAGACAGAAUAGAAUAAAUAAGAAGAGCAAAUAGAAACUUACUUGAUAAAUUGGGGAGAAACUCCCCCAAGCUGGAUGUUGACGUCGGUCUUACCCGAUGUUCCAGAACCGCGUCAUGGUUGUGAUGUUGUCGUUCAUUGUUGUUGUAUCUUGUCUCAGCUCUUCUACUGCAGUGGCAUGGUCCUGGUUCCAUUUUUGUUGUUCUUCCAGGAGUCUUCCAUGUUCUGCUUGCGUGUUCUGGAUGUCAAGGAGGGUGUUGUCGGUACGAGUGAAGAAAGCACCGGCCUCUUGAUAGUAGUCAUUCGUGAAGGCGUAGGAGGCGUCGGAGUAUCGUCCUGCAUCAAAUUGGGGUGGAGGUCUGGAUCCUGAAGCUCCAUAUGGAUCAGUGGAGUACCUGCCCGUAUGAAAAGGCGGGUUUGUCCACUGGUGAUCUUGGCUCUCCGGCCAUGUCUCCUCUGUUGGCUCUUGUGGUUGCGCAUGACGAGCCCAUGGGUCUCGAAGGACUCGAGGGUUGUAAUCGCAAUAAUGCAGGUGCGCUACUUCUUCUGGUCCAGGGUCAGCUCCAUACCAAGUGCGUUCUCGGUGAGUGGUUAUCCUUUCAGAUGCCGCUCGCUGUGGAGUUCUCUGGUUCACUGGUGUUGCUGCAAUCUCAAUCAAAAAGUUUUGCACAGAGUAGAGGCCAAGGUUCGGGUUAGGUAACCGAAUCUUGCCUUUAUCAUCAUACAACAUAUACAUUAUAUUCCCCUCUUUCUUUAACAUCCGAGCUUGUCUAAAUGUGUCAUAGCCAUGAUAAAUUCUUAAUUCUUCUAUAAAGUCCAACGAUGAGUUUUCUAGUAAGUGAAGAUUAGUGGCUAGACGAGUGAUAAGUGAAGUACAUCCUACUGGUCCCUGAAGACUAGGUAUACUAAGCCAAUGUGAAACUAAUAAUGUAACAGGUGAAGUGGGUACUUUACUAAUAGCAGCAUAUAAAAGUUGUAAAUCUCCUACUCUUACUUUCCUAAUAUCAUCACGAUAGAAAAGAUUGUACCCAAGCCAUUUGUGAAACAUCCUAAGAGUGGGGUGUUCCAUGUCACUGGUUCGGGCUUGACUGUAAAAAUUAUCUCUAGAUAUUUCUCUCCAAAACUGGUGUCUUUCAAAAUUGGGUAAAUCGGAGUCAAUGUUCAGGAUGCAUCUUGAAGAGAAACCAAGAUGGUCGCUCAGCUCUCUCCAAGAUAACAUAAUUUCCUAUUUAAAUAUCCGAAAAACAAUUCCCCCCUCAUAGUAUUGUAAGGUGCAAAGAAAUUCGAGGGUGAGAAGACGAGAACCCAGCUCAGUUAUAUUCCAAAAAUUUGUCCAACCCAUCAUCUGAAAAAUUAAGUCAAAUUCAGUGUCCAUACCUGUUUCUUGUAGUAGGAUUGGAUCGAUAGUAGGGGUGUGAAUGAAAUCUUUGUUCUUCAAUUGCUGAUAGACUUCCUUCUCUCUUCGGGUCUUCAGUCCAAGGUCUCCUAUCUUGAGAAGGACCUUAACUUGCUGACCUGAUGAAGAUGAUGGAGCUUGUGUGGGUGUCGGGUCGACGCUCAUCUCUGAUGGCUGUGAGGAGUGUCGGGCGGAACUCCUUUGUACCAAUGUUCUUGAGAGCCUUCCCUGCAUUCUUCACCUUCUUAAACAUCCUGCAAACAAAAGUUGGCAAAAACACAACUGGUGGAAAAUGUGAGAUAAAAUGUUAGUGGUCAGCUGUUCGGAGUGUCAGUAGUCCAAGGGUUAAUCGUUCAAGACAAGUUUCUAUUUUGGUAGAGCCUCCCCCUAAACAACUUUUACUUCCGCUUAGACAACGGGAUCACUACUUGCUAGGUGACAAUCACUCUCUCAAAGGAACUCCAACCUUCCCUUCCACUCUCCUCUUUCUCUCUACUCUCUUCUCUUCACUACAAAAGCUCCCUCUCAGGAAACUGAGAUUUGUGUGGUUUUCUGAAGUGUUUGUGUGAAGAGAAGGGGAGCUGGAGGUGGCCUUUUAUAGGCUGAGCAGGGGACAGGGCGGGCGCCCAAGGUAGGUGGGCGGGCGCCCACCCUGGUGUCCAUCCUGGGUGUGCCUCCUCCACAUGCUUCCUUGCUUUGAUCUCACGCAGAAUAAUAUUGUGUUGGUGGUGGUUGGACGGUGGAAAGAUGUCAAGUGAGUGGAAACAUAUUGGUGGAUGAAAUUAUGUGAUGGGAUGUAUGUGAGAUGAAGUGUAUGACAUGUGGGACCCAAAGAGUGUGGGUCAUGCUUCUAGAAGAUCAAUAUAAAUAAAUAUAAUGCAGGAAAAUCUAUGAGAAUUGAAACUUAAUGAAAAUGAUAUUGGAAAAUAUUUUUGUGCCUCCACAAUAAUUAAUAAUAUGGGUUGUUACACAACACGAAUAUUAUUUAUAUGGGGCUUUUUUAUUAUUAUUAUGCUAUGAAUGUAUGACUAAUGCAAGAAUUAAUUAUGCAAGAAGUUAAAUAUGAGAAAAUUAAUAAUGCAGGUAAAUACCGAUUUACCUCCCGGUGAGGGUUUGGGAUUUUUAGGUCCCCCAAGGUGGACCUCCAAAUCUUUUAAUCUUCUGAGUUUCCUUCCUUUGGAGAUGGUGUCUCCAGUGGUUCUUCAUGAACUUCCUUCACUGUAGAGUCUCUCUCUGGUCUGGGUUUGAAUGUGAAGUGUUCUUCUUGUCCGUUUAUGUUAAACUUGAUUUCUCCCUUCCCGACAUCAAUGUGGGCAUUGGCAGUGCUCAGAAAUGGCCUUCCAAGGAUGAUGGACACUUUCGAGUCAGGACUCAUGUCCAGUACUACGAAGUCUACUGGCACCAGGAAAUCUCUGAUCUUGACUGGAAUGUUCUCGGCGAUGCCCAGCGGGUGUCGAACCGAUUGAUCCGCUAGUUGCAAGCACAUUGAUGUUGGUUCUAAGGUUGCAUGCUCAAGCUUUUUGUAGACUGAUGCUGGCAUCACACAGACACUUGCUCCGAGAUCACAAAGUGCAUUGUUGAAGUGUUGGUUUCCAAUCGAGCAAUCAAUAGUGGGACAUCCGGGAUCUUCCUUCUUCUUUGGUGGUUUGUUGAGGAUGGCCGCACUACAUUCUUCUGUCAGCUUGAUAACCUCAGUGGUGGGCAGUGGUCUCUUCUUGUUAAGAAUAUCUCUGAUGUACUUUGCAUAUGUAGGUACCUGUAUGGCAUCAAGUAGAGGUAUGUUGACAUAUAAUUUCUGAAUGACCUCUACAAACUUAACAAACUGCUCAUCCGACUGCAGUCCUCUAUUUCUUCUGGGAAAUAGCAAAUAGUUGGUGUCGUAAAAAUCUUUCCUCAUUUCUCCAGUUCUUGGUGGUUGUAGCAGAUCUUCUGCUUCAACUGGGCUUUCUUCUUCUAUCACUGCUGGUUGCACUGGUGCUGAUGUUCUUUGUUUCUCUUUUGGGUAUGGUGGAUCUCUGGUAGCUUUACCUCCUCUAGUAGUUAUAUUCUUUACCUGCUCAAUGUUAGUAGCAACAGGUAGUGCAGCAGCUAACUUUAUUCAUUUAAGCUCUACCCUUUUAUUAAGAGUAUUUUGCUCAUCAAAGGUAGUUAGUAGAAAAUCCAUUUUAUUGUGUAUAUCUUUUAGAGAUGAUUCAUUUGUAUCUAGCCUUUGUUUAACUUCAUCAUUAAUUUUGGUUUGUUGAACAAUUAUCUCUUUUAAUGAAAGUUGCUUGACAGUAUUACCUGAAUUCAUACCUUUGCUAUUGGGUUGACUUGAAGUUGGUUGAUAUUUAUAUGCUGUCUCAAUGGCCCUUUGAUCUUCUUUGAACUUGGCCCUCUGGUCAAUCCAAUGGAGCAAAUUUUCCAUCUUAGUUGAUAAUGCAUUUACUUCUUCUGGUAUUUCUUCAGUUUGAUGACAUUGUUGAGCUUUAUCUUGGAACCAGCUUUGGUUUUCUGCUAUCUUAUCCAAAAGUAUCUCUGCUUUUCCAGUUGUAAGCUCCAAGAAUGAUCCUUUAGCAGAUGCAUCUAGGCACUCACGAGCCUUCUGGGUUAAUCCAUGGUAGAAGGUCUGCAUAAGUAACCAUGUGGCCAUUCCAUGGUGAGGACAAUCUGAUAUGUAUCCUUGAAAACGCUCCCAUGCUUCUGAAAUGGCUUCUGUCUUCUGCUGUUGGAAACUGACAAUAUUUCCUCUUAAGGCAGUUGUUUUGCCUAUAGGGAAAAACUUUGAUAGAAAGGCAUCUGACAAGUUCGUCCAGUUGUUGAUGUUAUCUUGAUGAGUGUAGAACCACUUCCUCGCUUUUCCUUCUAGUGAGAAUGGAAAAAGGCGAAGCAGUAUGACGUCUUUGUCAACUCCAUUGAUGUGGAUUGUGCUUCCAAUCUCUAAGAAAUUCUGCAAGUGUGCACUGGCAUCUUCAUGUGCCUUUCCACUGAAUUGUGUAGCUUGUACCAAAUUGAUGAGGCUUGACUUGAGCUCAAACUCAGGUAUUCCUUCUUCUACUGCAAAUCUUGGACCAGUUGGAAUGUUCUCAAGACUUGGAGCAGAGAAUUCUUGCAAGGUCUUUUGUGCCAUAGCUUCAGCAAUUGGUAGCUAGCUUCUUCUUCUCUUGAUUGCUUUGGUUCUGAUGAUGAAGAGUUGAAUGUACCCAAAGUCAAUCCUGUUAUACCCUGUAUAAAUAUAAACAUAGAAAAACAACAGGGUGAACCUGCCAAAGCAGAGGUGCCUUGUUAUGAUUUCUCACUUAGUAGCUGUUUUAUGCAAUUAUUUCUCUAUAGUCUAGUCUAAUAUUUUAUAUGAAUAACCUUGAUUGAUUUCUCUUAGUAGCUGCUUCCCUUAAUAAUACCCUUUUGUUCCCUUUUAUGACUUAUUCCUGAGGCUCAUAUAAUUCCUAUAAAUCCCCAGCAACGGCGCCAGAAAUACUUACAGUAUUGUCGGGGACUCUGUACUGAGGAUCGAUCAUGCCACGGUGUUGACACUAGCUAACACCACUUAGAUACUAGGUUGUCAUCCCUAGCAUGGCGCCAGAGUGUACAAAGGUAUUUAUAAAUGUAAAGGCUCUCUAGAAAAUAAUCUAUUCUAUCCGCAAGCGCACAGAUAAAACACCUCAUUGUAGCAUUUCACCAGGAUAAGUAUUCUAGGUAUCGUUAUUUAUAAUUUUGCUCAAGGGAUCUAAGGAAAUGAAAUUAAAAUAAAAGGGGGCAAAAUCUAUCAAGGCAUAGACUAGAGAUAAACUUGCAAGAACAUGAUUACUAAUGAGAAACUCGUCACAUAGUCACUUACUUUAGCAGGGGGUAAACCAUAAAGAUAAUGAUAAUAAAGUAUAAGUUCAUGGGUAGAUAACACAGCGAUUAGAAAAUAGACUACUCCUCAUAUAUGUAGGUGAUGUCGGAUUAGCUAGAGAAUGGAUUCUAAGUUAUCUACUAACUACUAAGUCAUAAUCUACUCUAGUUAUCUACAAGAUCAUAUAUAUAGCAUAAAAGACUCUUCAUUCAUGUAUAAGGAACAUUGAUAAAGUAAAUCAGAGCAUCGCAUGACUUACUCCACAAUACCGGUUCUGCCUGUCCUAUCAACGGAGGGUGGACUAUAUAAGAAUCAACGAAGCUGUCACUAUCGCGAACUACCACACGACUCGGCCAAUAGGAUACAUUUGCAGAUAAAUAACAUCUAAGCACCACGCUCACAUGUGAUCUAUCACCUAACUCCCUCGCGUCAAGAGCUAAGCGCUUUGCAAACUUAUACAUAAACUCAUUAUCAAUUAGAACUAUAUCAAAUAUAGAACUAGAGCAAACUAAGAGCAUAAUAAUUAGAGAGAUAAUGCAAUUAGAACAAUAGAAUUAGAGAAAGAUAUGAAUAAUACCAAUCUUUAUUACGGAAGAUCCGAAUCCAGAGCGUAGUGCUCUACUUCUCUAAUUGCUAUCCAAUCAACCUCUAAACUUGAAGGAUUAGGGAGUAGCUAAUUCUAAUUCUCUGUGGGAGAGAAGCUCUAAACCCUAACUUUGAUGGCUACCUCUAAAUAAUGAUUUCUCCUCUCCUCCUCCAGGGGCCAGGGGGUCUGGUUUUAUAGUCCCCUCAAGUGAACGUGAGCCAUUGGAUCAAACCGACAUAGAUUGUAUGGUUUAGAUUGAUCCUUUAGGUCGUUGGAGCGUUGUCCCGAAGCAGAGUCCUGUUUGGCCUCCGACCCUGGGCGGGCGCCCAAGGGGGGUGGGCAGGCGCCCUGCCCCCGAGCCCGAAUCGCCUCCCGUUCGUUCCCGUGGCUUCUGGAUCCUUCUAGAUGGACGAAAAUUGUGUGGCACGUAAUUAUCUCGUUGUAAACAUGACAUGUGGGCCUUCUCUCCAUAUUCUCUGAUAAACCCCUAUAGAAAUAGAUAAACACCAAAACUCGUGGAAUUCUGUCAGAUAAAACCCUAAUUCUAGAUGUUUGUUUUAUAUUGAUCCUUUUUCAUGUUUAUUUGAUUAUUAAUUUUAGUUCUUAAGGAUCGUCAACACAUGGUACGUGAGUGCCGAUUUGCAGAACAAAUGCUCCUUCCAUUCUUCCCACCAUUGCUUGUAUGCCUGAGUGAUGAAGAGAGCUGGAACCCAAGCCGAUAGAUCAACAUCUGUAUCAGCAUUCGGUGGGAGUUGGGGUACUCUGAUCCACUCGAGAUAAUUGGUGAUGGUCUCCCUUGGCUUUAUCACAUCGGCGUAGCAGAGUGCAAUCGGCAGUUGGCCAAAAGCUAGUUGAUGAGCUAGUGCCGAUGGGUUGUAGAAUUCGUAGGUCUGGAUGGAAGCUUUUCCACCACCAAAGAAGUUAACUGGUAUAGCUCUUGGGGUGAUGAUUGCCAUCAUCACAUCGUGAUCCUUGUUGAGAGCAUCAUUGAACGGAUGGAAGACCAAAGGAAAUCUGGUGUCCGGAUCUUCAUAAGGCAUCCAUGCUCGCUGUUGUCUGGUCAGGCCUUCGUACAGAGUCUGAAAGAAUCGGCUAACCUGGUCUGCGUUACCCCCUAUACCAGGUAAAACUAUGGCAGCCUCGCCAAAGUUCAAAGGAGGACGAGUUGCCGAUUCUUCUUCAUCUAGUUCAUAAUCCUUGGCUAUGUCCCUGGGGAAGCAUUGUGCGAAGGGGUGGAAUUCAAGACGCUUGUGCAUAUGGAGGCUAAGCCACAUAUUGAUGAACCACCAGGGACCCCCUAAGUUGCCGAUGGAUUGGCCGAGUAGGAGUUUUCUGGCCACUUGAUGAAGGAGGUGGUAAGCUGAGCCGAGCAAGUAUCGACCGAGAGGAAAUCGGCCACCAUUAGCUAGUCUUUCUGCUGCUACUAAGUAGACAGAAGUUGGUCCUGCCGAUCGACCACAAAAUACAGAUUUGUCCAGCCACAUGUUUAGGAAGGUGGUCUGUUCCUUUAUGUUGACAGGGCCUGUUCGUUGGUAUUUCUGGAUGUACCCUGACCAACCGCCGAUGGAACGAGUUUCUACUUUAGCACUGGGUUUGGUGUCAAACAGGUGGGUGUUAUCGGCAGAAGACACAUCUAAACCGGUGAGCAUAAGCACAUCAGUGAGUGUGGGUGAAGCGGGACCAUGACCAAACACAAAAGCAUUGAGUGUGUCUGACCAGAAAUACGAUGCAGCAAUCAACAAUGAUUCAUUCCUAUCCAUAUCGGCAAGGGACAACCUGAUGCAUUGAUCCAGUUUUUGCUCACCCCACUGAACCUCAUUUGAAUGGCUGACUCUCAAGAACUAAUCCUUCCAUCCUUUAGUAGGACUGGGCCAAGAAAGGAAGGCGUCUUUCCACAGAUCUAGAGAAAAAUUCUCGGCUCUAAAGGGGAUUCUGUUUGUCUCUGCGUUGAUCGGAUCGGUAGGAUCAGGGUUCCCUAGCGGACCGAGACAUUGGAGGUGAGGUUGAUCAGUAGGAAUGACAAUUCUAUUGGACAGAUCCUAAUGGUUUUUGGGGGUAAAAAGAAGAGCAAAAGAAAAAAAAAGUAUUCAAUAAGAUGAACUGCGGAUGAACAGGAGUGCGGUAAAAAUACAAGAGAGAAGUAGAACUGACCUCAGGCACAGUGAAGUUGACGGCCAUCUCCUAGUAGGGGAGAAGAUUGGGAACUUGGGGGUUGUUGGAGGUUCUUGUUGAAGUUCUUGGAGCUCUUGAACAGUGCCGCCGCCAGAAAAGCAGAGUUGGGGUUGUAGAAUGAUGCGAUGGAGAAGGAGUACCCGAGAAGGAACUAUUUAUAGGACAAAACGGGCAAGGGCAAAUUUGACUUAUCUCUUCGCCGUAUCCGUGAAAUCCGAGGAUACUCGGGUGGAUAUGGUAACUGUUUGCACGGUAAUCAAGGGAUUGCGUAGGUGAUUUGACAGGAAGCGGUCAUAAUCUGGAGAUAUUUCACUGUGCGGGAUUUCCUAGUCGGUCCAUCGGCAGCUCCUUAUAACGGUAAUAUUGCCGAUGGGCGAAUAAAGUGGAAAUGUCCAGUUUGGGAAGUUGAGGAAUUUGAAGAAUCUGCGGAAGAAUCAUGACAGAGUUGUUCAAUUUCAACGGUCGGUUACCAAAUUGAGAGGAUUAAUUGCGGAAAGGCAUCAUUACUGCAGAGAAUUUCGGAGCAUUAAUGAUUUUAUACUCCGAAAUUGGGGGGCACGUGUUGACACCAUUUUUGGACACGUACCCAGGAUUGGUAGAGUAUAGAUCGGCAAGAUAGGGCAACAGUAGCUGGUCUGCAGGGGAGUUGCUGAUGAAGGUGGUUGCCGAUGAAGGGAUAGCUGAAUGUGACUAAGUCUAUGAGUGGUGACGCGUUCAUGCCGAUGGUCAGUGUUGGCCUUUGUCGAUGGCUACGAUGAGGAGUCUGCCGAUGACUCAGAAGGAGAACAUGAAGGUUGCCGAUUGGUCCAUGGUGGUGUCCCGAUUUGUCACGGGAAGAUAGUUUUGUGUUUUUCUUAGUUAUUUAAAUCGUUUUGUAUAUGGAUUCUGUUUAAUUUGGAAUUCGAGUCCUAGUCGUGUCUGAUUGUAGCUCUUUGAGCAGGGUGUAAAUGUAGACCCUAGGGCCUUGUAAUGGACAAUCGAUCAAUCAAUCAAACACAAGUUUUUACUCAUAUUCCAGCAUCUACUUUUUCGAUGACUUCGUCAUAUUUUCUUUUUUUACGAGUUCUUAGGAGUUCGUCGACUUAAGCUCGGCGUAUUCUCGAGUUCCGCGUGAAUACCUCUUGGCCGUGGCAUCCGGGCGCAUCGCUGUUGUCGGGACCAAAGUAUUCGAGUUAUCACCAUUGCUGAUAGAAAGGUCAAAUCGGCUGGCAUGCCUUAACGUUUGAAGAUCCACUUUUUGCAUCAACAAUCCUUCAUUUCCCAUUUUUCUUCUUGACUAGUAUAGGCUUAGCUAACCACUCAGGAUGGAAUACCUCCUGAGGAACCCAGCCGCUAGCAGCUUCUGGAUCUCCUCCCUGAUGGCCCGACGCAUAGGCGUUGCUUCACGAGCUUGGAGCCAGCUUGGAUGUCCAAGGAGUGCUCGGCAACUUCCCUCGGUAUGCUAGGCAUGUCCGAGGGACUCCACACAAACACGUCACUGUUUGCACAGAGAAAGUCGGCGAGCACUACUUCCUAUUUGGGGUCCAGGGUGGAGCUGAACCUCAACACCCUACCCUCGGGGGCCUCAGGGUUGAGGAAGAUGAGUUAGGUCUCUGUUGGCAUUUCUUAGCAUCACUACUAAAGAUAGACUAUAAAUCCAUCAUUAGCAAUGGCACCAGCAAUGUCGGGUGUUGGUAUACCAUAACUAUCAUUACGUCAGAGAGAUAACCCAAGGCCUUUAACGGUGCUGGCCUUAGCAGUGCAGUCUGGUAACAAUAAUUAGGAAUGCCGGAUUGGCCAUCCUAACCAUCCUUACUUACGAUAUGCAAAGUUGUAGCACGGCGCCAGAUAAAUGCACAGAGUUUACAAUCUUAAGUAAUGGUACUUAGGUACGCCAAUCAAUAGUUCAUGAAUAUAAAGAAUAAAACUACAAGCGAAUAGAACUAUCAUUGAAGCAUUUCAACCCGUGAGUAUUCAAGGGUUAUCGUAUUUAAUACCAUAGGAGGGCGUAACAAAUGCAUCUAGCUUGGUUUGUAGCAUGAUCACUUAUUGAGAUGCAUAGGUAGACAUAGUCUAAUCAGGGGUCACGGUAGGCUCUUAAAAUAUGGAUAGUGGACACACUCAUCUGGGCAACCUCAAGGAAUAAAGAGAAAAUAAGGAAUAAAAGAAAUAAAGAACAACUACUUUAGCCGACAUUGAUCUUAUAUAACUAUGCAAAGAAUUGUUAGUAGAACAUCUAAUCAAUAUAACUAGAGUUAGAACUAAGUCUGAGGCUCUGGGGAGAUCUGCACAGCUGGACAUCCAGCCGAUAGGGACUUUACAGAACUCCUACCGGAAUACCUGAUCGUGGGGGAAUACCAGGGAUGACAGGGCUGUCACUACCCUACCACCUACCCCCUCUACCCGAAAGAUACCCGCGCAUCCACUGAUCUCCGCAUACCCGAGCACCUCGCCCGUGUAAUUGGAAAUGCCUCCUAGCCUCCCAGGACCCCAACCCUUUGGAUUGACAGGCUCGACUAAGAGUGGCCAUCACAGCCCAACGAACCGUUACCCCAAUCUUAAUCCUUUGUGUAUUCAUACUAAUUCGAUGAACGAUGAAGAACAAGGAUGAACACAUCAAGAACAUAGCACAAGAACUAAGAACUAGUUCAUAUACUAUGAACAAGAUAUGAACACAACUAUACUCUAAUUCAAUUGCAUAAUCAUAUAAAUAAGAUAAGAACUUGCUCAUGGAGGAGAACUGAAUUGUAUUCAUACCAAGAAGCUCUAAGAUCCUCCAAGGAGACAAGCUCUCCUUGCUAGCUUUGCCUUGCUCUACUACUGAAUCUAAACUAAAGAACAAGUGUAGAAAUGUGAGGUGUAUUGCUCCAAAUGAUGGUGUGUGUUGAAUGGUGUGGAGCCAUCUAUUUAUAGCCCAACAAGGAUGGUUCAUGGCGAUCUAAAUUUGGUAGGAGGUCAAACCGUCCUAUGCAUGUCGCCAUGCAACCGCCUGAAAAAGGUGGGACCAAGUUGCCGCCACGGGGGUGUGCCCGCACCAGGGUGCUACCGCACCACUGGUGGGCCCCCUGGCCACCGCCUUCGCAUGGUCGGUUCGUCUCUGGGCCCUGAUCCUUCCCGUUGUUACAGAUGGAUCCAGUUCGGUGUUUUGGUGGGCUUUUCCAUUUUUCUUUGAUUUGCACCUUUUCUGAAUACGCUUUCUUGAAGUGCGCUUUCUCGUGUCUUUUGUGCCUUUCCACCUGUCAUCCCUGAAAUUGAUAUUUGCAACAAAACUUGUGGAAAGGUUAGUUCAAAGCCCUACCAUCUAUUUAUUUUAUUUAUUAAAAUGAUGUUUACAAUUAUAAGAUAAGGGGUACAAACAACUCCCCCACACUUGGUCCUUUGCACGUCCUCGAGUGAAGGCACUAAAGACCAAAUGGGUUCAUCUUCCUUGUCAAAAGAAUCUGCAUACAGGUUAUUCCCAGCUUCACCUGGAUUUAUGAACUUCAAAGUGUCUACCAAGCUAUCUUGGGUAAUUGAAACAUGGAACAACCUAGAUUCAAAUCCUCUUACAUAGUCCCUGCGUAGAAACUUGGGGUUUUGCAAGAUUUUGAAAAAUAAAGAUAGCAUAUGUUUCUUGAAUGAUGCUCUCAAGUCCCUCCUAAUAUGUGAGUGGUUCCUUACCAAGGCAUAAAGAGUUGAUGCCUUCUUUUUGAUCAUCCUACUUCUAAAAGGCUUAUCUGGAGUUUUGGGUAGGUAUGAUGGUGGAACUUACUUACCCUGCAUAUGUUGUUGAGUCAAACCCAAGACCAUACCGGAGGGAGUGCGCCAUACCCUUAGAUCAGAAUGUGCAAGUGUGUGGAAUUUUUGGUGGAAUCCUAUCACUACUUUUAUUGCAACAUUCCUUGCAUCAAGACUCUCUUUUGAAAUGAGAUGAAAAACUUGAGAGGAUAUCGGCUAUAACACAAAAUUUUUUUUUAACAGCUAUGAAUCUUUCCCCGUUUUGCCCCUUUGGCUUUUUUCUCAUAAUAAUUUAUAUAUAUAUAUAGCCCAUUCCUAUGAUUCUGAUGAAAACGAAAGAGAGCUUUAUGAUAACAAAUGCAAGGAAUGUAUAAGAAUGCACAAUUCUCAGGGUGAGAUAUUGGCAUUUUUAUUUGGGGGACAUAUGUGCGCAACCCUCAGUGUAUGAGUUGGCGAAAUUUUGGGUGGAUGGAGAAAGCAUGUUGUGCACGAAUUCUCAGUGUGAGAGUCGGCUUUUAUAUGGUGGGUGCAAGUGAAUUCUGAUCUUAGAGGCAUGAAACAUCUCUCGACAGUGGUCCAAAAUUUGACCAAACUCAACACAGAGCAAACAGCAUAUGUAGAAGGUUUAAUCAUGAACAAAUAUUUGGCCAUGGUAGGAAUAAAGCUUGAUCAUUCAAGAAACUUGCUAUUGAAGUUUGCUUUUUAUAAAAGAAAACCCAAGUACUUUGCAAGAACCAGCAAGCAUCAUGUCAUCCUACUAUAUCACAUACGUCAAUUACUUAGAUAAAAUGCGGUCCCUAUAACAAGUGUUCAUAAAUCUCUAGGGAUAUUAGCUAAGAAUAAAAAGUAUGCAAAAACAUAUUUGAACAUAGGAGAUAUGUUCGAUGAAGUACGAAGGUAACAUCAUUUUAAACAUUUCAUUUGAAAAUCUUUUUGGGGGAAGAGGGUUUGCACAAACUGAGAUUUUUUAUUGAAUAGUCCUUCCCCCACACUUGUUUUCUUUCCUGUCAUGGUUAGUCACAAUAUAUAUAGAAAACAAGUGCACAAGAUAAACAAACUUUUUUUAUUGAUAACUUUGAAUAGGCACAUUACAUUGGAAGGGAAAAGAAAUAUUUGAAACAUAAAUAUUGUGAAAAGGAAAAAUGUGCCUAAACAAAGAUUCGUGUAGGAGGUGUGGUCUAAAGAUCCUCAACAAGGCGACCAACACCUAAGGCUUCAACGACCUUUCUAAGUUUAGUGUUCUUUUCCUCUAGGUCGUCUUCUAAAACCCGUAACUCAGCACGUAGGCUAACCUGCUUAGCUAAAAGCUCGGCUAUGAUAUUGGGAUCAUCUUCUUCAUCGCUGCUCUCGUACUGUCUUGCACGACGCUUGAUUGAAGGUUGUGGCAAGUGCCUCCUGAUCCUAGAGAGAGUACUGGACAAUUUUGUCUUCCUGGCCUUGCCACCCAUCUUGCUACCAGCAUGAUUACCUUGCCUAUCACCACUAGGGGCUUUUCUCUUAACUCCUAUGUUGCUAGUGGACGAACGGGCAGUAGCGGGUAUGUUGGCGGCGCUAUUGGUGGGCGCUUUGUGGUUUGCUGGUAACAAUGCUAACGGCUUUCUCUUCUCAACAUGGACCUCCUUGCUAGAACUCUCUUGGUAAGGUGCUAUGUCUAGAUUGGCUAUGGUCAUGGGAGCAUUGAUGAGCGAGAGGGCAUAGCUAGACAUGGUCACUACUGAAGAAUGGGAGAGCUUAGCAAUCUUCACAAGAGGGAGAUGAGAAAUGGUUGGUGUGAGAAGAGAAGAGGCCUAUGGAGGAUUUUAUAGGUGCUAACGCAGUCUCUGAUCUGGAAACAACUUGAUCGUAACCAUGGACAUGAUGCUAAUCAGUGCAGAAGAGGAAGGGAAAAAGAUUGGGGCCCAUUGGCGGACCUGGGGGUGCGCCCGCACUAGGGUGCGCCCGGACCACUGGGUCCACCAGUCGGCCUCAAUCUUUCGGGUACUUCUUUCCCUCUCUGAGUAUUUCGCGAUCCUAGUUACAAUCAAUCAUGAUGCACAGUGGAAUCAGAGUGAUAGUGUGUGGGAUACAGUUUUGAAUUUUGAAAACUUUCUAAAAGCUAUCACACUAUCAUGCAUUUAUGAGUGAUUGAUACCCAUGAUCACAAAGAUUCAAAAAUGAAGAAAAGAUCAUAGGGGAAAUAUGGACUACUCAUAAAUACAACAAAUGCACCAUUUAUUCAAAACAUAAAUAGAAAGAAUUUAUUCAAAAAUAAAUAAAUAAGUAAAAAGAAAAUAUAUAUUUAUAUUUUUUAUAAGUAAAAACUUACCUAGGGAUAACUUACCGAUUUACCUUCGGCAAGGGCUCAUCUUUAUAGUCCGUUGAGCGGGACUCUUCUCCCAUUACUUCUUGCUUGAUGAUGGCACAUACAUCUUGGGAGGAGUAGACGGUUGCACCUCCUUGGGCCUCCACUUUAGCAGUAUCACCUUUAGAGGUGUGGAAGUUUGUUCAACCUUCUGCUUUGGUUUCCACACCUGCUUCGGUUGUGAAGGCUUGGUCACUUUGUCCCUCUUUUCAUUCUUUUUAGGAGCUAUUUUCUUUUUCUACUCCUUAUUAUUUUUCUUAGGAGCCACCUUUUCUUUUGGCUCCGGCUUUUUCUUAGAUAUUUUUGUAUUUUUAAUAAGUUGAGGCUGGAUCUCAACCUGCCUAAUGCCUUGGGGGUUUGGCCCAUAGAGGAUGCAUAUCAUGUUGCACUCUUGUUGACGGAGUGGCCUGAACUCAAACUUCUCUUCUUGGCCAUUAAUGUUGAAGCGGAUUUCUCCAGCCCCAACAUCAAUCUAUGCUCCAUCCAUACUCAAGAAUGGUCUUCCCAGGAUUAGUGGUGUUUCUUUACUGAGCUCCAUGUUGAGCACCACAAAAUCCACUCGAACAUAGUAUCCUCUCAUCUUGACAGGGAUGUCUUGAGCAAUCCCUGCCGGGUACUGGACUGACGAUUCUGCCAACUGGAGUGUCAUGGUAGUUGGCUCCUGUUGACAUUCGUUAAGUGCAACAAGAAUAAGAAAAAUUACGCAAGCGCACAGAACAUCAUCGUAGCAUUUUACCGGGAGUAUUCCAGGUAUCGUUCUUUAUAUUUUACCACUAGGAAGCUAAGGGCAAAGAAUCUAAUAACUUACUAUCAUGCAUCUACUAAUUUAAUAAACCAACUAGACUAAAGUAGAGGUAAAUGAUAUAUGAUAGGUAAUAAUAUAAAGGUGAGAAUUCUAUGAUAAAUGCGUAGAUAGCCAUAGCGGGAGGACAACGGGAGAGACCUGGGUUCCUCUAUACUUCUCUAUUACUUCAGUUCUAUGAUAACAAAGAAUGAAUAGAUAUAGCAAUCACAUAUUAGCACUUUGGGACAUCAGAACACCAACCACAGAAAGAGAUGAGAAGGGGGCUGGGAAGCUCUGACUACGGUUCUACAAACACCGAUCCUAAUUGUUGAUAUUUGGGAACGCAAUAAGGAAUUGAUCCGCAAGCGCACGGAUAUCGGUGAGCACUUCACCCGGGAAAUUAUCCAGAGUAUCGUAUUUAUUUUUUUUACCACUAGGAGAAAGAGUGCAUCUGACUAACCGGUCUAUUACUACUAACCUUUAGGCACAAAGAAUGUCUUUCGAUGUGAGUGAUAAAUAGAGAAGACUGCAACCGUAGUCUCCUUCUAACCUUGGUAAGGAUGAUCUACUGUUCUAAUGGGGAGGCUAACGGAAUCUAGACACCACAAAGGAUGUUCGACCCGCACCUAUAAACCCUAUCCUUCCUGCUAACGAGAUGUGAUCUACAAAGGUAGCUCGGAAUUGUCACGUUCCUCACUACUACCACGGUCCAGCUAGUCAGGGAAUAUCUAUGAGUACCCCAGCCUAAACACCACGUUUACGCCAGCAAUGAUUACUCUAAACUCUACGCGAAGAGAUUAAAGUAAACUCAUAAACCAUAAGAACAAUAAAACAAGAACUUACUAGAAUUUAGAAGUUGAAUUACUGAAGAAUCCUAGGAGCAAGCUUCGGGUUAGGAGAACUUGAUCCCGCAGGUACAAGCUUGGAGUAGACACCGACAGGCCGGGCUUCCUCCACUCUACACCUCCACUCUAUCUCUCUCAAUCUAGUAGAAACUAGAAGAUCUAUUUCUACCUUACUUUGAUUGCUAAGCCUAAAAAGAAAUAUUAAUUAGAGAAGAGGUUUUCCUUCGAGGGCACCCCUCAGUCUCUAUGAUAAUUUCUUCAUGUCUUCUCCAGGGGCCAGGGGGGCCUUGCUUAUAUAGUCCUCCCCUUCUAUGCGUUUUUGGGUCGAUAGCCGAGGUGGUACUAUGUUUUUCUUGAUCCAAUAGGUCGGUGGAAUAUCCCGAAUGAAAGAGUCCUGAUUUGGCUCCAGCAGGGGGGCGGGCGCCCAGGCUACCAGGGCGGGCGCCCUGGGCCUGGCCCAGUUUUGCCUCCGCUUCGGUCUCGUGGCUUCUGGAGUCUUCUAGAUGAUGUAAAAUUGCGCGGUGCGUUGAUAUCUCUAUGUAAUCCCGACAUGUAGGCCUUUCUUCCUUAUUUCCUGAUAACCCCCUGCAGAAACAGAUAAACAACAAAACUCGUGGAAUUCUGUUAGAUCAAACCCUAAUUCUAGGUGUUGUUUGCAUAUUGGUCCUUUCUCUUGUUUAUUUGAUAAUUAAAAUUGAUACUUAAGAACCGUCAACAAAUACCCCCAUACUUAGGCUUUUACUCGUCCUCGAGAAAAGGAUGGUUAAGAAAAAUAUCUGGGGUAAAACAUUUAAAUCAUUCUCUUUAUAUAAUUGCAGGGUGUUAAAAUUCCACUGUGUACCACAGUCAGGGAUGUUUAUGGUUAAGAGUAAAGAUCCUUUCUUCUCAAUCCUGUCACUUGGAGUUUUUGUUAUAUUUUUGAAAGAAAUUUAGCAUACCUUUUUAUCCUCAUAGGUUCUCUCAGAUCACUCAUUAUCUUUUAUAUAUAUAUAUCUCACUGAGGUUGUUUUAUUUUUGCAAAAAUUCUCAAGCAUUCUUACUUUGCAUUUAUUGCUUGAUCAAAACGGGAUCCGAGGAGGGGAAUGUCAUACUCUUAGAUCAAAGACUUUGGAAAUUAAAAUCUUUGUCAACUCUUGCUGGCAUAUUGCUUAUUAGAGGGACCAUGGGCUAUCAUUUUCGUUUCAUCAUCAUUUUUUUAAGUGGAUACCGAGGUACCCCUAAUUCUACUGCCGGACACUUGUCCAUUUUUCUGCGAGGUUGUCGAGCACUCGCUCCUUUUUAUUUCCUCAAAAUAUUUUUAUUUUUGCAUAGCCCAUGCCUCUAAUGCAAUAAUACUUUGGAAGAGUGAAUCUUUCUGAAAUAAUGUCUUGAUCUUAGGAGCAUGAUAAAUCUCUCAACAAGGGUCUAACUCAUUUUGAACAAACUCAAUACAGAGUAGAUAGCUUUAUAAUCAUCAUUAAUAUUUUUAUUUUUAUUAGGCAUAUAAAACACUGAGGAUGGUAGCUAGAAUUUUGAAUAUUUUGAAAUAAAUUCUCCAAGCAACAAUGAUAUCAAGAAUAAGAAACUCAUACUCUACCAUCACAUAUUCCAUAUUGACUUGAGUAACACAGGGUUUUAAAAUGAUUUUAUAAUAAUUGCAAGUUUUCAGGAAAUAUCACAGAUUGAGAUUAAUCAUGAUUAGAAAUAUUUUAAUCUUUUUAUUUUAUCAUGUCGGAAACAGUAAUCUGCAUAAUCCAAAAUAAAUGUAUGUAUGAAGUAAAGUGUGCAGAGUGUGUACCUGAAUCGUGGAGUGGUGUAGUCGGAGUGUGUUUGGCAUGUUAAGGGAUCUCUCCCAUACUUGUUUUCUGCUUUCUUGCACAAAAAUAAAGUAGAGACACACAAGACAUAAUAAUAAUAGUAAUACUCUUUAUUGAUCUUGAGGCAUUUAGUACAAAAGACUGAUAACAAACUGAUAGCAAACUGAUAAUAAUAGUAAACUGAUGAUAAUAGUAAACCUAAACCGAAUUUAAAGAUAAAUGACUAAGAUGCAUUGCCUCAAGGUCUAAUCUAGAUAACUUAACGGCGCUCUAAUUCCUUGAUCUUCUUGUUGGCACUGGCAAGAUCCUGCCUAAGGCCUAAUAUAACGGUGUUGUGGUUAGAGAGCUGCCAAGUGAGGGAAUUAAUCGAGGACUGGAGGUCUAUGAUAACUCUAUCUAGCCUGCGAACUUCCUCAUCAAUAUCCAUUAUAGUCUUGCGACGCUUGGGAGGUGUCUCAAAAGCAUUGAGAGAGUGCUUCGAGGCUGCCUUUGGAGGGAUGAAACGGACUUUGGAUGCUCUAAUCCCUUCAAAGUAAGGCCUUUCCUCCUCCGUAGUGUAGCGAACGCUGCUGAUCUCGCCGCUACGGUUGGUCUUGACUCCAACGACCCUCUCAUUGGGUCUAGGUGGAAGGAUCCUUGUACCGAUUGGUACCUUGAUAGUGGUCUUCGUCUUGGAUGAUGGUCCUUUGAGGAGUAGGGGUUGUGGUGGUAUGGUGAGAACUGGUUGAGCAUGGUAGGAUUGGGCGGAGCUGCGUUGGCGUAAUGGCAUGGCUUCUAGUUGUCGCUCUGUGUUGGCCGGGACGAGAGCACGGGCAUCGGGGUCUUCCACUGGCUCCAUGUUGAGGUUGAAGGGGACGACUUCCCAAUCAUCGUGGUACUUCUCGGCCAUUGUAGUAGCAAGGAACUAAUAAAAUUUUAAUUGAAGUAGAGCUAAUUAAGCUCUAAUUGAAGGAGAGAAAGCUUGGUGGCUUGGUGUCUGAAAACUGAGGUCAGGGGUCUGUUUAUAUAGGGGUCAAAAGGAUGCCUCUAUGGGUUGUUCGGGUUGCUCCCGUCGAUGUGCGUGCGAAACUUUCCAUCCGAGGGAUUAUUCGGAUCACCCUAAGUGCAUUUUCCAUAUCAGAGAAAGUCGGGACCGAGGGGGAACAGGGGUUGGGCGGCCGCCCACUUGACCUGGGCGCCCGCCCUCUCUCUGGCUCCUCUGUGGACCCACUUUUCCGAGCGCGUUUCUAGAUGCGAAAUUAUUUAGAAAAAUAUAUAUAUGCCCCAAAACCAUCAGACCAAAAGUGUCGGGCUCUAAUUCUCCAUGGGAAGGUAAAAAUGGACUACGUCUAUUUCUUCAAAUUCCUCAUUGGGCUCUAAAAAUAAUUUAAGACGUUGACCAUUUACCUUGAAUAACGUACCUUCGCUAUUUUGAAGUGUGAUAGCUCUGUGGGAUGAUGAAUUGAUUACCUUGAAUGGUCCUUCCCAUUUGCUCUGGAGUUUUCCAUGCCCGAAAAGCUUUACCCUGGAAUUAAAAAGUAAUACCUUAUCUCCGGGUGUGAACUCCUUCUUCUUGAUUCUCUUGUCAUGCCACCUCUUGACUCUUUCUUUGUAGAUUUUUGAAUUGUGAUAUGCCUUCUCUCGCCAUUCUUCCAAUUCUGAUAGUUGCAUUCUUCUAUAAUCUCCAGCAACAUCUAGGUCCAUAUUCCAUCUCUUUAUGGUCCAGUGUGCUUUGAACUCUAGUUCAACAGGUAGAUGGCAAGUCUUCCCGUACACCAAUUGGUAUGGAGACAUUCCAAUUGGGGUCUUGUAUGCUGUCCGGUAUGCCCAGAGUGCAUCGGGUAACUUGUCUUUCCACGCCGUUCCCAUUUCAUUUACUGUCUUCUGAAGAAUAUUCUUGAUUUGUUUGUUGGAAGUCUCUGCUUGGCCACUUGUCUGAGGAUGAUAGGGGGUAGCGACGUUGUGACGGAUUCCAUGUCUUGAUAGAUAUUGCUUGAAGCGUUUGUCGAUGAAGUGUGCUCCUCCAUCACUUAUCACUACUCUGGGAACUCCAAAUCUUGGAAAUAUAAUUUCUUCAAACAUCCUCUUUGAACUGACGUUGUCGGCAUGCUUGUAAGGUAAUGCUUCUACCCACUUGGAGACAUAGUCAACCGCCAGCAAAAUGUACUCACACUUCUUUGAUGGAGGAAAUGGACCCAUGUAGUCUAUUCCCCAUACAUCAAAGAGCUCAAUCUGAAGGUUGUUGGUGAGUGGCAUUGCAUCCCUUGUAUUUAUGUUUCCGUGCCUUUGACAUGGCCCACAUCUCCUGAUAUAUUGCUUCGUGUCUUCAUGCAUUGUAGGCCAGUAGAAUCCACACUGCCAGAUCUUUGAAUGUGUACGGAAUGCUCCAUAGUGACCUCCAUAUGGUGAUGAAUGACAUCUGUCGAUGAUCUUCCAUCCUUCCUCAGUGGUCACACAUCUCCUGAGUAAGCCAUCAGAGCAUACUCGGAAGAGGUAUGGCUCAUCAAAUAUAUGUGAACGACUUUCUUGAAUAAGCUUCUUCUUGUUUGCUCCUGGUGGUACAUACCCUGAAACCAUAAAAUUAACAAUAUCUGCAUACCAGGGGUCAGACCUGUUAAUCCCAUAGAGCAUGUCGUCCCGGAGUGAAUCAUUGAUUGGGGUUUCCUGUGGACUCUUAAAAUACAUUCUAGACAGGUGAUCAGCAACAGAAUUUUCUACUCCCUUUUUAUCUUUUAUUUCUAAGUCAAAUUCUUGGAGUAAUAAAAUCCAUCUAAUCAGGCGAGGUUUAGCAUCUUUUUUAGUGAGCAAAUAUUUUAGUGCAGCAUGAUCAGUGUAAACAAUUAUUUUAGCUCCAACUAAAUAAGAUCUAAAUUUAUCAAUGGCAAAGACAACAGCCAGAAGCUCUUUUUCAGUGGUUGCAUAAUUAAGUUGAGCUCCUGUCAAAGUUUUACUGGCAUAAGCAAUUGCAUGAUGCUUCUUAUCUUUAGUUUGUCCCAAUACUGCCCCCACAGCAUAAUCACUAGCAUCACACAUAAUUUCAAAAGGUAACGACCAAUCAGGGGGUUGAAUGAUUGGUGCAGAGAUGAGUGCUUUCUUUAAUAAAUUGAAAGAUGUUAGACAUGCAUCAUCAAAUUCGAAAGGAGCAUCCUUGGCUAGCAAAAGAGUAAGUGGUCUAGCAAUGAAUGAAAAAUCUUUUAUGAAUCUACGAUAAAAACCAGCAUGGCCAAGAAAGCUUCGAAUUCCUUUUAUAUUCACAGGUGGAGGUAGUUGUUCAAUUACUUCAAUUUUAGCUUUGUCUACCUCAAUUCCUCUUUCAGACACUAAGUGUCCCAGCACUAUUCCUUCCCUAACCAUAAAAUGACAUUUUUCCCAAUUAAGGAUUAAGUGCUUUUCUUCACAUCUUUGCAAAACCUUAUCUAAGUUUUCAAGACAACUAUCAAAAGUUUUUCCAUAAACAGAGAAAUCAUCCAUGAAAACUUCCAUAAUCUCUUCAAUCAUAUCAGAAAAUAUAGACAUCAUGCAUCUUUGAAAAGAAGCUGGUGCAUUACAUAACCCAAAAGACAUUCUACGAUAAGCAUAAGUUCCAUAAGGGCAUGUAAAAGUGGUUUUGCUUUGAUCAUCGGGAUGGAUCGGGAUUUGAUGAUACCCUGAAUAUCCAUCUAAGAAACAAAAGAACGAAUGGUUUGCUAACCGCUCUAGCAUCUCAUCUAUAAAAGGUAAAGGAAAGUGAUCCUUUCUCGUGGCUUUAUUUAGUUUUCUAUAGUCUAUGCACAUCCGCCAUUCUGUGACGGUGGUUGCGGAAUUAGCUCGUUCUUUUCAUUCAUAAUAACUGUCAUGCCUCCCUUUUUGGGCACAACUUGGACUGGGCUCACCCACUCACUGUGCGGCACAGGAUAUAUAAUCCCUGCAUGCAGCAACUUAAUAACUUCCUUUUUAACUACCUCUCUCAUAGUGUUGUUAAGUCUACGUUGGGGUUCUCGAGAGGGUGUAACAGAAGGAUCUGUUGGAAUACGAUGGGUACAAAUUAUAGGACUGAUUCCUAUAAGAUCUUGAAGUGAGUAGCUGAAUACUGAGUGAUGUUUCUCAAGAAUGGUCAUUAAUUGCAGAGUUUGAUCCUGAGUGAGUUUAUCGCUAAUGAUCACAGGAAACUCUGGAUUAUUGUUUAGGAAAGCAUAGGUAAGACCGGGUGGUAAAGUUUUAAGCUCUAUGGGGGGUCUAGGUGUUUCUGCAAACUCAUCUAAGGGUUCAGGUUCAGAAGGUUCGUCUUCUUCUUUUGUGAAGAAAGGAGUUUCGUCUUCUAAGUCUAGUUCAUCUAAAAGCUCUAGAGAUGCAGCCUUUACUUCCUCCAUAGGAUCAGGCAAAAGAUAUGACUCGGCCUUAUUGUUUAAGGAGUGUGAAAUUAUUAUUGAGAAUUUAAAGGUUUUUCCAAAAGAAAUGUGUAGCUUUCCAAUAUGACCUUCAUAAAGGAGUCUUCUACAAGGUUGUCCUAUCAAUAGGUCGAAGUCCCAUGUAUCAAAGAUAUAGAAGUUCAAAUGAACCAUGGAGCCUUCUACCGUAAGAGGUAGGACAUUUAUAAUUCCAAGACUGGGGACUAAUCGUCCCGAAGAUUCCUUUAUGACCUUUGUUGUGGGGGUUAAGAUAAGAUUUUUAAAUAGUUUAAGUGCAAAGGAUUCAGACAUAAUGUUGAUCCCCACAACAGGAUUAUAAAGAGCAUUAAAUCGAUCAGAAUUAUAAGCACAGCGUAUAGUUAUAGAGGGUGUGUCCAAACGGAUCACAUCAGAGGAAAGCUCUGAUUCCUCCAACCAUUCGCUACUCAUGACUGAGAUAAGCUCUCUCAAUUGAUAUUCACUUGGUAAAUAAAUGCUAAAUUGACCGUUUUGGGGUUUGUCAAUAGAAUGGUAGUUUGAAAUAUUUCCAAAAUCGGCAAAAAGAUCGGAUUCUAUAUCCAGCAUGAAGUCCGGUAGUGGAAUUUCUUCCUCUUGAGGCUCAGAACUUGGGAUAGCUAAAGUAGAUGAAGAAUUUGGCAGAGUGUCUACUUCGGCUUCGUAGGUUUCAUCAUGAAGGGUAUUAUCCAUCUCAGCUUCUAGGAUUCUAUCUAGGAUCACUCUUGCUUCAUCAGCAGGGAUGCGAAAGAAAGAACCUCUAGACAUUGUGUGUAGCAUUUGUUUGUGAUUUCUAUGAAGACCUCAAAAAAAGUGAAAUAAAAGAACAGGGUCUUCAAGAUUAAGGUUUGGACCAGAUUCUAAAAGAUCAGAAAAACGUUUCCAGGAUUUUCCCAAAGUUUCAUUAUCUUUUUGUUUAAAAGAUAGGACUUCGAGUCCAAGGUCGGCUAUACGGUCAAGGGAAUAGAAAUCUAGACAAAAGUUGGCUCGUAAAACUCCCCAUUCACCUUGUUGUUGACUUACCUUCUGACUGUACCAUUGUCUAGCUUCUCCCCUUAGAGAAAAAGGAAAAAGCUUCCAACGUAAAGUCUUAUCAGAAAUGCCUUCAAUGCGAAGACAAUCACAUGUUUGCUCAAAAUCUCUAAUAUGAAGGUAAGGGUUUUCGUCUUCCUUUCCCGAAAAAGAUAGGUUUUGAAUCAUGGCAAUCAACCUAGAACUUAACUUAUACUGGGGUGUUUGGAUAGGCUGUGAUGAUUCCCAUGGUAAAAGGUCAGUUGCUAAAGGGAUUGCAGACUCAUGGAUCGAUUUAGAAUUUUGGUUUUCCAUAAGGUAAGAGUAAAGAAAAUAAAUAAAGAAUAUAAAAGAUAAGAAAAGAUAAAAGUAUAGAUACAAGCUAAUAGUAAGACUCAGGUUAUCUCAGCAACCGUCUUUCUCCCCGGCAACGGCGCCAGAAAUGCUUGUUGAUAUUUGGGAACGCAAUAAGGAAUUGAUCCGCAAGCGCACGGAUAUCGGUGAGCACUUCACCCGGGAAAUUAUCCAGAGUAUCGUAUUUAUUUUUUUUACCACUAGGAGAAAGAGUGCAUCUGACUAACCGGUCUAUUACUACUAACCUUUAGGCACAAAGAAUGUCUUUCGAUGUGAGUGAUAAAUAGAGAAGACUGCAACCGUAGUCUCCUUCUAACCUUGGUAAGGAUGAUCUACUGUUCUAAUGGGGAGGCUAACGGAAUCUAGACACCACAAAGGAUGUUCGACCCGCACCUAUAAACCCUAUCCUUCCUGCUAACGAGAUGUGAUCUACAAAGGUAGCUCGGAAUUGUCACGUUCCUCACUACUACCACGGUCCAGCUAGUCAGGGAAUAUCUAUGAGUACCCCAGCCUAAACACCACGUUUACGCCAGCAAUGAUUACUCUAAACUCUACGCGAAGAGAUUAAAGUAAACUCAUAAACCAUAAGAACAAUAAAACAAGAACUUACUAGAAUUUAGAAGUUGAAUUACUGAAGAAUCCUAGGAGCAAGCUUCGGGUUAGGAGAACUUGAUCCCGCAGGUACAAGCUUGGAGUAGACACCGACAGGCCGGGCUUCCUCCACUCUACACCUCCACUCUAUCUCUCUCAAUCUAGUAGAAACUAGAAGAUCUAUUUCUACAUUACAUUGAUUGCUAAGCCUGAAAAGAAAUAUUAAUUAGAGAAGAGGUUUUCCUUCGAGGGCACCCCUCAGUCUCUAUGAUAAUUUCUUCAUGUCUUCUCUAGGGGCCAGGGGGCCUUGCUUAUAUAGUCCUCCCCUUCUAUGCGUUUUUGGGUCGAUAGCCGAGGUGGUACUAUGUUUUUCUUGAUCCAAUAGGUCGGUGGAAUAUCCCGAACGAAAGAGUCCUGAGUUGGCUCCAGCAGGGGGGCGGGAACCCUGGGCCUGGCCCAGUUUUGCCUCCGCUUCGGUCUCGUGGCUUCUGGAGUCUUCUAGAUGAUGUAAAAUUGCGCGGUGCAUUGAUAUCUCUAUGUAAUCCCGACAUGUAGGCCUUUCUUCCUUAUUUCCUGAUAACCCCCUGCAGAAAUAGAUAAACAACAAAACUCGUGGAAUUCUGUUAGAUCAAACCCUAAUUCUAGGUGUUGUUUGCAUAUUGGUCCUUUCUCUUGUUUAUUUGAUAAUUAAAAUUGAUACUUAAGAACCGUCAACACUAAUGAGGUGGAAUACGUCGACCGUUAGGGCUGUCACUACCCUAGGGCUACCACAACAAUCCGCAGGACUGGUUGCAACCUCAGGUAACCUCUAGUAUAGACACCACGUCUACACUAACGAUUACUACUCUAAUUACCAUGAAUAACUAGAGCACUCGAUGCGAACGGAGAUCCUAUGCCAAAAUAUAACAACUACACUACUCGACAAUAAUAAAGGCACAAAAGUAAAUAGAGAAGAUAAAUAUAUUAAAGCAUAAGUCUUACAAUAAAUAUAAAUUCAUACCAAAACUCGGAAGACUUCUCCAUAACCGGACCGUAGCUCCACUCUCUCUAACUCCCGACUAAAACUAAUCUACUACAUUGGAAUGUCUAGCCCUAGUUCUCUAUAGAGGAAAGGUUAUCCUUCGAGGGCACCUCUCAAUCUCUAUAAUGAUAUGUUCUCCUCUAGGGGCCAGGGGCCUUGCUUAUAUAGUCCUCCUCCUUUGUGCAUUUUUGGUUCAGUAGGCGAUGUGGUACUAAACUUUCCACCAUAUCUCAUUAAAAUGCACAUAGGCCUUAAUGGACCAAAAUCUGAUUUGGGCCCAAUUAAUCCCGAAGCUCUUUUAUGUGGAGUCCUUCUUUUAUUAAUCUCUUGAUUCCGAACUCCAAAUAUAGCAAAUAAUAUAUGCAUUUCGAUCAGCUCGACGAGAUCUUUGUAAUGGUGUACUCCAUUCUGUGAUUGGUGCUUGUACCUGGGCGGGCGCCCUAGGAUCAAGGGCGGGCGCCCUGGUCCUAGGCCCGUCUCGGCUCCGCUUCGGUCGAGUUGCUUCUAGAGUCUUCCUGAUUAUGAAAAAUUAUGCGGCACAUUAAUAUCUCUAUGUAAACCUGAUGUGUGGGCCUUUCCUUCGUAUUUCCUGAUAACCCCGUGCAGAAAUAGACAAACACCAAAACUCGUGGAAAUCUGUCAGAUGAAACCCUAAGUCUAGGUGUCGGUUGCAUUUGGAUCCUUUUUCAUGAUUAGUUGACGGUUAAAUGUGAGCAUUAAGGACCGUCAACAAGCUCCCCCAAGCUUAACCUUUGCUCAUCCCUGAGCAAAGAUGGACUUAAGUGUUUCUACAGUGGUUUCAUGCCUUAAAGGUACACAUGCGUUCAAACAAGAUCUCAUUUCUGGGUUAGGGUAAACUGUUAACAUUUAAACUUACUCAUUUUACCUUCCACCAUGGGGCUUGCAACCGUCACUUAUGUCUUGAGAAGUUAAAAGAUAGAACAAUCUAGUCAAGCGCCAUGUCUCUUGUUCUUCGAUUAACUAUAGCUCUGGAGUUUUUGCAAAUUUUCAAAUAAAACUCAGAGAUUCCUUGUAUGACUCUCUCUAGUCUCUCUUUUAUGGUAUUUCUGGAUCCUUACCAAGGCAGUAAUGGUGUAUGCCUUCUCUCAAAGUAUGUGGUAUUUUUGGUAUGAGGCAUAGUAGUAUUGCCUUCUCUCUCACCCUACUCUAAUAAGGUUUUGAUAUCUGGAGCUCAUAGGUGGGAGACAGCUAAUACAUACUUAAAAGACACUUAUUGCAUAGUCAAACCAUGGAUCCAGAAGAACAAGUCAAUAAGUCAAAUCAAGAUGUGCAUGUGUAGCGAAUGAAUGGUGAUAAUGGUGAAAGUCUAAUUCUACUUUUGAUCUUUGAGGGGGUACAUACCUUUCUUGCACUUAAGGCUUUUGAGGGGAAUGAGACACUCUAUAUUUUAUUUUUCUUUUCUCUCAGGUGGGUAUCUUGUACCCCUAAUUCUACUGUCGGACACUUGUCCAUUUUUACCACUCAUCUCACUUUUUCUUUUGUUUCGAGGUUCCGGGCACUUGCCCCUUUUUAUUUCCUCGUAUCCUUUCUCUUUCUUUUUUUAGAGCACUCAUCUCCUGAAAUAAUAUAGCAAGUGGCAGUAACCAAGAUAACUCGAGCAUUUAUUUCACAGGGAAAAACAGAGAUAGGAUAAUGUUUUUGGCUAUUCUCUCCUGGAUAGGAGUAGAAUAAUUUUGGGUGAAUCUAGAGAUGGAAAUGAGUGAAUGUAUGUGGAUGCGUACUUCUGGAGUAGAAGCAGCAUGUAUGAGUGAACAUGCAAGUGAAUCUUGAUUUUAACCGCAUGACAAGCUCCUAAGGGUCUACACAGCUUGACCACACUCAAUGCUCAUAAGCAGUAAAAAGUAAAUGUAUGGUUCAUAGUCUAAUAAGCUUGUAUAUAUGGCUGUGGUAGGAUUUUAAACUCUCAUCAUACAGGAACUCAUCAUACAACAUUUUAAUGAUUUUCAAAGAUAAAAUUCUCCAGAAUUCUAGCAUCUCUAGGAACAGGUAAACAACAUCUCAACCUUCCCAUAUCAUAUCUGUUAACGACUUAGACUUUUGAUCAGGUACUCUUCCCUAAAAUUCAGGUUUAGAGCGAGCUUUAAAUUAUAACAGUUAUGCC
rnacentral:lncRNA from 1 species